rnacentral:lncRNA from 1 species
UUCUCGUCCCUCUCUUGUUUCCCUGUCCUUCCCUCCCACUCUUCAUCGACAUGUCCCCCUCUCCCACCAGCGAAUUUAGUGCGGAGAAUUCUGAGACGGAGCGAGCCGCAGAGGAAGCUUCGUGGAGAAAGGAGGAGGCCGCAACUGCAACUGCGUGGCCACGGUUCACGCUUCUUCCUGGACGGUUCUGCAGAUCGGACUGAUAUGGAUGCUGAUUUUAGGCAGAUUUGAAUAGUUAGGUUUAAUUUAGGAUAUAUCUAUUUUUGAUUUUAAGCUCCACGCCGUUCACCCAAGGUCGCAGUCCCUCUCGACGCUUUUGCUUCCUCACCCAGGCCUUCUCUUCCAUCGAAGUCGCAGCGCACCUUGCAACUUCGUCACCCACUCCGACAAAGUCGUCGUUCUUCGUCGAAGUCGCUGUUCUCUGUCACGCUCUCUCUGCCGCGUCGUUACCGUCCUUCAUCGAUUGUUGAGUCAUGUUAGGUAUGCAUCUUCUUGCUCUAUCUCUAUAUCUUACGCUUAAAUGUUCUGUUUCUUUAUAUGUUUAUCUGUAGUUUUGUCAUUUUAGCGUGCACUAUUAGAGAUAUGUCUAACUCUAUAUUAGUUUUGUCAUUUUAGCGUGCACUAUCUCUAUACCUCACUAUUAACUUCAAUUCCAUAUUUUCAUCAGUUAUGUAGGUACUACAAUGAUCUAUUUGUAUUUGACCUGGAUCAAGUCAAGGUAAAUACAUUUAAAUAAUUGGGUGACAUUCUACAAUAAAUAUGUUAAUUGCUAUUUGCUACUGCAAGUUUCAUAUGCUGUAAUAAUGUCUAAUCUUGUGUUCCUUAAUGCGACUAACACCAAUCUGAUUUUCUGAUGCUGUGGCAAGAAAUAAAGCCUAAGCCUGGAGCAAUGUGGCCUACUGUUCAUAGUGGUUUUCAAUUAUUUGUCUAUAAAGAUGAUGUGCGCAAAAUACUGAUCCUGUUAUAUGAUGCUAAGGACAGGUUAGUUGAAUGAAAUUGUGUUUAAAUCUGCUACUGCUGUUGUGAAUAAGAACAAGUCAGUUGAAUUAAUUAAAUUGAAAUCCUGGAACUGGUUGAGAUGCAAGUUAAAGGGGUUCUCCUACUCAUAUUCUUGGGUUGCUGAUAUGGAGCACAUCACUUUUAUAUGCUAGCAGGUCAGCCCUAUAAGGCAGAUCCAAGAAAGGAGAGUAGAAACCUGAGAUCAUUGCUAUCCUUUGAAGAGUGAUCCAAGACACUCUUCAAUUACUUGGGUAUGUAUGUGCUUUUGCUCAUAAAACAAAAUUGUUCCUAUUCUAAAGUUUCCACUUUUUUUUAUAAUUUCUAAGUCAUAUUAACAUUUAUCUGAUUGAACUUGUUCCUUUGCAGGAAUGCAACAAUUCCUUGCAUCACCCUUUUGCUUGGUGGUAACUCACUCAAGGUAUAAAAAAAACUAGCUUCUACAGAUAUCUUCAGCAUAAUUUAACUAAUUGAGAGCAAAACAAUGGUUAUGUGAAUGUGAACUUUGUCUUAAAUGGCAGGGUUGAAAUCAUCAAGUGUAAAACCAUUGACACUCAUCUGCAUUUUUUUAGGUGAGUUAUUUCUCUUUCAUGCAGUCUUCAUGUCACUUUGUUCACUAUAUUUAUUGCUCUCUGUUUCUUCAAUUUCAAGUGCGUUGAUUGGUUUUGUUUAUUGUUGUGCAUGAGUGGUUAAUAAUUUUAUUUAUGAAAUGCUUGGUCAUAAUUUGCUCUUUUUUUUAUCUCCGUCCUUUCGUCCCAUAGUUGUCUUUAGUAGUGCAUUCAGUAAAAAAUCUUUUUGUAUGUGUUCUCAUCUUUUUGCUCCAUUUUUAAAUCUCUUGGGUGCUUUUGAAUGAAAGCAGGUCUGAUCCAUUAUUGAUGAGAUAAAAUAGGUGAUCACAGUAAGUUCUAGUACAAGAAAAGAGAGCGCCAAAGCUGGAGAUUUUUAUACUGAAGAGUUAGAACUGGUUAUGAAGAAAAAUAAAGAAGGGGAAAAAUAAAGAAGGGGAAGAAGUUUUUGAUCAGGUUAGUUGUUUAUGCUCAUCUAAAAUAAUAUAAACCUUUCAGUAACUUUGGAGGAUUUUUACAUCAGGUAAUUGACACCCAAAUUAUUAAUGUCGAUAGCUUUUCUUUUUCUAUGUGUUGCAUCAGCAUAAUUACUUGGCUGAGGGUGAGUAUUAAGAAAUAUAGAUAAGACAUCUAUUAGAAGUGUGCAAUGUCUAUCUUCUAACUGGUUGUUUAGUGUUACUCAUAGAGCUAGCUAGCUAGUUGUUUGGUCUAAUGUAGGUUUAUUUUGCUUCUCAUGAUUCUGAGCACAUCAUGAUUCAUCUAAUAUUCUGGAUCAGUAGAUUCAUCAUAAUUAACUGUGGUUUUUUUUGCAUGAUUUCUAUGCAGUGAAGGUUGGAAGAUUUGUUCAAAUGUUGCAGAAGUUGAUAUCACUGGGCGGACAAAGUCUAGCAAAGCUUUGGUGGGGAAAGAUUCUUGAGAGGAUGUCAUUGAGUGUUCUACCUCUUUUGCUGAUACAGUUUAUUUAUUGUUGGGAUCUCAAAAUUGUUGAAUUUAUUUUGUUUGAUUUCAGCACAGUUAUAUAGAUUGGGUAUCAAUAUUAAUUUAGUCAUGUUUUGAUUCAUUUGGUUGCAGGUGCCGAAGCUACGAGCCAAUAUCAAGAAGCUGCAACUGCAGAAUUGUACAUGAUGAAUUGGGUGUUAUGAUAUUGAUAGUGGUUGUGUUUGUGGUUAAUUUUCCAGGAGCUUAACUUGGGGAGGAAAAGGGUUAGUUAAGAUAAUUCCUUUACACUUUGCAGCAUGUCUAGUUACUUGGUUUUGAACAAGCAUUUGUUUUGUAAACUUUAUGGUUACUUGUGUUUUAGAUAAAAUCACUUAAGCAUGAACUUUUGUGGAGGAAAGGGAAGGAUUUGAGUGUCCAAAUGAGGGAGCUGUUGUGAAAUGUGAUUUCUCAUUACCUUGAAUGAUGAUUUUUCAUUUGUUAAUGGAGAUAGUGCACAACUUCUGAUUUUUUUUUCAACCUCAUUUUUAUCUUUGCAGUGAAACUAGUUGAGAAGGUUAGCUAGUGGUUCCUCCUAACUCCACUGUAAUUAUGAGCUUGAGCUAGUGCCAUUUGAGAAGGUAAGUUAGUAAUUGGAUAUGUGAAACAAUUUGUUGCUCAUUUGCAUUUCAUUGGUGAAUCCCUUCAACCAUGAUUUGCAGUUAUGUUUAAUGGAAGCCGAAAAGAACUACAUGCUAGGAUUGGACUUUAAUAUUUGCUACUUUCUUUGUACUAGAUAGUUGAGAAUUACAACUAUUUGCAUGCUAAAAUUGUCAAAUUCCUUUGAUUUUCUUCUAGGAUAUGGAAAAUGGAGGAUGCUAUAGAUGGUGGUGCACCUUUGGAUUAUGCUUCAAAACAUGUUAGCUCUGAAACAGUGUCGAGUUAGAGUUGACUUCAUAUGAGGUUUUCUGUAGUAGUGUAUACAUGAAAAUUGUAGUGCUUUUGUAGUAGAAAGACAUUGUUUGCAGAACUGUUGCACUGACAAAUUACUCACGUGUCUCUGUUUUUUAUUUUUUUUACUUUACAUUGUAUACUCUAGUCAUUUUAAUAUGUAAGUACAAGGUAAUCUAUGUGAUAUUGUAGCUGCUAAGUACCUUUUGCCUUGUGAUAUUGCUGGUAGUCAUUAUAUAUAUAUUAGUUUUGAUAUGCAGAAGUUUCAAUAUGCUGUGUUUAGUAAAUGAUGAUCUUUUGGCUGAAUAGGUACCAUUCAUGGGCAACCAAAAAAAAUUAAAAUGGAGGACUCAAUUACAGCGGUUGGUGUUAGGAAACCGCUGUAAAAGAUUGCUCAAGUACAGCGGUUAUUAUGGAGUAACCGCUAUUGUACGUAUGUAUUUACAGCGGUUUAAGUAUAGGAAUCGCUGUAAUUAAGGAAUCUUUUACAGCGGUUCGAACUGCUGUAAACUCAUUUACAGCGGCGAGAUCUACAGCGGUUCGGAACAGUAAAAAACCGCUGUAAAAGGGAAAAUUUAAGCGCUGUAAAAGGCUAUUUUUGGUGUAGUGUAAGUAGCAAAACAUGCAUUUCACCAGUUCAGUUACAUACAUAAUUGAUAUACACAUCAAACAAAUUUAAUUUAUAUCAUUUCCUUGAUCAUCAUCAACUUCAUAUACUCAUCUUCAUCUCUUCAAUCCACUCAGGAACAUCUCUUGAGAAAGCCUGACUAACGGAGGGGUAGACAGUGCACUGUUUGAAAACAUGAGGGGUAGAAACGUCGACAAAAAUAGAGUAGGGGCAGAAUUUGCACAAACUUCAAACACCAGGGGCCAAAAAUGCUUUUUAGCCUUUAAAUUAACUAUAAUGAAGUUUUGUAUUAUUUAAAAAAAUAAUUUUAAAUUUCCUUGUGAUUUUUCUUAUUAAUGAUAGUAAUAAAUUAUUGAUGAAUAUUUUAUGUUAUUAAUUUUAUUGUUAACUAUUAAUUUUUAAUUUUCAUUUUCUUAUACAAAAGAAUAAUUUAUUAUGUAGUACUUAAAAAUAGUUAGAAUAUUAACUAUCAAUCAUAAAUUCAGAGAAAAAAAAUUAAUAAAUAUAUUAUAUGUAGACAAUAUUAAUAAUUUAAAUUAAAUAAUAGUAAAGAUAAAAUUUAUUAAUGAACAAUCUUGAAAAAUAGUUUCAAAAUUAAAUAAAUGUCUCUAUAAGAUAUUUACUAUUAAAUAUAUUGUAUGUGUGUAUUAUUUGAAAAAUAAUUUCAAAUAUGUUUUUUUGAUCUAUUAUAUAGUAGUAAAAAUAUUUUCUAAAGUUUUCUUAUGUUAUUAAUAAUAUUUUCCUUUUCAAAAAAAUUUAUUAAAUUUCAGUAAUAUCCUUUAUUUACAUAAAGGAACUCCAAUACAAGUAAUUUAAUGCAUCAAAGGAACUCUAAUACUAUAUAUUUAGAUGUCUAAACACAAUAAUUUUUUCUAUUAUAUCUAUACUGAAUAAAUAUUUGAAUAUUUAUUAUUUAUAUAAUUAAACUAUAGUAAUUUUCAUAUAAUAUUAAAAAAUGUCAUAAAUAAACCCGUGCAACGCACGGGUAUAACAUAUAUUUUAUGCUAAUAGGAUAUAUAUUGUGGUUUCAUAUUACAAAAUUACGUAGUACUUAAAAAUAGUUAGAAUAUUAACUAUCAAUCAUAAAUUUAGAGAAAUAUUAAGAAAUAUAUUUAUAUGUAGACAAUAUUUAUAAUUUAAAUUAAAUAAUAGGAAAGAUAAAAUUUAUUAAUGAACAAUCUAGAAAAAUAGUUUCAAAAUUAAAUAAAUGUCUCCAUAAGAUAUUUACUAUUAAAUAUACUGCAUGUGUGUAUUAUUUGAAAAAUAAUUUCAAAUAUGUUUUUUGAUCUAUUAUACAGUAGUAAAAAAAAAUUUCAAGUUUUCUUAUGUUAUUAAUAAUAUUUUCCUUUUCAAAUUUUUUUAUUAAGUCUCAGUAAUAUCCUUUAUUCACAUAAAAAUAACUCUAAUACAAGUAAUUUAAUGCAUCAAAGAAACUCUAAUACUAUAUAUUUAGAUGUCUAAACACAAUAAUUCUUUCUGUUAUAUUUAUAUUAAAGAAAUAUUUUAAUAUUUAUUAUUUAUAUAAUUACACUAUAGUAAUUUUCAUAUAAUAUUAAAAAAUAUCGUAAAUAAACCCGUGCAACGCACGGGUAUAAUAUCUAGUUAAUUUAAGUAUAGUAAAAUUAAAGUGCCGCAUAUAUUUCGCCUAGUGAUCAAGACCAAUGGGUUGAGAUGAAAUUAAAUUCUUAAACAAAACAAAAGUGCCGCAUAUAUCUCGCCUAGUGAUGUAGUUCAAUGAAGAGGGGGUACUCAAUCAAGAAGAUACCUCAGCCACCCACCAUUUUUUUCUGGUUGACAUCUUAUGGAUUUGAUAAUGACUGGUUGAACAUAGUAAUCAAUGCAUGAAUUAGAGUUGAUAAAAAAUCAAUAAGUUUAACAUUAUUCGUGUCAUGCUAUAUAUGAACACUUCACACCUUUAUCAUUGAUUAAAAAAUGCAAAACAGGAAAGAGGGUAAGCUUGAAAAUAUCAUAGCUGAAAACCAAAUUACAGGAUUGCUUAGCUUUCUUAAUUCAUUGUAGAACAUAUAUCAAAGAUUAUCAUAUUCAUGGUUCAUACAUCGUUCUAUAACUAUAAAUUUGAGGUUUGAUCCUCACCUAUGGUUAAAUGUAUUUCAUAAUCAGUCAUUUACUGCUUAAUAUAAAUAUUCGCGAUCAUAAGAUUAAUCACCAUUGAGGCAGUGAAAACGCUAAGACACAGUCAAUUUACACCAAUAAUUAGUCUACGGAAAGUUACGGGGCUAUUUGUCUUAUACUUCUUGGACUAUAAGAAAUUGGCCGAAUUCUUAUCGAUCCCCUUUAGGGUCACAAAAAAUAUAUUGAAAACAAUGAAACCUCUUCACUAAUCACCAAUGACAGUGAGUACCAUUUUCUCUUACAUUUUAUUUAUCCCGUCUAGUUAUCGGCCAGUAGAGUACAAAUGCCUCACAACGUGGCUCCACAAAAUAGGUUGAGAGUUGAUACUAAAACUCAGGUUACUCACUUCCAAAUAUUUAGCAAUCCAGCCAUCAGUACUUAUAUACUACUAUUUAUUGGAGGUCAAGGGAGUCCAAAAGUAGAAAACCAUUUUCAAUGAAAUAAGUAAAAAUCAAAUAUGUAAACAUGACAAUGUAUCUUAAACUUCCCAAUUCCUAUUUCUUUGAUGAGUUACUUAGUUGGAAAAUCAAAUUCACUAAGUUUGAAAUUAAUACUAAUCCCUUAGGGGGGAAGAAACUAAUUAAUCUAGCCAAAAAAUCUGUUAGGAACCCACUCACAGAACAGUAAGUAAACAAGAAAUACUGAAUAGUGAUUGUUUAUUGAUUAUCAGAGACGAUUUACAGAGAAGGAAUGAGUUCCAAAUACCCUGCCCAGAGCAAUGCUCCUAUAGGAAGCUAAAGCCUCCUAUCCAUACUAACAACUGGCAAUUCUCUGGAUACCCCUUCUACCUCUCAUACUCUCUUUAUAUAAUGAAGAUAUUACAAUCACUCUACCUCUCUCUAUUCUGUUAGACGGUUAGCCACUAGUCUCUUUCUUACCCUUCCUCGAAUAUACUCUCCAAACCUUAGGACCCACCUCCUCCUGAUGAGCCAAUCUAUCUUGUGGCCUUGACACCUGUCUCACGUUCCUAACAAUGCCGGCUCCUAGAACUGCAACCUUGUCCUCAAGGUUGAACCCCGGAAACUGACUCUGAAUGGUAAGUGAGUCUUCCCACGUAGCAUCUUCAAUUGACUUGCCGUCCCACUGAAUAAGCACUUGAGAAAUGUUGUCCCCUUGAACCAGUAAGGACCUAGUAGCUAACACAUUAACUGGUUGGACUGUCUCAGGGAUUUCCCCUUCCAGCUCCUCAGGCAACUCCGGAGCCACCUCAUAGUUUCCUAUGGCUUUUUUCAGCACGGAAACAUGAAAAACUGGGUGAACUCGCGAAGUCUCCGGCAACUUCAAACGGUAGGCCACAGCACCCACGCGAGCUACUAUAGGAUAGGGACCGUAGUAACGUGCUGCUAAUUUAGCAAACACGCGAGUUACCACAGACUGCUGUCGAUGAGCUCGAAGCUUGACGAAGACCCAUUCCCCUACUUCAAAAGACUUAUCCACACGCUUAGCAUUAGCUUGGGCUCGCAUCCUGUCCUGGGCUCGCAGCAAUUGGUCGCGCAACUGGCGCAAAGCUUCAUCCCGUUCCAACAGUUCACGUUGCACAGCCUCGACCCGCGUCUCCCCUAAACCCCAACGCGUAAUCACCGGUGGCUUGCGCCCAUAGACCACCUCAAAGGGGGUCUGAUUUGCAGCAGAAUGGUAAGUAGUGUUGAACCAAUAUUCAGCCCAAUGAAGCCAACUCACCCAUGUUUUAGGUUGAUCCGCUGAAAAGCAUCGUAGGUACGUUUCCAAACAGCGAUUGACCACCUCCGUUUGACCAUCGGAUUCGGGAUGGUAAGCUGAACUCAUCUUGAGUUGGGUUCCUUGGAGGCGGAAAAUUUCUUUCCAGAAAUGGCUCACGAAGAUUGGGUCACGAUCGCUCACUAUUGAGGAAGGAAUUCCAUGUAACCUGAUGAUCUCCUUAGUGAAAAGUUCUGCUAUGCUGCGUGCUGAGUAUGGGUGCUUCAAGGGUAGGAAAUGACAAUAUUUGGACAAGCGGUCCACUACGACUAGAAUUGCUUCGAAGCCCUUGGAUUUGGGCAAACCUGUAAUGAAAUCAAUAGAGACAUCUUCCCAGAUUUGGUCAGGGAUUGGCAGAGGUUGGAGGAGUCCUGCAGGGGCAGCCGCAAGGUACUUGUGACGUUGACAGGUAUCACAGCUUCGCACGAAUUCCUGAAUCGUGUUCUUCAUGCCAAUCCAGUAUAAGUUUUCCGCCACCCGCCGGUAAGUUCUCAGAAAACCAGAGUGUCCUCCUUGAGGUGAGGUAUGAUACUCUUGAAGCAUGCGAGGGAUUAAAGAGGAAGUUUGGGAUAACACCAACCUGUCUUUGUAUAACAAGACACCCCGAUGAAUGCGAAACUCAGGGUGUGCUUUGGAACCUUGCUGCAAAUCAGAGAUGAUUGUUUGGAGUUUAGCAUCAGUGCGAAUCUCUUCUGCCACCAAGGAAUGUUCAUCCCACGAAGGAUAUGAUACGAGCAUUUUACAUUCCCCUGUUUCUCCUAUCCUUGACAGGGCAUCCGCACCCUUAUUUAGCUUACCCGGUUUAUAAACUAUGUCAAAAUUAUACCCAAGUAGCUUUGCUGCCCAAUUCUGCUGGUCUCCCGUAACUAUUUUCUGAUGUAAUAAUUCUUUCAAGCUUUUUUGAUCGGUUGACACCAAGAAUUUCCUUCCAAGGAGGUAAGGCCGCCAGUGUUGAAUGGCCAAAGCCACAGCCAUUAAUUCUUUCUCGUAAGCUGACUUAGUUAGGUUCCUUACUCCCAGGGCCUUACUAAAAUAUGCGAUUGGGUUCUUCCCUUGCAUUAAUAUGGCCCCUAUACCAUUCCCAGAAGCGUCACAUUCUAACAGAAAUUCUUUGUCAAAAUCUGGAAGAUUCAGAACAGGAGCGGUGGUUAACCUUUCUUUGAGGUCUUCAAAGGCGCGUUGAGCUUCAGGGCCCCAAACGAACGCGUCUUUUUUUGUUAAGUCUGUCAGUGGCUUAGCCACCUUGCCGUAGUCACGAAUGAACUUACGGUAGUAGCCCGUUAAGCCUAAGAACCCGCGUACCCCUUUGACAUUGGUUGGGGUUGGCCAUUGUACUACACUCUUGAUCUUAUUGGGGUCGACUGCUACCCCAUGUACCGAAAUCAAAUGCCCAAGGUAUUCCACCGUUGUCUGGCCAAAACUACAUUUCUUUUGAUUUGCUGUUAGGUCUUGCCUGAGGAGGAUUUGUAGGACUUGCUCCAAAUGAGAGAGAUGAGUUUCCCAGUCCUUGCUAUAAAUCAAUAUAUCGUCAAAGAAAACCAAUACCCCUCGGCGUAACAUAGGCUUGAAUACUUCAUUCAUCAAGCUCUGAAAAGUGGAGGGGGCAUUCAUGAGUCCAAACGGCAUGACCAUGAACUCGUAAUGCCCCUCAUGAGUCCGGAACGCCGUUUUAUGUAUGUCAGCCUCACGUACCCUUACCUGAUGGUACCCUGAUUUGAGGUCUAACUUAGAAAAGAAUUGAGCUCCGUGUAAUUCAUCCAAAAGCUCCUCGAUGACAGGAAUGGGAAACUUAUCUGGCACGGUGACCUUGUUGAGUGCCCUAUAAUCGACACACAUACGCCACGUAUUGUCUUUCUUCUUCACCAAGAUCACAGGGCUCGAAUAAGCACUAGAACUGGGCCUAAUGACUCCUGUGGCUAACAUCUCUUUGACCUGCUUCUCAAUCUCAUUCUUGUGUAGGUGAGGAUACCUGUAUGGUCGAACAUUCACUGGCCCUUGUCCUUCGUGAAUAUUGAUGCAGUGCUCAUGCCCACGACUUGGCGGUAACCCCUGUUUUGUAGUGAAAACCUCCCUAAACCUUUCCAGUAACGCCUUCAACUCGCGUUGUUGUUGAUCAGUCAAGGCUUCUUCCUCCCGUUUCUCUGUACUUGGCUCUUCAAACCGGUACAGGACUCCUGCAUCUUCUGCCCGUUUCCUUCGAAGGGUCUGCUGUAAUGCCACCAUAGAAUCGUGCCCUGUCUUGAGUCCUUGCAAUUUGACCCAACGCUGACCAUCCCAGAAGCGCAUGGACUGCGUGUGCCAAUUGGCAAUGGUAUCCCCUAGCGUUUUUAGCCAUUCAAUUCCCAGCACCAAGUCGGGUCCUCCCAACUCAAACAACUGAGGAGAACAGUUGAGGUGGUAGCUUCCCAACUCCAAGCGGACCUGUUUGCAGCGCCCUUGAACAUGGGUUUGGAACCCGUCACCCAAUUUGAUGGUCAUACGCGGGGUAUCCUCUACUUCCCACCCCAUGCGUUGUACAAGUUUGUGGUCAAUGAAAUUGUGAGUUGCCCCACUGUCUACCAAUACCAGAACUGGGACUCCAUUAAUGGCUCCUUGAAGCUUCAUGGUUUGUGGUCGCUCCUGGGACUCCUGUGCCAUGUUAAAGAAGCUCAUCAUGCUCAUCUCACCCUGAUUUUCCUCUUCCGAUUCCUCGAGCUCCAUUGCCAGGACCUUUCCCUCCUCGGUUUCCUCAUCCCCUUCUUCUACAAUUAAGACCCUCAACUGUUUGUCAGGGCAUUGAUGUAAGGGGUGGUAGGGUCCCCCACACUUGAAGCACUGCCCCUUUUGCCUCAUUUCCAGCAGUUGCGGGUAGGUCAAGUGGGAAAAGCCUCGGUCUCUAGGUCCAACUCGUUUUUGGUCAGGCUGUGUUUUUGUUUCCCCCCGUGGGCCGUUGUAAGUGGGCUUGUUUACAGGGUUCGUUUCUUUUCCCCCUUUCACCCAAACCCAAUCCGGACCACCCGGUUUACCCGUUGUUCCCGACCCAUUCUUGUAACCCGAAUUUCCUCCAAAACGGUUGGCCCGGGAAUAACCCGAACCCGUUUCCCCCUUCACCUCUUUCUCUACUGCUCUCGUAAGAACUAACAGCUUGGAUCUGCUUACUCCACCCAUCGCCACCAUACUCCGAACCUUCCCCCUAAUUUCCUCCUUCAAUCCAUGGAGGAAAUACCCCUGGGAUUGUUUAUCGGGGAGCCUGGGAAUUUGAGCGGUGAGGUAUUCGAAUUCUGUGAUGUACUCUUCGACUGAACCACGUUGGCUCAACUCUGUAAGCUGCUCAUAGACGUCCCCGUCCCCGUGCCCGCCGUAUCGUUCGAGCAAUGCUUCCCUCAACCUCUCCCAUGUGAGAAAUUCCUCAGAUUCGAGCAAAGAGUUGUAGAAAUGUAUGGUUGGGCCUUCCAUACUAAGCUGGGCAAGGCUGACCUUUACCUCCGGCGAGGUCUCCUGGACUCGGAAAUAAACCUCAGCCCGUGAUAUCCAUCCCGCAGGGUCCUUCCCUUCGAAAAGUGGCAACUCCACUUUUUUAACCGAUUGACGGAAUUCCGUCAAGGCGUCGUCGUUCAGCUGGGGUGUGCGACGCUCAGAAUCAGUCCCGAUCUUCAGAUCUGAGAUCUUCUCUACUGCUACACUCUUCGCUCCUGAUGAUUCCCUUGGGUCAUGAUUGACACUGGAAUCCUCAUUCCGAGUGGAUUUCCCCAACGUUCGCUCCAUCAUGGCCACCAGCGAUGUGGGUAGAUCCUUCACCGCCGACGUGACUGCAGCGAGUGACGAUCGCAUCUCCGCCAGUUCCGUUUCCAAGGCAUCGAUCUUUGCCUCCAUUGGGUAUUUCGUGCUUUUGGUUUUCUUAGAUGGCAUCCACUGGUUCCGGUGAGAUCUCCGGUGUGAAGAUCCGGUAGGUCGGACCAAAUUUGUUAGGAACCCACUCACAGAACAGUAAGUAAACAAGAAAUACUGAAUAGUGAUUGUUUAUUGAUUAUCAGAGACGAUUUACAGAGAAGGAAUGAGUUCCAAAUACCCUGCCCAGAGCAAUGCUCCUAUAGGAAGCUAAAGCCUCCUAUCCAUACUAACAACUGGCAAUUCUCUGGAUACCCCUUCUACCUCUCAUACUCUCUUUAUAUAAUGAAGAUAUUACAAUCACUCUACCUCUCUCUAUUCUGUUAGACGGUUAGCCACUAGUCUCUUUCUUACCCUUCCUCGAAUAUACUCUCCAAACCUUAGGACCCACCUCCUCCUGAUGAGCCAAUCUAUCUUGUGGCCUUGACACCUGGCUCACGUUCCUAACAAAAUCUCUGAUCCCUCAUAAGAUAGUCAAUUAUUCAAUUUCAUUAAGAACUCCUAUGCCUAAAUGAUGAAAAACUCAUUUCUAAGUUAACAUGACACAUUUCUAUAUUACAUGCAACUUUAAGUUCAAGUUGAAAUCUGACGAACACAAACUAACUUUGAAAACGCAGGGUUUUACAACACAACAAUUAAUCUAAGAAAAAUAGGAUCAAAUAAUCACAUCACAAUAUCUAAAAUUUUAAUUACACCUAAGAUAUAAUUUCAAAAAAAAAUCACCUAAGAUAUAAAAAAUAAAGAGGGUAAAUGAUACAUGCUACAAGCUAUCAAGAGAUAGAAAGAUGAGAAAAUUCACUACUUUUUAGUUUGGAAUUACCCUGAUUCUAAAAAAAAAACUAUUCAAAUAUAAAUAACCUGUAAAACCACUCGAAAUGUGGAUUCAUCAACUACCCAAGUUACUAACUAUAAAUAAGGGGGUUGCUGGUUAGCUCACAUGGUUGAGUUAAGAGUAAUUGUAAGCGAAAGGUCAAGAUUUAAACCCUGAUGAGGGAUAAUUUGUACUAAUUUACUAACAAUUAACAUUUGCUUCUAAAAAAACUAACUGUGAAUAAAAGAAUAAUUAUUUUAAGUUUAUUUACAAACAUUACAAGAAAAUUGUAGAAGCAUUUUAUUUUAGCUCAAUUAUUACCCUUUUAAUUCAUCAACUACAACUGAUGUGUAACCCCUUUUUUCUUUGACAAUGAAAUAUGAUUUCAUAUCAAGUAGGCCAGGCCCAAACUAAAUACAUACUGACAUACACAGUAGCUGUUCACUACAUUGACCAAAAAAAAGAAAUCUGUUCACUACAAGGCCAGAACACAUAAGGCAAUAAAACAUGGCCUGCCAACUACUAAGAUGAGACUAAAAACAGACAAGGUAGUAGAAACCAAACAGUGACAGCAAACUUUACAUAAAUAACAAAUUACCGAUAAAUUUUUAGAAUGGAAGCAAAUUUUCAUUUUCUCAGUGAAAUUUCUACAAAUUGAAUCAAUCACAUCAUCUGAAACAAACAUUAUUCCACUCAAAAUUUAUUGAAUAAAAAUGUUAUAUUUUACUUAAAAUCCAGAAAUAUCAAAUAUCAUCUCUUUUUCAUAUUUGACGAAUUCGUUUAAGAUUCAAACUUGUGCUCUUAUUUUUAUAUGGUCAAUAUCUUGCUUGCUAUACCGGUGUUGAUUAAAUACAAAAAAGAUUAGUGAACAUCCAAAUAGUGCAAAGCACACUUGUUCCAUCUCUAUCUAGGAUGCUUUAGCGCUUUAGUUCUUUUUGUUAUUGUUCUUAUGUACCAAAAAAAAUAGUGCAAAACACUAUUAGACACCUACUUUUGUGGUGGUUUUAACUUGUACAAAAUGUUUUGGGAGCUAUAAACCGCCACUUUAAAGCGAAUGUUCAAUAGUGGUUUGCAUUAUUUAGAUGUUUGUGUAUGAUAGAUAAAAUAUCUCAUCUCCAUAUCUUAAUGUCAUAAAUUCUUUCAAAUUUAAUUUAUUGCAUUUUAACAUUUAAUUUUUCAAAAUUAUUUAUAUUCUCAAAAUGUUGUUAAUAUGCACAACAACUAUUAGAGUGGUUGGUAGAUCAAAUGCAAAGUUGGAAAUUAUCCUAUUGAAAGACUUGUUGUUGAAUCUGUAAUGUGUUCGUUUCUUGUUAGUUUUUUUUAUAAGGAGAAAAGAAAAAAAUAAUUUAAGAAUUUUCAGUAUACAUAAAUAUUGACAAUAAAAGUAAAUUUGAUUAAUUUCUAAAAUAUAAGAUUUAAUGAGUUAAAAAAAAACUAAAAUUGCACUUAUUUCAAACUAUAGUGACCAAAAUGCAAAUAUGAGAAUGUUUUUCAUUUUUGUGAGGGUACACUACAGCAUUUUCAUUUCCUCCGUAUUCUCUGAACAACCCUCUCCGUCCCUCCGCGGCGGCGCUCCGUUUCCGACCACCAUCGAGCUUGCACGAUCACCUUCCUCACAACACCAGGUAAUAGCAGUUUCGUUUCUUGCACUUCCCUUUUCAAUAGCCUUCAUAGAAAGUCCUUUCGCUUCAUAUAGAUUGAUUUUGAUCCAGGAUAUAGGGUUCGCUUCAUUCAUGGUUUGCUUUAUGCUGCAAAUGGGUAUUUUUCUUAUUUAACAAGAUCGAAGCUUUUAUAUUUCCUCUGUGCAUCAUAGGUUAUGACCACCAACUGUUUGGUUAAAUGCUUGGGUGUAUUGUAAGUGCAAUGGGGGGAUCUAUUGGUGGGAAAAAGGGUUGUUCUGGUUAUCGCGAGAAUUCUCGUCUGAUUUGUUUAUUGACAUUGAUGGGUUUUGUUGAUGCUAAAGUGUUUAGUGUGUGUUUGAAUCAUUUUGAUUUUGCAAAAUUGAUUUUAUUCAGAGCUGAGUUUAAUGUGAAAUAGUCUAGAAACUUUGAUCUCAAAACUAACUGUAAUACUUAUGUAGAGUUUGAUUUAUUGCCUAAGUGAGCUGACCAUUAUCCCAUAAUGAUUUCCAGUUUGUAUGAUUAUAUGAAUUCUCUAGGGGAGUAGACUGUGUUGCAUGUUAGGGGUUAUUGUUUUGAUUGUUGGUUGUUAUACUAAUUUCAGUCCGUAUCCUUGAAAAUUGGUAUAUAGUUCACACUUUCUUUUGAUUGGCGGCUUGGAUUCUACAUUAUUAUUUUUUGUUUGGAAUUGUAAGGAUUUAGUGAGUUUUCUCAGUGUUAUAAAGUGAUUCACUUUAUCUGAUUUCUUAACACAGUUUCUUGUUUUAUUUUGGUUUGCCUAAGGUUGCAAUUUCCAAAAUUAGCUUUUCCUUUUUAUUAGUGAAAGAAUAGAGGAGAAGAAAAAUGCUUAGAAGGAGGCUCUCUGCUCUCUCGACAUCGAUCAUCAGAAGCUCAAUUCACAGCAAACCUGUUAUAAGACACCCAUCUAUCCAACUUCACCCUGUGCAGUUCCCUCACUCUCGCAAUGCUUAUUCAGCAUUUAAUCCCAAUACACUCCAGGGUUUUCAAGGUUUUAGAGCUUACAGUCUUCUGAUGUUGAAUGAUCUGAGAGAUAAUGUUCCCAGAAAACAGAAGAUAAGGAGGGGGCGUGGGAUUGGGUCUGGAAAGGGAAAGACUGCUGGGUUCGGCCACAAAGGUCAGAGAGCCAGAAAAGGUUCGAAAUUGGGGUUUGAAGGAGGCCAGACCCCUCUUCGUCGAAGAAUGCCAAAACGUGGGUUCAAGAACCCUUUUAGCCUCACAUUUCAGGUAUAUUUUCAUGUUUGUAUAUGUUAUUUUCUAUUUGUUUUUAUGCCUCAGGACAUAGUGACCACCAAAAAUGUAUACUUUCUUUUGGUGUGUUAAGAAAAGCUGCUGACCAAUUUUUAUACUAGUAGUUAAGGUAUUUAAUUUAGACUCUUACAUGUACCUAAUUUUUUUGCUUCAUCCUGGCAAAUUACUGAACCUGAUACAAUCCUUUCAUGGACCAAAUGUAUUUCCUGGAGGUCAUGUUUGUUAUUUGAUGCACUUUUGCCCUGUAAACUUAUUUUUCAUAAUUUAGUUGCUGAAUAAUGGAGGAAAAAGGAAAAGAGAUAUAUUUUGGUCUAUUGCCAAGUUGACCAGUUGCAUCUCAUGUGUGAUUUACUAUUUUUGCCAUCUGGAAGACUCUAUAUGCCAUUUCAUGUAGAUGCCAGUACCAAUAGACACAGGCCUAUACUGUUGUUGUCUUUUAGAGCAUGAUCAAUUACAUUUGGUUGAAAUUUUGGAACAUAGUAAGGAACUAAGGAUGCUCUUUAUAGCUUUGAGGCAGUUAUUUUGUUAAAAGAUCGACUUAAAGAUGGGAGUGGGUGUUUGCAAAAGAUCAAUCUUUUGGUCAUCAUUAUCAGUUUCUCUUUUUUUGGUGUAUUUCUAUCAUUUUGAGAAAUGAAAUAUUACAUAAGAAACAGUCCUGAUAACCUUCUUUUGAAGCUAAAGUGCUAUGCUUAAUGCAGAUAUUAGGUGUUGUUUUUAUUACAAGACAUCAUUUGCUUAAUCCAAUUUUUCUUUUCAAGACUACAUUAUCCUGUGAAUAUAUAUAUUUUUGAGUGGCUAAGUUUGUUUUAAUUGAUAUGAACCUUUCUUUUCCAUUUGCCCAUUGCCAAGCAUGUCUUCACUUAAAGUAUUGUGAGCGCUGACAGCAGAUGUAUGUCGGUUUAUACUUAAUUUAGUUAAUUGUAUUAAAGGGAUCUUAUCCCAGUCUGUUUUAACUAUUUGUACUUUGUUUGUGAUUGUUGAUCUUAUCCAAUUGUUUUACCUAUAUACAUUUAUAAGAUGGUGAAGCCACGGCCAUGACUUGAUCUCUUUUAUUUGGACACUCUGCUAGCGUUCAAACCUUCCCCCUCUCUUUCUCACUGGCUAUUUUCAUAUUUUUUUAUAUCUGCUUUGCAGCCAGUAGGGUUGGGAAAAAUCGCAAAGCUUAUCAAUGCAGGGAAGAUAGAUUCUUCUGAACUGAUUACAAUGAAAACACUCAAGGUUUGCUGAUUGUUACCUCACUUCAAAUGGAAUUGUUUACUUCAUGUGCUUCUGAUCAUUCUUCUGCUCAUUAUUAUUAUUACCGUAGGACUCAGGGGCAAUAGGGAAGCAAAUACAAGAUGGAGUACGGUUGAUGGGGCGUGGCUCUGAACAGAUUCUGUGGCCCAUUCAUCUAGAGGUAGAAUAUGAUUACAUUUUUUAAAAAUGAACUGAUCUUUUUCUAAUGUCAUAUUUUCACGAUUGGUCGUAUCUAAUCAUCAAUCUUACCUCAUUAAAUAGAAUAUGAUUACUUAAAUAACGAAUUGAGAGCCUGCUCUCUUUUUCUAUUGGCAGCAUAAACAAUCAAAAGUGGGAUCAGCCAUGUUUUGACCUUGGCAAAUGGAAUGGUAUACAAAUGUUGUAGUAUGUAUCUAAACAUUAAAGAACUAACUAUUGGCUUGAGACUGCAUUCAACCUCGAAUUUGUUUUAAAAAAAGUUGAUAUUACUAUUAUCCUCAUAUCUUCAAAGUUUAUAUCUUCACAGUUUUCUAAAACUGUUUACAAAUAACUCGCAUGGUCUGUGAUUAUGGUUCUGUAAUGUGCUAUUGUUUGUCAACAAGAAAGUAAAUGCAAAAUUGGUCCUUUUUUUGUUUAAAAUACUAAAUUAUUAGUUAUGCUUUGUAAUUGUAAUUUAUAAACUCAUUAGGCUUAAAACCUGAGCAUGCUUGUGAUAUGGUGAGAUUACAGGUAUCAAGGGUCACUGUUAGAGCUAAGGAAGCAGUUGAAGCAGCUGGUGGGUCUGUGAGAAAGGUGUAUUACAAUAAGUUGGGCUUUAAGGCACUGCUGAAGCCAGAAUGGUUUGAAAAGAAGGGAAGAUUGUUGCCUAAAGCAGCUAGACCUCCUCCAAAGCAAAAGGAUAAAGUUGAUAGCAUUGGUCGGCUGCCUGCACCAACCAAGCCAAUUCCAUUUUUAGUUGAAGGAAGCAAAGAUGUUCCCGUUUUAUCAGCUUAAUUAUGACAUGUUUGGAUCAACUUCGAUUUCCUUAAAAUCAAUUCUGAAAUCCAGAGGCUACUCACAGAAGUUUCUCUCCAUAAUUGAUUAUGAUUUUAGUUAUUUUAUAGUUAAUUGUAGAAGAAUUUCCAAACAUGCGCUUAAUAAGUGUUUGGUGCCAGUUUUUUAGGGAGUUGUAAUUCUUUAUGAUGUAAACGGUCUUAGUUACUUCCAGAGUUUUUUAUGCAGUAUCUUGCCAUGCGCAGGUAGUUAAUUCAGUGAGAUAAAUUUAAAUUUCCUUUGGGACAAAUAAUGAGAAAACAGCCUUGUCUUUUUUUGUCAUUCAUUUAAGCAACGCAAGUAUCUUGCUAUAAACGCUUUAUUUGAAAAAUUACACUCACAAAAUUGUAUUUAUUUGAAAAAUUACACUCCCAAAAGUGUAUGUUUGGUUCGGGAUUGAUGCAAACCUUGUGUGAUUGUACAUAUCUAAAGAUAUUAACGAAAAAGUUAGAAUUUAUCACGUUGAGUUUAAUGUGAAUUAAAGAAGUAACAUUUUUAUCAUGUUGAGUUCAAUGUAGACCCUAAACCCUUUGUAUUAUUUAUAAGUUUUGAAGUCUUCUCUUAGAAUUAUUAUUUAUAAUAGUCUUCGCGAUUGAAUGACGGAGAAAACUAGUAAAGAAAAGCCAAAUAGAAGGUAAUCCUGCUUCAAAGAGUAGAGUUGCAAUUCAUGUAAGUUUCUUGUCACAAGCAACUUCGUUAAAUUAUAAUUUUUUUGUACAUUCGUGCUGACUACUAAUUUUGCAUACCGGCUUAUAACCCCAAAUAAACCUGGGAUGUUGGCAUUAAUGUCAACCUUAAGCAAUGAAAGUGCUUAGUGCCUACCACGUUUUGAUCAAUAUUCUGUCCCUUAAAUAUGUGCAUGACUUCCCUCACAAUUGCAUCGAACAAACAAAUCAACACAACCUGUCAUUAAUUGCAACAUGAAGUUCCACCACAUUUCCUUGUUCCUUCUUUCAAUCGCAUUGGUGCUGAGCAACAGCUAUGGUCUCCCUGUCCCAGGAAAAGUGCUCAAUGUACCUCCUGAAGCAUUGCUUUCCACUGGUCACUAUCAUACAACAUGCCCAGCUGCUGAAGGCAUUGUCUCACAAAAGGUUGCUGCUUGGGUUAAGAAGGAUCCCACCCUGGCCCCUUCCAUCAUUCGCCUGCAUUUCCAUGACUGUGCCAUCAGGGUAAUCACUAACUCCUUCUCUAUGCAGUUUGCAACAUGCAUCGAACAAUGUCAUAAAGUUCUUAAACACUUAGAGGAAGAGGUUUCCUGGUUAUAGUACGUAGUCCUACCUGAAUGACAAUGAUUGACUCAUUUAAAUGAUACAUGUGAAUCUUGAGUAAGUACAUGUUUGGAUACACGAUAGAAAAUCACGGAGAGACCAAAAUCACAGUGAACAACUACUAAAGCUAGGAUAAAUUACUUUUAUCUUCCGUAAUUUUGCCUCAUAAUGGUUUUCAUCGUGUAUCCGAAUAUGCAAUAAAUAACAAUGCCAUAAAGUUUACACUGAAAUUAUGUCCAAUCGAAUAAUUGUUGUAAGUUUAUUAGCUUGCUAAUCAUGAUUUAAAUUUUCAAUUAGACUGGUUGCUUUAAUGUUACAAUUCGGGUUAGGCCUAACUUCAUCGCAAAAGCUUUUGCGAUAGGGUUUGACUUAACCCAAAUUGUAAAAUGGUAUGAUAGUCUAUCUUAAAUAUGUUUGUUAAGCCACCUAUAAUGAGUAUCUAUAAGAUGCCUAGCCCCAAAUUUUACAUUCUAGAUGUCCAGCUUUAAGUGUAAGAGGUGUUGAGAGGUGCAUUGACUACAAAUAUUACCAAAAUAAGUCAUGAUAGUGGGUAGAACAAUCUCACCCCUGAACUAUCUUUGAGGUAUAAUUAGGCUUAACCCAAAUUCUAAGAUGAUGUACAUGUGAAUUGAAUUGUUUUGAUGACUGCAAUUUAUCAAAAUGCAGGGAUGUGAUGCAUCAAUUUUGCUUAACCACAAAGGAAGUGAGAGGAAUGCCUAUGAGAGCAGAACACUGAGAGGUUUUCAGAUGAUUGAUGACAUCAAGGCUGAGAUAGAAAGAAGGUGUCCAAGAACAGUUUCUUGUGCUGACAUUCUCACUGCAGCUGCAAGAGAUGCUACUAUUCUAGCUGGAGGACCCUUCUGGGAAGUCCCAUUUGGACGCAAAGAUGGCAAGAUUUCCUUAGCCAAAGAAGCCUCUCUGGUUCCUCAAGGCCAUGAAAACAUCACAGCAUUGCUUCAAUUUUUCCAAAAAAGAGGGCUAGACAUGCUUGAUUUGGUCACUCUCUCAGGCUCACACACAAUUGGGAGGAGCACUUGCUCCUCUUUUGCUGACAGGCUUUACAACUUUAGUGGAACUGGAAAACCUGAUCCCUCACUGAAUGUCUAUUACUUAAAAUUGUUAAGGAAAAGGUGUCAAGGGGUGUUGGAUUUGGUGCACCUUGAUGUCAUAACACCAAGGAAAUUUGACACAACCUACUACACAAACCUUGUGAGGAAAGUGGGGCUGUUGUCAACAGAUCAAUCACUGUUUUCUGAUGCAAGGACAGCUCCUUUUGUGGAAGCAUUUGCAACACAGCCUUUCCUUUUUACUAGCCAGUUUGCUGUGUCAAUGGUGAAGCUUGGGAAUGUUCAAGUCAUGACUAGGCCUAAUGAAGGUGAAAUCAGAGUGAAUUGUAAUUUUAUCAAUCGUGUCUAAUUGGUGCCCUGCAUGAUGUGUGGCUAGCUUCCUAGUUUCAAUUUACAUUUGCGAUGACAAUAUAUAGUUUAGCAAGGGUUGGCUUGUUUGGGAACUGAAGUCAACAGUGAGCUUGCUAUGGGUAUUGUGUGUUACAGUUACUUACUAUGAUUUAUUUGCAAACCAAUUAUAAUUUGGCAGUUUAUUAGUAUCCAACUGAAAGAUUAAUUUUAGAAUAUUAAAGAAACUAGCUAAAACUUGUAGAUUCUUGACUUAAGAGCUUCUAAGAAAUUGACGAGUUUAAACAUUUCAUUGAAAUAUUAUUGGAUCUUCCUAUGUUAAAUAGGAAAAUCACUUGGUUCAGGAGCGGAGGACAUGCCAAAAGUGGGAUUGACAGAUUCCUAGUGUCUCAGGAGUGGAUUUUAAAAUGGCUUAAUUGCUCCCAAACAGUUCUUAUUAUAGCAAUUUCUGAUCACUUCCAUCUUGUUGUGAAGCAUGUAGACAUGGACCGAGGGACUAAACCUUUUAGAGUUUUAGAUUUUUGUGUGGAAAAUCCAACGUCCUGUAAAUUUGCGGAGCAAAAGUGGAAAGAAUUGGAAGUGAGUGGGAAUGAAGCACAUGUGGUUAAUAAAAAAAGCCUAAUAAGUUAAUUGAGGAGCGAGAAUUAGGAAAUCUUUGAUUAUGUAAGAGGAGAAAUUAAUAUGAAUGUGGAAGGAAUAAAUAGGUUGGACAAAUUGGAUAAAAGGCUUGUUUUUUUUAUGCUCAACCACAAAGAAGCAAAACAGAAAACUGGAAAGCAAAAAAACCCCUACAGCCGAACAAAAAUUGUCCCCAGAGAGUCAGCCAAUAACAACGGCUCCAGGCCAGGAGGGGGGUCCUAAACAAGGAGGAAAUCCAAGUCUUGACUAGCUCCCAUCUUAGCUAGGAAAUCCGCGCAAGCAUUCCCCUCACGCAAAGUGUGCACCAGUCGCACCUCCCACGGUUGACAAAGCAGAAUAACAAUUGUUUAACUAAAAAGGUCCGGCUCAAACAAUUUAAAAAACCUAUUUAGUCUGAUAGGCCGACCUACUUAGUACUUAUAUUUUAUUUUUAUUAAUAAUAUAAAUAAAUAUAAUAUAAUUAUAUAUAAUUUAAUUUUUUUUAAACUGAUGUAUACUUUAGUAUAAAAGAAAACCCUAAGUCCCUACCCUAACCUAGAUUAGAAACGUUCCAGACAUAUUCAUCAUAGCACAUCUUCAGCCGCACAAGACGCAGGCUGCAGCGUGCCGCCACUACCGAUCUGCCACUGCCAAGUCCACCUCUCCUGCAAUGAUAUAUGUUUAGUUUUUGAAAUGCAAUGAUACAUAUUUUUUUAUUUAAAAAGAAAGUGCAAUGAUAUACCAGCCUAAUGACCUUCUUUUGAUAAAAUUGUCUGUUAAAUAGACUUUUAAAAAGGCUUGUAGGCCAGGCCAUACCUUAGAAAAGGUCAAGCCAAGCCAUAAAAUUUGGCAUAUUGAUAGGCCACAAGCCAGGCUUGGGUCACGAAAAGAGAAUGCAGGUCAGGCCUGGACCACGCAAAGCUUGACUCGCCUCGGCCUAUUUCCACCAUCACUUCUACGUGAAUGUGAUUUGGUAAAAAGAAGGGAGCUAAUUGCAUAUCUUUGGAGGUUGUCAAAUCUGGAUGAACAUAUUUUAUGGCAAAAAUUUAGAUGUAUGUGGGUACGAGAGGGGAUAAAGCGAAAGAUACUUUCACGCGGUAAUAAAUAAGAGAAGCAGGUCAAAGUCUAUAUCUAGGCUAAAACUGAGAAAUGAAUGGGUAGAUAAGCUAGGAAGGGUCAAGAGGGGAGUGAAGUUAUUUUUUUGAAGACAGGUUUAAGGAAACCAAGUAGAAGUAGACUUAGGUAGAAUGGUAUAAACUCUAAAAGUCUAAGUGUGGAAGAGAAUAAUCUUUUAACUGCAAGUGUUGAAAUUGAGGAGAUCAAAUCAGUUGAGAGGGAGUGUGAUGGCAGCAAAUUCAGAUGAUUUUAAUUUUAAGUUUAUCAAUUCUUAGAUAUAGGAAUAUUUCUCAUUUGAAUAUAUGGAGAGUAUUGUUUUUGACGAAGAUAUAUGGAGAGUAUUGUUAAAUGAAUUUCAUGAUCAUGGUGGGGUCCUACACAAUAUGGAUGUAAUUCUCCAAUCAUAGGUUUAAUUCCAGAAAUUGAUGAGAAUCCAAUAGGGUAAGGAUAGCAUAGAAAAAUUUCUCUUAUUGGUUGCUUGUACAAGAUUAUAGCUAAGGUUGUAGGUAGACUAAAAAAAGUCAAAGUAGUGUAAUAAAAAAGAAAUCAAAUUGUGUUCGUAGGGGAAGAUAGUGGAUAUGAGGCCAAGAAAGAGAAAAGGCCAUGUUGCAUAUUCAGCAUUGAUUUUGAGAAUGGAUACGACUUAGUUUGUUUCAAUUUUUGGUUCGAUGUGUUAAAAAGGACAGAAUAUUGUAAGAAAUGGAUUAGAUUGAUGAAGUGAUGUGUGGAAUCCAGUUCAAUUUUGGUCAUGGUGAAUAAGAUCAUUGACAGAAGAAUUUAAAAUGGAAAAAAGUUUGAGAUAAGACGAUCCAAUUGCUUCAUUCCUUUUUUUUCUUUUUAUAAUGGUGGAAGUAUGAGGUGGUUUAUUGCGACAAGCAGUAGAUAAAAGUUUGUCAAAUGAGUUCAAAGAUAGGAAAUGAGCUAAAAUUUCACAUCUACUAUUUGUUGAACAUUGAUAAUAGGGAAAAUGUCACUGAGCAAUAUUUGAAAGAUUAAGAGUAUUGUGCGGUGCCUUGAACUGGUCUCUAGUGAUUACUGAGAUUUGAUCUGGUUAAAUCAUCUCUCUGACGAAAUGGUGUAAACGUGAAAACAUUUAUCAAAAUAGUCUCAAAUGUAUUUACAGGGCGACCCACCAUGGUUCACUUUGACUUUACCUGUUAUUAUAGGUGGACAUAGUGGGUUGACCAGUAAUAAAUCAUAAAAAUUGCAGUUCAGUCUUCCAUAUCUGUCUGAGAGUGUACACAUAUAAGAGUUGAGAACCUGUAUGGAAAUAAAAUAAUCAAACAAGUUUCCAACAUGUGAAAAAACCUGUGAGCUCUGAGGAAAACCCAGGUCGAUCGUUGAGGUGUUUGUUGGACAUCGCGGCCCAGGUCGAUCGUUCUGCGUUUGUGUCGACGGUGAAAGACGGCAUUGUUGGAGUUUUCGCCAUCGAGUAACACCGUGGGUGGCGUUGCUGGUGCGUCCGUCGAAGUGGAGGAGGAACCCUGUAAUCGCGUUGAAGGAUAGAUCUUUUAUUCACAUAUCAGAUCAUAUUUAUCACUCUCAAAUUAAGCAAAUAAAUGUCUGCUUUCUCAGGAUAUCAUCUAAGCCUAUCAUCUACUGCAAUUAACAUUCAACUCCAUAGCAUCAACCUUGUCAUGUAUAUAAAAUUGCUCAUGCCUAUUCACCCAUCAAUUGCCUCACAGUUAAAAGGCAAGGCUCCCAGUUACAACAUUCCACAACAAGAUAUAUGUUUAAUGUGUUAAUGUGAACUCUCAAUACAAAAGAACUGUCAUGAAACAUCUAAACAUCUAAAUGCCACGCAUGAAUACCACACAAUUCAAUUGCCAAUUGAAUGAAAAACCCACGACAUAAUUUCCCCAAUAAUUUCAGGCUAUAAUUUGAACAGGUUCUAAUCAUAAUUUGAGGCUAUAUUUUGAACCCAUCUUGAACAGUACCUCCAUCGAGAGUCCCUUCACAUGAGUCAAUAAUGUGCAUGCUCCUGGCUAUGGUUCCGACUGAAUGCCUCCAUUUUCAGCAGGUUGGAAUGAAUUCGCGAUGGUUGGAAUUAAGCUCAGAGGUUGUUACAGAAGAACAACCCUUUUAUCGAAGGAAAACCCGUUUAGGGUUCGCGACGUUUGCUAAAGGGAGCGCCGCGACCGACGACGAACGUUACCGCCGGUGAACUACGACCACUGACACCGAUGACGAAUUUCGGAGGAGAUUACGGAUUACAGAGGACCGUAAUGGAACGAUACCAUGGAACGAUCUGAAAGAAUGGGAAAGGGAACGGAACCAGAUCAAGCUUUUCACUUUCUUAUGUCUCUGAUUGCAAAUAAUUUUUUAGUUUCCAAAAUCCUCCUAUAUCCAUUAACAGGUAACGAAGGCCAACCAUUGGAUCAUUUAAACCCCAAUCCAACGCUCAGAAUUCAACUGCACCAAAACUGACCCACGCUAGGUGAAACCCAUUUACAGGGAAUACAAACCUUAACAACCUAUAUACUAAUAAAAGGCUCAUGAUUCACUUUACUUUCAUUCAUCAUAUGAAAUGCAUUCAUGAAUUAUGAACCACUUGUUUAGCUGUAGAGCUGUUAAACAUUUUUGUUACUGCAACAAGUCUUUUAAUCUAUUCACAUCGACACUGAUGUCAAGAAGGCUAGAAACAUGAGCUAACGAAAUAACUCUCGCAAACCUUCAAGUCUUCAAAUGUGAUGGUUGUUAGUUUCUUCUCAAGAAAAUAUUAUGAUUUUCCCUUUAGGAGAAACAGUCACCACUGUAACAAAAUUUUAAAGUCCUCACAUCAGCAUCCCAGACGCAAUUGUGAUCGCAUUAUUUCAAAGUUCUCCACAAUUUCACAACGCAUGAUCUAUUUUCAAAUUUCUAUAUCAAAACAUUAACUUAAUGACUAAUACGUCAUACCUCCAACUUCUUCCUUUGAAAAUAGCAUAACUUUUGUCAUCUUUUUCCCUCCCCCUUUUAUUUGUUGUUUAAAUGGAAGGGGACAUAUCAUAUAAAAGACAAUGGUGCUGCAUGAUUGGUGAAAAGAACAAUGCAAGAGGGCUUCAGAAAAUGCCAAAUCGAACCGGGAACCAGCUGAGUGGGUGGCAAUGGGAAAUACGUGUGGCUUCACAAGGUUGCCGACAGUCGCUAUCAAAGUGAAAUGUGGCCAGGAGACAUAGACUGUGACGGAUGCCGGUUUCGUCGCCGGUGACACACUCCAUAAAUAUCCUCUUUUUGAUGACAUAUAUUUUCCUAUUUCCACUAGCUGCUGUUCUUUCAUCAUUUCAUUUUCACCCUAAGGUGAAAUGGGUAGGUUGCAGACUUGCAGUUGAAUUGCAUGCCCCACGUUUUGAUGUUGGGCCUAUCAGCCUAUGCAUGGUUUUAUAAUUAAUUAGUUGAAGGGUCCAUCAUCAAUUCAUGUGGAGAACAACAAGACCAAACCUAUAUAUCCCCUCUAAACCUGUCUGUCUCUCGAGACUUCACCCCACGCUAUGCCAUGCCAUGCCAUGCAUCUUAACUCUCUUACUAGUACCUACAUUGAAAAGACAAGAUAAAACAAUGAUACUUCGGAAUAUAGUUACCUGGUUCUCCAUAUGUUGCGGUACGCGGUACGGGUACCGGAACGUGGUUCGCGAUUAAAGAAAUAUGUGGUACGAGGAGGGUAUAUAGAGUCGGUUCGUCAUUUUGGUACGUGAUACGUUUUAAUUAAUUAAUUAGUACUCUCAUGUAAAUUUUAUGAUAAAAAGUCAAAUAAUUAUUGCCAAUUGAGAACCUAAGUAACAAUUUUCAUUCCAUUAUUUGAACAUGAUUUGUUGUUUAUAUUUUUUUUGUGUGGAAAGAUUUGUUGUUUAUAUAUAUAAUCAGACUUGUUGUUUAAUAUAUAGGGAGUAUUAAUUGUAGUUUAAUAAAAAAACUGAAAUUGAAUCAAUUAAGAGAGAUUCACGAGAUUUGUGGCACCAUUAUACUACUUGACCUUUUCAAAUAUGUCUUCUGGAAUUCAAAAAUCUUCAAAAAAGGAAAAAAAAAUCCGGAACCUGAAAAUGGAGUACCAAUACGCGUAUGGGAGAGAACCAGUUCGCAAAAGUACCGCGAAUUGGUACGCGCGAACUGGUACGCGGUUCCACCAAAAAAUGAAGAACCAGGUAACUAUGUUCGGAUACACAAAAUGAUACUCAGAUACAAAAACAAAACCAAUUCUUUCAGUAACAAAACUUUGGGCACCUCCAAUCCAAGCACGGGCAUAAUACCAGGAUGGAGCACAAUGGGGAUGUACUUGUAAAUUAAAAGACUCUCUAACACUUAACUUAACUCGUAAGUUAUUAGUGAGAGAAACUUAAAGUCUUAAAACAAUAUUUAGUGAACAAAAUUAGUUAAUGCUUAUAUGACUAAUAAUAAAAAACAAGUAUUAAUAAAGCGCGAUAUGACUUCUAAUCAAUGUUAAGAAAACACAUCGUUCACUCAACCGGGGUUCAUCUAAGUUUUAAGUACUCAAAAGAUAAAUAUUUACUGGUUCAACUCAGUUCAAGUAUCGGAUCAAGCGAUUUUUGAACUAGCCGGUCUUUCCCAGUGACAAAACCAGUCACUCUACUAAUUCUCGGUCGAAUCGAUCGGUCCGAUCCUAUUUUUGAACACUACGUGUAAUUGAGACAAUAUGCCGUAGGGAAGUUUUUGUGGAGGACUUCCAAAAUAAUGACUAGGCUUAAACAACUUUUUAUUUGUUUAAUGACUUCGUCAACUAUGUUUCACUAUGCUAACUGUUAGAUGUGGUGAAUCUCGCUUCGGUCAUUUUGACUGAUAUAUAUGACAUUCAAUUGGUUGUGAGUCAUUUAGGCUAUCCAAAGCGAUAUUGGGUCUGAUUGCUAUAUUUUUUCUGAUCGCUAUAUUGUUAGAAUAAGAUCCUGUAUAUAUAAACUCUCAAUUUUCUUUUCAAUCUCUAACUUUUUAUCAUAUCACAUCAUAUAUUACAUUCAUUACAUUUUUCUAUUAUCUUCCUUUCUUAUUUUGUGAUUUUGUCGUUUCCACUAUCUGAAUAUAUAUCAACAACUCAUAAAAAAUGCAUUACAAUGUAUAUUUAAUAUUUGGGAUUAAGAUAGAGAUAUUCUAAAAAGUACUUUCCAACCACUCAUAUGGUAUAUAUUAUAUAUAUUCCAUUUUAAAAAUUGGGGGAAGAGAGAGGGGUGAAAAAAAGAAACAAACCACACUCAUUUGGCAGGGAGGGAGUCCCCGAAAGAUAGCUCAAGUAGUAAGAGCUAUGGACAUAAGGGUUGGGUGGGAUGAAGGAUGAAGGGUCCCGGAUUCGAACUCGAAGGAGGGGUUAAUUUACUAACAUUUCUAAUAACUAACAUUUGCCUAUAAAUAAAAAGAAAAAUUUGGUAGGGAGGGAGGGAUGAUGAGUCCCAACACAUUUUCUUGGAUCUCUCCAAAUUGUGAAAAAGGGGUGGACAAUGCUUUUUUUUAUUUUUAUUUCUACCAUCAAACUUGACGGUUUUAAGGUGCCAAAAAAUGUACUUAUGACAUGCAGAAAUUGUUAUUUUUUGCACAUAGCUGGGUAAAAUGACAUCUAGACACAAAAAGUAAUUUUCUUUCAUCACAUUCUCUCUUAUAUUUUUAUUAUACCGAACAAUCUACAAAAUCUAUUAUUAAUAUCUUUUGAUCUCUUUACUCAUAUUCUAUCUUUCUCGACAAAGCAUUCGUGUUUACAAGAAUGGGUCCCACAACAUCAUUCAAGAACUCGCCGGGAAUGACAUUUUCCCCGAAAACACUUCUUUACCACCCUAAAAAUUACAUCAUCGUCCGAACAUAAACAUUUCACCCAACACAUGCCAGAAAUUUCUCAAACCUAAGACACACACUGUCCCUAAGGUAUGCAUCUACUGCAGGCCUCCCCUCAUAUUUCUUAUGCUUAAUCAGUUAAUCCAAUGGGAGUUAAUCCAAUGGGACAGGUCGUGCAUUUAGGGUUCCCAUCAAUUUGAUUAUGGGUGCUCUUUUUUGUCCUUGAAAGUGUUGAUUGUGGGGUAUUAUUUUUGAAUUGCUUGGGGAAAUAUUUAUUAAGAAAAAUUGUUACUCAAUUUUAACUCGUAUUAACCAAUCAGAUUGUAAGGAUGUGUCACGUCAAUUAAUGAAAUUGAAUAAAAAAUCAGAUUUUCUCACAUCGUUAAAAUCUGAUUGGUUAACAAAAGUUAAAUUCUUGUUGUUAUGUAGCUACAUAACUAAUGAAAAAAAAUUCCAGGACACACCCAGCAAACCGCCAUGAACGUUAUAAUGUCAUUAUUUGAAAAAUUUAAUUAAAGUAAUCUAUCUAUAUCUAUAUAUAACAUAUGGAAAUUAAAGGUUAUGUAUGUUGUCCUUUCCCCAAUUUAGCUGAUUCUGUUUAAUCAUCCUAACUAAUUUAAUGAUCGAGGCCAAUAUGCUGAACAGCAAUAAUUAAGUUCAAUGGCAGUGUAUCAAAAUAUCUAAUCUUGUGAGGUUUGGCCAACUUGCCACUUAAUCAAUUGUCUGGUAAACCAACCGCAUCAUUGUCUUCUGCCCUUAUUAUAAUAAAAGAAAUAUAGCUCCUAUUAUAUAUAUGAUAAAUAUUAUGGACAAAGAUGUCGACAAUCAUUUCAUUAUUAUUUUUUUAACCAAAUGGACUAAUUAAAACUAUAUUUAUUAAGAAGCAACAAAUCGAUAAAGUACUGCUACAAUCUGAAAGAUUAUAGGUGAUAAUGGAGCACGAACUUUGUCUUUCUAUCCACCACAUGUUUAUUCUAAUUUAGGUUACUCAUACCACGAUAGGUGCGAUACAGAGGUGGUGUUGUGACAUUGUACAUUAUAUUUGAAAGUUUUUUUUAGAAGCCAAAGGAAAAUGUAUAUAAGAUAGCACUAGGGGUGCUAUAACCCAUAUACAAAUAGAGAAGGAAAGUAGUAGGAAUAAGAAAUACAAGACCAAUACAAAAGGGAGCACUAAAGCUGUACAGGUUUAAUACUCCCCCAUGCAUCUUUCUGGAUCGACAUCAAUGCCAAUAGAGGUGGGAAUAGGUCAGACCGUUCGUAGGGGCCUAUGACCUAACCUACUACAGUCCCAGGCCAGGCCAGGCCAGGCCAAAUUGGUAAAUAGGCAAGGCUUAGACUUUUUGAAAAGUCUAUUUAGUUAAAAGGCCAAGCUCAGGCCAUACAAAAAACCUUGUAAGCCUUAUAGGCUAGCCUAUUUAAGUAAAUAUAAUUAGUAUUUUUUUGGUAAAUUAUAAAUAUGAUUAGUAUAAAUAUAUUUUACUAUAUAUUUGAAAUUUAUCAUAAUAUCUUGAUAUUAUAUACUGAUUGACAUUUUUAUAUAUUUAAGCAAAUUGACUUAUAUAAUUUCAAAGUUAUAAGUCAAUUUAAAAAUAGAUAUAUGACGUAUUUAAAUACAUUAAUAUGCAGUGUGAUUUUAAUUUGGCUCUCAGACUCUAAGAAACCAAAUCUCGUUUAUUUUCAUCUCCACCUAGUAGCUUAUAAUAUUAUAAGUCAGAUUGUUGAAAAAAUUAUUUUAGUAUAAUUUAACACGUUAGCUUAUAAGUUUGAUAGUUUCUUUAUAGAUAAGUUUGUUAGCAAACGUAAAACUCUUGUUGUGAAACGAGCCUUUAAACAGGCUAACAGGCCAAAUCAGGCUUUUGGGAAUGCCAGGCCAGGCUCGAAAAAAAGUCUUUGACAGGCCACAGGCUAGGUUCAAACCUUAAGAUUUUUAAACAGACUAGGCCUAUUUACGCAAAGCCUACUAGGCCCAGCCUAUUCCCACCCCUAAAUGCCAACUUGUAUUGCUAGCUAGUUACCAUUGAUCGGAUAAACUGAUGCGCUAUAAAAUAAGUAACCUAAGUCUUACUUUUGGGUUGGCUUGUCGGCUAAGUCGAUGCUGAUGCUAAUUUAGGUUGGUUAGCAACAACUAAGUCGGCGCAAAUUAAGUAUUUUUGUUACUUAAAGAUAGCGCCUAACUGACUCAUGCUAAUUUAAUUUGUGUGGAUAAAGCCCGAUUAGCAAGUCAGCGCUACAUCAUUUGGAACACAAUGUAAAUUAAUCAAGCAGACACUAACGGUCUGUUUUGUUUGAGGGGAGGAGAGAGAAAGGAAAGGAAAAAUGGAAAACUAAAUUUUUUCCCUUCUUUGGUUCAUGAGAAAAACAUGGAGGAAAGAAAAAAUGGGGUGGGCCCCACCCCAAAAUGUUUUCUUCCUAAAAUGGAGAGAAAACGGUGGAAGAUGGGCAUACCUUAUAAAAUGCCAAAAAUGUCCAAUAGAACAAAAACGUUGAUUAUUUCUUUACUUGUUUUUUAUUAUAGUUUUUCUAUUAUUUUUAUAAUACUGGUUUCUUUUAUUAUUUAUCUGACAAUGACAACGAUAGUAAUUUCAAAUAUAUAAAUACAUAUUAUCAUGAUACAUCUUUCUAAAUUAUUGUACAAUUUUAGUUUUACUAAAAAAAUAUGACAAAUACGAUAUUAUUUUUUGAUAUAAAAUAUAUGUUAUAAAAGUAAUUUUAAAGAUACCCAGAAAAUUAGAAUCAACAUAUUUUGAACUGUGUAAAUUAAUUUUAAAAAUGUAAAUUAAAUUUUGUUAUAUAUGAAUUAUUUGUGUAAUUAUAUAUAUAUAUAUAUAAAGAUAAAAUAGUAAUUAUACAUCACACUUUUUUUCUUUCCUUCCACAUUUUUCUUUUCCAUUCCCCCACACCAAACAACCUGAAAAUAAUCUUACUCUCCUUUCUCUUUCUUUCCUUUUCUUUUCCUUUCUUUUCCUUUCUCAUACCAAACAAACCAUAAAUGCAAGACCUAGAUCCUAGGGCCAACGAUUAGUAUCGGUCAUUGACGCUAAUUUGGUUUGGAAAACACAAAUCCUAGAUAAUCGGGAAAACAAAUCUAUUUCCUUCUCCAAUUCUAUACCCGAAUCCAUUCGACUACCAUCGUCUCCCACGUUUCUCCCCCUUCCAAUCUCGGUCGCUACUUUCUAAAGGGCUCUGGUAGUGGUUAAUAAGAAUUUCCUUCCAAAUUUUUGCAGUGACAAACCUCUCACCCUGGCUCUUACCUCACAAAGCUCCCUUUUCUACACCAAUGCCGUCCUCACAUUUCCUUUUCGGUGCUAGCAUGACAUGUCUUUGAUGACGAACUACCAUCGUCCAUCUUCAUCCACGAGCCACCGGCCACCAUCCACCAUCCACCAUCCACCAUUCUGUGGUUAGCUUCUGCCAGUAUGAACUACUUAGCCUCAAUAAUUCAAAUUGACUAUUAAAUUGUGUGCAGACAAAAAAAAUCAGUCAUAUAUCUGGAUGUCAGUAUAUUGAAAGCGAAAUUUCUCUCCGGCAAAAGCUAAUAUGCUUUUCUUGUAUUGGAUCACUGCUAGCUUUUACAUAAAAAGAGAAUCCCUCAAUUACACUCAAGUUGACAUAUUUGCAUUACCGACCAGCAAAAAGCAACAAGCUAUAGGGUGAAUGGUACAGUGUAACUUUGAUCUUUUCCCUAUCUCUAUGGAAAGUUUUUAUCCAAACGCUGUACACCACUAUGUACAGCCAUAAUUAAUCUCCCUUAUCAUUUGAUGUACAUGAAUUACCAAACAUCCCAUAUAGUAAUAUUUAAUGCAAAUGGUUACUUAGGUCAGUACAUAUAUAAAUGCAAUCAUUUCGAUCCUAGUAUAAAUUAAAGCUGCGUACGUAGAAACUGAAAGCUAUGUUGAAAUCGUUUCCCUCUAGAAAGCUAGGUAUAUGUAUGUUGUGUGUGUAGCUAAGGAAAAUGACACAGAGUUUCUUGUCAUUGACCUAAAUUAAAUUCGCACAAGAUGUAAAUAAAUACUCAUGCAUGCAUAAUUAUGCAUAUAAAUGCUAUAAAAGAUAUUACUUUUGGCACCGCCAUGCAUCCCAAAAAUUCUCACAUAUAUAGCAAAAAGUCAAAGUAAACAAAAACAGAUCACAUUUUCGAAAAUUAACCCACGUACGUACCACUAGCUAUUGUUAUAGGAUAAGCAAACAUGGAAGAGUGAAAGGAAAGUAACGGGGACAAAAGCUAUUGCGUGGGUCAUUAUCAUAGGAAAAUAAAUACUUCAUUGCUUUCAGGAUUUCCCAAAGUCUUCUUUUGAAUCUUUCACGUACUUUUUUUUUAAGUUUGGGUCGGUUCGGAUCUAAUCACCCGACAAGCCAACUUUCAGCAUUUCACAUACAAAUAUAUAUCAGUAAUGGAAUAUUUCACACAAAAAAAAUCUCAUUUUCAAUUUACUAAUAUUUAAUAUAAGUCAUAUAAAUUUCAACAAAUUAAUAAAAGAGUGUUUAAUUAAAUUAUAGUGUUAACACUCGUAUUGAAGCAAAACUUCCAAUUCGUGGUUUCUUUUCCUGCAAACAUUCUUAGAUAGUCAAUACAAUAUUUAUGAGCCAUGGACCCCAUUUGUUAUGAUUUUUAACACCUCAUCUGCAGAUAUCUAUGACUGUCUGCAUUGACUGCAUCAUUAGAGUUAGGGGGUGUACAAGGGAUGAGUUGGGACGGGUUUUGGUUAACCCUAAUUCGGCCCUAAAUAUUGACCUGGUCAAUUCAUAGACCCUAACCCGUCCCUAGACCCGAAGCAACCCGACAUUAUGCGGGUCCAAUUUAGGACGGGUCUAUGUAGGACGGGACCGGGUUGGCCCGAGGGACAAUAAAUCUAAGACUAUUUGAUACUAAUUGUAAAAUUUAAAGAUAAUAACAUACUUAAAGAGCUAUAAGUUAGAACUAAUUUUUAGAAGAAAGAACUUGAAAGGAUUCAAUUCUUUCAUAAUUUAUUGCACUUGAGAGGUUUACAUUUUGUUUGAUCUAUAUAUAUGUGUCACUCAUUUUGUUUGAUCAUUCUUCACUUGUCUCACAUGUGCAUAAUACACACAUGAUUUUCUCUUGUUAGAGCAUGAAAGUGUUCAUAGUUUGAUGAACGUUUAUUUACUUUAUAAGGUAGAUGUUGAACAUUUUAAUCUCAUCCACAUGAUAAGAUAAAUUUGAGCACCAUGUAUCACAUUUAAUCAUUAUAAUAAAUUAAAAUUUUAUAAAAUAUAUAUGUGGGACGGGCCGGGUGACCUGAGUGUCAACCUGAACCCGACCCUACCCGAACUCGGGUAACUCAAAGAUCAACCCGAACCCGGUCUUUUUAAUGAUCGGACCGGGUUCAACCCGACCCUAAAGGCUUGGGCCGAGACGGGUUGGCGGGUAGGGUCGGGUCUUAUACACCCCUAAUUAAAGUUAUGUGUUCUUCAAAAAAUCUUAAUUAAGUUUUGAUGAUAUGUGUACGCGUAUACUUCAUUCGUUUCAGAAAGUUUGUUGUUUUGGACAUUAUUUCAAUAUCCCAAAUGUUUGUUAUUUUAGAAGGUCAAUGUAUUUUUGUUAAUUUUUUCCACCUAUACAUUCAUUUAAUACAUUUUCUCUCACUUAUCACCUUUCAUAUUAACCAACCACAACUAUUUUCUAUCAAUUAUAUUCUUCUCUAUCUAUAUAUAAUUUAAUAGUUGCACAUUAUACUAGUAAAAUUAAAUAAGGACAAUCUAGUCAAAUUAUAUUAUCAAUAAUUGUUUUCUUAUAUUCUUUGUGCCACAACCUUAAAAUACAAACUUUCUGAAACGGAGGGAGUACGUGUGUGUCUUCUUUUACAACUUGAUGUUUAAAUUCUCUAAUGAGUGAUGGUAUAAUUAGCUGUACACUUUGCAAACAGAAACAAAUUAAAUGGAAGCUCAGGAAGUCAAAGCUAUAUAUGUCGAUCGAUUGAUUCGAUUCUGAUUCUAUGCAAAAAGGCGAUUCUUGAAUUUGAUUCUAAUUAUGUAAUUAACUUUUUGCUUAAUUAAGUUUCACAAAUCAUCACUUUUCUAUGUGAAUAUAUGGAGUUAAAGUUGAUUUGAGUAAUUUAAUCACGUUGAGUAAAUCGAGACCAAGAUUAAACUCUAUUGAAAUUAGGGUUUUGGACAUAUCUUUAAUAUAAUGAUCACUUUUUUGUGGCGAUUGAUGGUCCUACUGCUGCUCGCCUUGCAUCAAUUCUGAAUUGCAAACUUAUGGCGAUCCCCUUUGUUUACUUGGGCAUCCCGGUGGGGGGAGGCCCGAUAGGCGAGAUACUUGGGCCCCGGUGAUCAGAAACUUCGAGAAUAGAUUGUCGGCUUGGCGUCGGAAGUCUGUAUCCUUUGGAGGGCGAGUUUGUCUUAUUAAUAGUGUUUUAUCUGCUUUCCCGCUCUUCUUCCUCUCAUUUUUCAAGCUGCCAUCGUGUGUGGAGAAACUUUGUACUGGAUUCAUGAGAAGCUUCCUUUGGGGAGGCGAUGGAGUGGAUCGGAAGAUAGUGUGGGUCAAAUGGACUAAGGUGUGUCUUCCUAAGGGUGCCGGUGGCCUUGGUGUUAAGGACUUAGCGUCAUUUAAUAGGGCACUCCUUGGGAAAUGGUUGUGGCGUUGGCGUAAGGAACCUUCGGCCUUAUGGUGUAGGGUGCUCCAAGCUAAGUAUAAUGGUAAUUCGGGUGCUAAGUUCUCUGCCUGGUGGCGGGACAUUAAUAGUGUUUGUGUCUUGGAUGACCAAGACUGGUUUGAAGCUGGAUUGGUCAAGUCUGUUAGGGGUGGGGAUGCUACAGAAUUCUGGCAGGAGGACUGGUUGGGGUUUGGCACGUUGAAAGGGAAAUACAAUCGCCUCUAUAAUCUUUCCAAACAACGGUGGUCUCGGGUGUGUGACUGUGGCUCUUGGGAAAAUGGUGUUUGGCAGUGGAAGCUGGAAUGGAGGAGGCCCUUAGUGGGUCGUGAAGUGGUAUGGAUGCAGGAUCUCUUUCAGGAUCUUGUGGGGGUGCAAUUGUAUGAAGGGUCUCGAGAUAAUUGGUCAUGGACUGUUGCCUCUGAUGGUAUCUAUUCUGUCAACUCUGCAUACUUAUUUUUGCAGGAACACUUAUUACCCGCUCCUGAUCCUCUACUUUCUGGCGUUUGGAAAGCCUUUGCCCCCUCCAACGUCAAGGCUUUUACUUGGAGGCUACUUCUUGACAGACUUGCUACCUUGGACAACCUGCUGCGCCGCCGUGUCAUUGUGUCUCUUGGUGACGCUUCCUGUAAGCUGUGUCAUAACCAUAUGGAAACUAGCUUUCACUUGCUGUUCUCUUGCGCUUUCUCCCAGCAAGUGUGGCAACGCUGUUUCUCUUGGCUUGGGAUGGUUGCCUUCUCUUCUACCAGUCCUCGCGAUCAUCUUCUGGCUUUUCGAUUGGGACACAAUAGUUUGCAGCUCCGUGUGGAUCGUGCGAUCUGGAUGUCAAUUGAGAAGGGUUUGGAAAUUGGUUGGAAUUUUUGGGGUCUUGUCAGUGUUUGCUCUGGUUGCUGAUCUGGUUGGUUUCUUGGCUGUGGUUGGAGUGUGGGAGUAUUAUUUCUGUUGGUUCCUGGCUUUUUCUUGGAAGUAUUGUCUUGUCAUUCUACUUGGUGUACUCUUUUUCCUUCUAGGUUUUUCCCAAGGGGGUUUUCCUAGUAGGUUUUAAUGAGGCAUCUUUUGUUAAGACUUGCUUCUAUGAUUUUGUUUUUCUCAUCCUUGUAACUUUUCCUCUCUAUUGCUUUCUAUUUUGUAUUGGGUUGGAGCACCCCUUGUGCUUCUUUUCAAUAUAAAUUUGGCUUAUCUAAAAAAACGUACUUAGAAAUAAUACAAUAUAAAUCUUGGCUCAGGACUAAGACUAAAGCGGGUCAUUUCAAUUUUUCAAUUUACGAGUGGACUGUGCAUUUACUUAUCUGUAUUGAUUCUUUGUAAUCUGCUUGGGUUGGGUAACUCUUGUACCUAACAAUAUAUUUGGUUGAUAAAAAAAAUCAUGACCUAGUUUUUAAAUUGACUCCUAAAAUUUAGUAUUUAAUAAUUAAUUACUUUUUUUUUUCGAUGGUUAAUAAUUAAUUACUUAACACUCACUAAUAAAAAAAUUCACAUUUUCAAUACGGUAAUUAAAAAAUUAAUAUGAUAUUUAGUAAGCUACAUUAGUUUUAUUAAUUUGCGUGAAUUAACUAAAAGAACUUGUAAAGUCCCCAAACGAUAGCUCAAGUGGUAAGAAUUAUGAGACAUAUGAAAAAGAUUUAAAGUUCAAUUCAUAGAGAUACAAUUUAUUUUUCUGAUGUAAAAAAUAACUUAUAAAUAAAAAAGAAUGGAAUAAAUAGCAGUAGUAGUUUAGUAAAGGGAGACAUCGCAAUUAAGCAAACAUGGGUUUUUUACUUUUGUACAUUAGAAUCCAAAAUGGUGACGUAGUUUCCACAAUUAGCAGCCACAAGAGCCACAAUUUUGCUUUCUACGACAGACGUCAGAGGAACAGUUGCAAUUGUCGGCUAGCUGUAUGAGCCAAAAAAUGGUUCUACGGGAUGAAGAUAUCAAAUAUAAUUCUAUAUAAAUUUAGUGUAAGAAUAAUGCAAAUAAUAUAAAGACUGAUUUAUUUUUAUUAAAUUUAUUAUUUCCAAAAUAAGUAUGAAAAUACAAAUCAUUUUAUGUUAUUAAUUUUUAUAUAUUGCAAUAUUAGUUUAAAAUAAAUAUUUACAUGAAAGUUUAAUAGUAAUUAAUUUAUAAUUAUAAAUAGUUAACUAAAAAUAAUACAUUGUAUUAACAAAUAUUAUGCUGAACUUUUUCUUUGAUUUCAUAUUUGUGUAAGUGAAAAAUAAAUGUGGAAUAAUUUUGCACCCUAAAUUAAUAACCAACAAUGAUAUAUAGACACUUUAUUUUUUAAACACUUCAUUUCCACCUAUUUUUGUUUAUAUUUCUCCUCUCUUAUCAUCUAUCAUGUAACGCCCCAAUUUCUCAACUGAGGAAUCACAUUAAGUAACAUAACAAAGUCUAAGGACUAUUCUGCAAUCCCUAAAAUCCAAGGGUAUUUUUUUUUUGAAAGACAACUAAACACUUCAGCUAAAGGGUUGGAAACACAUCAUAACUUUAUUUAAAUAACCUGUUUCCCGAUAUACAGUGAUAAUAGUUUACAAUACCAUAAGUAAUGUUCAGAAUAAACAAGCGCACUUUAACAGUGGCGGAAGCAAGGCUUUAAUAACAGAGUUCUCAUAUAGAAACAGAGACUCGAACAUAGUCCACAAUAAGAGAAGCAAAGCUGCUUCUUACACCUCUACUCCACCGCCUACAACCCGAUCUCCAACUCGAGCAGCUAAGCUUCGGCGGAAGGAUCUCCAUCGCCUAAUAGCGUUAAGCGCCCAAACAACAAGUAGCAAAUAGAAAGGGUUAACUCCAUGCAAUUACCACGUAAAAAAAAAAGAAAAGCAUGCUAUUCAGAUUUAAGUGCAUUUCAUGGCACAUAAACUAGCAACUUAUUUCAAGAUAGAUGACGACAUAUAUCCAACAACAUGAAAUCAUAUCAGAUAUCAAAAACCUCAACCAUAUAACAUCAAAUCAAAUACCAACAACCUAAACUUAAUCAGAUAUCAGCAACGUAAUAACAUAAAUUUAAAACAUAUAACAAUAACCUCAACAAGUCAGAUCAGAUAUCGACAAGAUCAAAUGUUAGUGCUCUAGAAUGCAACUAUAUGCUGCUAUCAAAAUGGAUCGAUCAAUAUCGUCUCUCAAGACGAGACAAUGAUAGGACCACACCUCCUCAUCGCCUCUUAUAGCGUCUCACAAGACGGGACAAUCAUAGGACCACACCUCCUGAUCGCCACUUAUAGCGUCUCAUAAGACGGGACAAUCAUAGGACCACACCUCCUAAUCGCCACUUAGCGUCACAAUGGACGUGAUAAUGAUAGGACCACACCUCCUCAUCACCACUUUCACCUUAAGCCUUAUAUGCCAAGUCAGACAACAACUCCCAAUCCAAUAGUCAAUUCAGAGUAACCACAUGUUAUUCAUAAUCACAACAUUCACACAAACACAUCAAGCUCUACUAAGCGAUGAAAUAAUAAUUCAGUGCUGUAAAACAUAACCAUGUCCAAUCCACUAGAAAGCAGUAAUGACAAAAACCAGUAAACGACCGAAGCCUCUCAGAAAACGGAGACGAACGUCUCAAUAAGUUCACUCGGCCGAAGCCUCCAGAAAACAUUUUCCCAGUUCAGCACAAUAAUCAUAACCCAAUGCCAAUCAAUAUAAACAUCUUCGUCUCAAACGCAGGCAGUGUGAUAAAAGCAGGCAAGACUCAAAGACACGCUAAAACCGAGUUACCCUUACCUUCGUGAGUAGAAGUUGUACAUGAAAGUUGCGAACCUAGAACAAGGAAACACAAUAAUCAACACAAGCCUCACUAGGAGCAACACUAUCUAAUAACACUAAUCGAAACCGGAAGAAAGCUUUUAAAGCUUCAGAGUUCCUAUUUAGGCACGAAUUGACAACAGAACUUCGUUUGCUAAAACGCGCAUAACUUGAGCUACAGAAGUCGGAAUGACACGAAACCAAAGCCAAAAUUUCGACAAUCGAAAGAGCUACGCUAUAGCUCAGGUCAUAGAGACCCAAAAACUAUUUUUGGAUACGGUACCCUAACAACAGGUUUCGGCCACUUUAGAAAAUAGGGUUUCCGAACUUUUUCUUUGAUCUAAAUCAAUUCCUAGGUAUUCUUAGGCGAUAUCUAGGCCAGGGAAACUCUCAGAAAAAUUAUCGGAUCGAAAACUAGAACAGGGGUAUUUUGGUCAAGAUUUUUAGCUCGGAAACUCAAAAUCAGAAUUUUGAAAAAUAAAUUGGAUGAGGUCGAUACCAACGACGUUUAUGACGACUAAUCCUACUGACGCUAAGCUCAGUCGAGAGUUUUUGAUUCAAAAAGCGGAACCUCAGCAUAAAAUGGGUAUUUUGAGCAGAAUUGAAGUUCUGCGGCGAUUCGACGAGAUUCGGCGAAAUGUAAUCCGCUAAACAUGCUCUUGGGCAUGCAGGGAAUAAGUUUAGACAGAGAAAUCAAGUUAUUUGGACAGUUUUACAAAAAGCUCAAAACUUUGAGCACAGAAAGACAUAGAGAAAAGCGACAGAAUUUACGAUCAGAGGUAAGGAAAAACAUCAGUACCUCGAGGCCUACGCGUAGCAACGGACAGAGCGAAGAUCCAAUAAGAAUCGGCGAAAAUCACUUCUCCCCCUCUCUUCCUCCUUGCUCUCGGCCGUGUGUGUGUGUUGGUGGUGAUGAUAUUUUUUUUUUUGAUUUUUCAAGCUAUUUAUAGAAAAUGGAAAACGUGGGAAAAUGAAUAUUUCACGAUUCCAAUUUUUCCUGCACAUUCAUCUGUGAGUUAUAAGAUAGAAUCCGGCGACAUAAUUUCAGAACUCGAAACAGGUUUCUCAGAAUUUAAGCAAACGAUUCACUAACGAUGUUAAUCGAUUUAACCCGAAAAGUUACUUUUUGUAGUUGAUGUCGGAUGAGAAAACUUCGUUCUGAAGAAAGAUUGGAAACAUGGAAAGAAAUGGGUGUACGCGUGUGGAAUCUUCAUUUGAAGCUCCGAAUAGAAAAAGUCUUCAUCGACAGUUUACUUUAAGGUUCUUGAGCUAUCAGUGAUUUAGUUUCGGCAAACCUCCGAGAAUUGAAAUCGAUCAUUCGUACAUUCCAUGGUUUCGUGUCGAAACACUUGUCGUGGAAAGGAAUAAGAGAAAUUCUUAUACUCCUCUGAAUAUUUUUGAAUAUCGUUUCUACAGUGCUUUAAGAGCAAAUUAGUCAUUUGCUAACAUUUUCGCCCUAAGGCGGAAGUGAAUGAAACUCGUGCUAUAAACUAUAUCGACUACAGUACUAUUCUUAAUCAUUUCCUGAACUUUCUUCUUUAUAAUAUUAAUCCAACCAUCAAACGAAAGUCAAGUUCCUCUCACGCUUACACAGAAUCCUAUGCGUGAGUUAGAAAUUAUUUAUUUAUUUAAUUAUAAAAUCCUGGAUCUUACAUAUCACAUAUCAAACUUUCUCUCUCAUAUUUUUCUUUUCUUCCUAUCUCUCUCCUCAUUCCAACUCUUUCACUUCAAAAAGAAGUGUGUAAAUAACAUUAUUCAUUAACAUCAGAGUUUGGCUAAUAAUGCUGAUGUCUUAAAGAGAAAUUGUACUCAUUGUUUCUAAACACUCAAAAUCACUCCAACUCAAUUAUACCAAGAAGCAAGUUAUUUCGGGCCUAUUUGAUUACACUUUACAAAAAAUUGUUUUCUGCUUUUAAAAAUUGGAAAUUUUAAGAACGUAUUUGUUUUUAAAAACUGUUUUUGAAAACAGUUCUCAGUUCUCAGUUUUUAAAACAAAAAUAUCAGAACAGGUAAAAAAUGUUUUCUGUUUCAAUUUUUAUUUUUCAAAUUACAAUUUUUUAAUGUUGAAAAACAUAUAAUUCUUUUUUUUUUUGAAAAAAAGUUUCUGAAAACUAUUUUCUUAAAUACAGUUUUCAAAAGUUGCAACCAAACAGGCAUUUCUUCAUGUCUAAAUUUCCCCUCUCAUAUUCUCUCUUUUCUUACGUUUUGCUAGCUUUCGAUUUGAGUUGUUGCAUUUUUGUUUGCGUCAUUUAAUAAGAGAGCUGUUAGGCAUAGGCUUCGUAACGUAUGUAUUCACAUUACAAAAAAUGAUGCGUAUUCAUUCACCUUAUUGGUGUUUCAAAAAUUUAGAAAAUGGUAAAAAAGUUCUUUGAUUUUUUCAACAAAUUUCAACUUGAAGACGAAUUAUAGUUUGUUUUCACACCUUGAUCAUAGCAAUUGUCUUCUUUGGUUUGUUAUUCUAGCAUGCCAAUUGAAGUUGAACAGAACUUCAGUGAGUCAAUGGUCACCACCUUUAUUAGCAUAUCUCGCAGGUUCUUGCUUUCUACAAUCUUUUUCAACAAUAGAACCUCAUCUUCAAGCAAAUACCUGAUGAAGUGGGAACAUAUAUAAUGUUUUUGUUCUACGCUGAAAUGUUUAGUUCUUUGCUAGAAUAUCAGUAUGAGAGACGCUUCUCUCUCAAUGAAUCUCAACUCUAUUAACCAUCAUUGAAACCAUAUCAAAUAUUUACUGGGAUUUUUUUUUAAAGAGAAAUAUAAUAUAUAUAUAAAAAUAGAUAAUGUUGAGAAGCAACUCUCUCAACAUGGGUAAAGUUACCAAACCAACAAAAGCUGGCAUAAACCUAAGCACUACAAAAAUACCCUCUAAAAUUCCACAAGCAACACCAAACCAAAUACAACUAGAAGAGGCAUCUACCAAAAGUUGAAAACAACGGUAAGCACAACGAUCCUACCAAUAGCAUGAAACGUGCAAGAUAGAGAAACAAUCCAAAUGUGCAAAGCACUAAACCCAACAAUUGCCAUAGAGUUGAGACCUGAAGUCAAAAGAACCUGAAACAAAAAAGAAAAAAUGAAAACGAGGAAAAACACCGUGACCAGACGACUAGAGCAUUGACAAAAACCUCCAAAUUGUCUUAAGACCCAAGCAGCAGCAGCCACAUGCUACUGACAACCAAAACCAACAAGAAGCUAAAACGCAAAGGCCGGAAGGAAACCGUUGCCUUAACGAUUUUCAAGCGGAAAGGGGAACAACAAGCACAAUUGAAGCUCAUACCACUUGGCAACCACCCAGAACGUCGCCUCAACCAACGAAACACCACUUCCGCUGUUGAAAACGACGACAGGAUCUCAAACCCACUAGUCAAAACCACGGGAUAAACACCGCGACGACGUGCCAAGAAGCUCACCCAACCACACAUCUGAUAGGAAAUCCAUAUUUGUUAGGUAAGCGAAAGGUCUCUAAGAGGAGGCACCGCUGAAGGGGACAGGAAGCGCACGACAACAAACUUGCAGGUUCUUGCUUUCUACAAUCUUUUUCAACAAUAAAACCUCAUCUUCAAGCAAAUACCUGACGAAGUGGUAACAUAUAAUGUUUUUGUUCUACGCUGAAAUGUUGUGUUCUUUGCUAGAUUAUCAGUAUGAGAAACACUUCUCUCUAAAUGGAUCUCAACUUUGUUAACCAUAUCAAAUAUAUACUGGGAUUUGUUUUUUUCUUGGAAGAGAAAUAUAUUAUAUAUAAAAAUAGAUAAUGUUGAGAAACAACCCCUCUCAGCAUGGGUAAAGUUACCAAACAAACAAAAGUUGGCAUAAAUCCAAGCACUACAGCAAAAACCCUUCAAAAACCUCUAUAAACCUCAAAGGAAACACCAAACCAAAUACAACUAGAAGAGGCAUCUACUAAAAGUCGAAAACAACGGUAGGCACAACGAUCCUACCAAUCACACGACGCCUGCAAGAUAGAGAAAAAAUCCAAACGCGCAAAGCAUAAAACCCAACAAUUGCAAUAGAUGUGAGACCUGAAGUCUAAAGAACCUGAAAUAAAAAAGAAAAAAGAAAACGAGGAAAAACACCGCGACCAGACGAGUAGAGCACUGAGAAAAACCUCCAAACAUCCUCCAAAUUGCCUCAAGACCCAAGCAGUAACAACCAUAGACAACCGACAACCAAAACCAACAAGAAGCUAAAACGCAAAGGCAAGAAGGAAAGUGUUACCUUAACGAUCUUCAAGCAGAAAGGGGAACAACAAGCACAUUCGAACUAAUACCACUUCCACAACCACCCAGAACGUCGCCUCAACCAACGAAACACCACUUCCGUUGUCGAAAACCACUUCGCCUCAACAGGCUAGCACAAAUCUGGGCAAGGCUUGCCUGCGGCGGCGCGACGGCAAGGUGAGGAACCAGAGGUCGUGGUUCGCUAACAGAACCAAAGUGCCUUCAGAUGCGAACUGCAAGUCGAAAAAGAGAGGGAGGAGCGGUGGCCCGGCGACCACCCAGUCGAAACGAGUGGUAAGAGCGACAAAGAAGCUAACUCUGAACCCACGGACAUGAAGAGGAGGAAACAGGGGCGAGAAGGGCAAAGGCAACAUGGGAAAGGAACAUGGGAAAGGAAAAGGAGAGGCAGAGAAGGGAGAGGAAGAGGGGUUGUCACCACACACGGAGGCGGCGCGGCGCGCAACGACCAUCCUAGUCAAAAACCUAAAUCUUGACUCAGAGGUUAGAAAGAACAUGAUUUACUGGGAAUUUGUUACUGCAACAUAGUCAACCCGUGUAGUGGAUAAAACAACAAUAUUUUGUAUCCACAACACCCAAUUGGUAGUUGUAGUACCAACAAUGAAAAUGUUACAUUCGGUACUUCUUAGAUAAUUAAUAUUAGCUCUGAAGUUUGCAUUUACAUAGUCUUGUACUUUAAUUUUACUUUUCCAACACAUUUCUUUGGCUUUCCUCGUAAAUACCUCAAAAUCCAUUUGACUGUUUUUUAAUGGGCUUUACUUAGAUUUGCCAUAAACCAUCUUACAGCUCUCAUUGCAUGGCCAAUUUUAGCCUAGUGCAUACAAUACUAGACCCCUUAGAGAUAUUUGCUAACUAGAAUAUCUUACUUAGAAUAUUGCCUAAUGUUACGUAAAAAUUUGCCAUACCAUCUGACAAUCUCGUUCAUAUCUAAACUUUCAAAGUUGACACUAAGAGCAACUCCAACGCUGGUUUCUUAACCAGGUUGGAGGUGCUAAGAAACCAAGGGCCAGUUUCUUACCCAUUGGAGCAGGGUUCCAUCCGGUUUCUUAGCUAAGAAAAAGUGGGCAGUGUUGCUUGCAGAAGCAACUCUGCUUUAUCAGUUUCUUAAAUAAAAUACUAUACUUUCUCUCGCAUUCAGUUCCAACAGAUUACAGAGGGAAGAAACAGGGUUAACAGAUUGUAUGAACUACUACAAUUUUAUUCAAACAAUAAUUACAAAGCUUCAGAAAAAUAAAUUUUUACAAAGAAAAAUGGAAAAAAAAAAUUACAGAAGUUGAAGGGUGUAAGGAAAAAAAUUACAGAAAAAAAUUACAAUAAAUUUUUGCUUGAUCCGGUUGUUUUUCUCUGAUCUGGUGGCGGUGGCAGAGGGUGGCCCUUGAGGAAGGCUUGCAUGUCUCCGAUCCAGUGCUUGAGGGGCGAUUUGGGUCGAGAUUGAAGCUUUGGUGGCGGCUGUGGUGUGUUUUGGUUGCGGUGAGGAGGUGAUGAGGCGGUUUUGGUGGCGGUGAAGGUUGUUUGGUGGCGGGUCAGUGGCGGUGAGGUGGUUUUGGUUGUGGUUGUGGGUGUUUGGUGGCGGAGAGGUGGGUUUUGUUUGAGGUUGUGGGUGUUAGGUGGCGGUGAGGAGGGUGGUGAGGGUGAGGAGGCCGUGAGGUGGCGGUGGUGAGGGUGAGGAGGGUGAGGAGGCCGUGAGGUGGCGGUGAGGAGGGUUUGGUGAGGAAGAAGAAGAGGACGAAGGAGAAGAGGACGAAGGAGAAGAAGAGGACGAAGGAGAAGAGGACGCAGGUGAUCGGUUGGUGAUGUUUGGUGAUCGGUUGGUGAGGUUGCAGAAGAAGAGGACGAAGGAGAAGAGAGGUUGAAGAAGAAGCUGCGUGAGAGAAGAGAGGAAGAAGAGAGGAGCGGCUAGGGUUAGAAUGGAGAGUGAGGGAGGAAAAGUAGAUUAUAUAGUGGGUGACCGGCUGAGCCGGUCAUCCCACCGGCUGGUGCCGGUUUUCUGCCCGUUUGGGCUUUUUUUUUUGAAUUUUUUUAAAUUGACCGGUUUGACCGGUUUUUCUGCCCGUUUUCUGACCGUUUUUUCAAUUCUCCGACCGUUUUUUCAAUUCUCAGAUUCUUUACCUUAUAUAUAGUGCAGUAGACCAUUUGAAACACCAACAUUUACUCCCACAAUUUCUCUCUUGUCCAAAAAUUCUCAAAUUUCUCACAAUGUCUAAUCCUUAUGAGCAAUAUUAUCCACUGCUCGACAAUGAAACACCUCCUACAAGUGAAGGUUUGCAACCUUCGCCUAUGUUUCCGCCACAAAACCAACCUCCGCAGAUGAUUCACUCGCAAAGCCAACCUAUGAUGGUGUUCCAACAACAAAACCAACAUUCGCAGGUGAUUCGCCCGCAAAGCCAACCUAUGCCGAUGUUCCAACAACAAAACCCACAUCCGCAAAUGUAUCAACCACAAAGCCAACAUCCGCAGAUGUGUCACCCUCAAAACCAACCUCCUCACACCGGUGGUAAUGUUCAAAAUCCUUCGUAUCAAAUGUUUCCACAAUCGUUCUACCAUCAAAACCAACCUCAGGGUCAAAUGGGAUCNNNNNNNNNNNNNNNNNNNNNNNNNNNNNNNNNNNNNNNNNNNNNNNNNNNNNNNNNNNNNNNNNNNNNNNNNNNNNNNNNNNNNNNNNNNNNNNNNNNNNNNNNNNNNNNNNNNNNNNNNNNNNNNNNNNNNNNNNNNNNNNNNNNNNNNNNNNNNNNNNNNNNNNNNNNNNNNNNNNNNNNNNNNNNNNNNNNNNNNNNNNNNNNNNNNNNNNNNNNNNNNNNNNNNNNNNNNNNNNNNNNNNNNNNNNNNNNNNNNNNNNNNNNNNNNNNNNNNNNNNNNNNNNNNNNNNNNNNNNNNNNNNNNNNNNNNNNNNNNNNNNNNNNNNNNNNNNNNNNNNNNNNNNNNNNNNNNNNNNNNNNNNNNNNNNNNNNNNNNNNNNNNNNNNNNNNNNNNNNNNNNNNNNNNNNNNNNNNNNNNNNNNNNNNNNNNNNNNNNNNNNNNNNNNNNNNNNNNNNNNNNNNNNNNNNNNNNNNNNNNNNNNNNNNNNNNNNNNNNNNNNNNNNNNNNNNNNNNNNNNNNNNNNNNNNNNNNNNNNNNNNNNNNNNNNNNNNNNNNNNNNNNNNNNNNNNNNNNNNNNNNNNNNNNNNNNNNNNNNNNNNNNNNNNNNNNNNNNNNNNNNNNNNNNNNNNNNNNNNNNNNNNNNNNNNNNNNNNNNNNNNNNNNNNNNNNNNNNNNNNNNNNNNNNNNNNNNNNNNNNNNNNNNNNNNNNNNNNNNNNNNNNNNNNNNNNNNNNNNNNNNNNNNNNNNNNNNNNNNNNNNNNNNNNNNNNNNNNNNNNNNNNNNNNNNNNNNNNNNNNNNNNNNNNNNNNNNNNNNNNNNNNNNNNNNNNNNNNNNNNNNNNNNNNNNNNNNNNNNNNNNNNNNNNNNNNNNNNNNNNNNNNNNNNNNNNNNNNNNNNNNNNNNNNNNNNNNNNNNNNNNNNNNNNNNNNNNNNNNNNNNNNNNNNNNNNNNNNNNNNNNNNNNNNNNNNNNNNNNNNNNNNNNNNNNNNNNNNNNNGGGUUGGAGCAAAAUUUGCUUCAGUUCCUUAGUGGUUUCUUAAGUCUGAUGUGUCAAUGCGGGCCCACAAAAAUAGUGCAAAAUAGUGCCGAAUAGUGUGUUAAGAAACCAAAUAAGAAAUUGUGGGUUGGAGUUGCUUUUAGAAGCGUCCAGUAGAAGGCAAAGGAUAAGAGAAGAUAAUUGGGUAGUAGUAGUACUAGGCAUGCAGAAGAUGUCAGGGGAAAUGAUAUGACAUGUAUAGAGACUAGAGAGAGCCGAAAAUGUAACCUGCUAGCUCUAGCUCUGUUGUGAUUCUGACUGUGAACUUGAGUAGCACUGGGAAGUGAAAAAAUACUGCUGAAAGUUGGAUAAGCACAAAGCAGAUAGUAUAAUUAAUUAAUUAUAUUUCUUUUCUAUUCCCAGGUUAGUUAAUUAGCCUCUGGAUCGACAGUGCAUUAACCUAGAGCAAUAGAAGUUGAUUAUUCAGUUGCUUAUCAUCAACGGAUUUGUGAACCUAUCUAUAAUGCAUAUAAGAUUUUAAGCUAUUUACAAACAUUUUUUUAAUUUUUAAUUGGAUUGAAAUUAAUACUGUGGAUUAAGAGAAAAAAAUAAUGUCACCGAAUGAUAACUCAAAUAGUAAAAACUUAUGGACAAUUAACUGCUCACUUAUAAAUAUUAAUUUUAAUAUAUAUACAUAUAUGGAUAGAUCAGGAGGCGGUGGACUUUAUGGAUAGAUCAAUGGUAUCUAAAGGUAGCCUGACUUUCAAAUUUGACUUAGAGAAGGCAUAUGAUAGUGUUUCUUGGGAUUUUCUCCAGGAAACCUUGAUGCUCUAUGGCUUUCCUCCCAUAAUUAUUGACUUGAUCAUGUGUUGUGUGACCUCAUCUCAAUUGACCCUCCUAUGGAAUGGGGAACGCCUCCAACCUUUCAAACCGGGAAGGGGCCUCAGGCAAGGAGAUCCGAUAUCGCCAUAUCUCUUUGUUCUGUGUAUGGAACGAUUAUCGUUACACAUCCAGCAGCUGGUUGACUUGGGAAAGUGGAAACCAAUCCGUUUGACAAAGGAUGGACCUCCAAUUUCUCACAUGUUUUUCGCUGACGAUGUUUUACUGUUUUGCAAGGCAUCCCUUUCACAGGUAAACAUAGUGGCUGAGGCUCUCAAGACCUUCUGGAAUCAGAGACAUGACGAUGGCAAACACGACACUGCUUGGGAAUAUCGGUGUGGAGUAUUAUGCAUCAUCCGCAUAAAUUAUGGGUCCAAGUUUUGCAAAACAAAUAUCUGCAACGCUCAUCGAUCUUGCAGGUGCAACCCCGUCGCCAAGACUCAAUGAUUUGGAGAGGGAUCUUGCGUGCUAGGGAUGCAUUGUGGGAAGGCUUUGAAUUCAGACUGGGAAGGGGAGAUACAUCGGUUUGGUAUGAUGACUGGUCUGGAACAGGAGCUUGGGGUCCAACUUUGUCGUUUGUACACAUAUCUGAUACGAAUCUGUGGCGGGAUAUUAUUCAAGAUGGGACUUGGUCUUUGGACAAACUCUACACGGUGACACCGAUUGAAGUCCAGGAAUGCUUAAACAAAAUUAUCCAACUCUGGUGCUGACUAGGUCGGAUAACUAGGUAUGGAAAGAGAGCUCAACAGGUUGCUACAAUGUGCGUGAUGCUUAUACUUGGUUGCGGAGUCCAGGGACUGGGGAGGUAGCAGCAAAUUCAUGGAACUGGCUGUGGAAAAUCAAGAUACCAAAGAAGAUUAAGUUCUUCUUGUGGCUUAUCCUUCAUCAAUCCCUUCAGGUUAAUGCGAAUCGUUUCAAGUGCAAGUUGGUGGCGUCUCCGUCGUGUUCUCGAUGCUCAAUGUCGAUCGAAGAUGAACUCCACUGUCUUCGAGACUGCCCCCAUGCGAGGGAAAUAUGGCUACGGAUGAGAGCUCUAAGUUGGAGGAAUUUCUUGACAGAAACACUGGAUCAGUGGAUUAUGCACCAGGCCUGCGGGAAUCAUGGGAAUAUUUUCGUGGCCGGAAUUUGGAACAUAUGGAAAUGGAGGAACAAUGGUAUUUUUGAAGAUACAGUUUGGAGUGUGGAGGAGGUGUGGCGUAAGUUGACUCACGAUCAUGACGCUUUCUUGCGGGCUCUCCGAUCAGAUACUACGAUAGAUGAUUUCAUUAGUCUAGCUUGGAAACCUCCGUCACCGGGGAAGCUAAAGCUUAAUAUCAAUGGAAGCUGACAGAAAGGAAGCGAGCGAGUGGGGAGCGGAGGUCUGUUACGGGAUUCACGGGGUGCGUGGAUCCAAGGUUUUAAGUCCUGCAGUAUAGGGGCAAAUGCAUUCAGUGCAGAAGUGAGAGCACUGCGAGAUGGUUUGCACAUGGUUUGGGAUCAUGGGUGUAGAGACAUAGUGGCAGAAGUCGAUAGCAAAGAGGUGUUGGAAGGGAUAACGAAUGUAGCCACACAUCUGUUUUGUCCAGUUUUACAGGAAAUAGCUACUCUCCUCCGGCUGCCAUGGAAAGUGUCGUUUCAAUGGACGCCUAGAGAAGGGAAUACCGCAGCAGAUUGUUUGGCUCAUCUUGGUGCUACAGCUAAUUCGUUGGGUGUUCAUAUUUUUUAGAGGCCUCCAGUGGAAGUUGAACCUUUCAUCCCGAGGGACUCGUUUUCUUGCUUGUAAUUUUGUCUUUGUCAAUCUUUCGAUGUAUAAAAAAAAAAUUAGUUUACUUUUUAUUACUAUGAUACAUGUAAUGAGAUAAUGUUGACUUUUUGUGUGUGUCAUAAAUUGCUUUUGCAAUUUUGAGUUGUUGAUGCAGCCUACUUUUCAACCUUAAGGCCCCAUAAUAUUGUAGCCGACCCAACAGAUUCACUCUUAAGCAGGUGUUAUAAGGGCAAUCUAGAUGACUUAAGUAAAUGAACUUCCUAUCUUGCUAGCGUUCGAGUGGCCACUACUAGGCCGAAAUACCACAAGUAAAGCAUGAGGACACAAAACCAACUAUGCACUUGAAAGCUCAUUCUCAUGACUUCUCAUACACUGGUAUAAACAAACGACACAUUCUCGUAGACUAAUAUAUAUUUCAUUGUUCAUUUACCUAACAUGUUUUUUAUUAUAGCAUUCAUAAGAGUUAUACUAAGAUUGUAAAAUUUUAUCUUUGCUCUCACAUUAUUUUGAGCGUUAAAGUAUUCCAUUUCGUGACAAGGAACUAGUAGCACCACCUAGCAUUCCACCGCACUCCGCCACAUAACUUCAGGAAGAAAUUUCAGAAUUUCUAAUGACCUAACACCUAUAACAUUUAAAAAGUAAUAAAAUAAAUCUACAUAGUUCAAAAGUAAUAAGAUAAAAUUAUAAUUGAAUUAUUUUAUUUAUUUUUUACAUCGAAAAUAUUUCUAAUUCAUAUGUCUCAUAUCUCUUAUCACUUGAGCUAUCAUUUAGAGUGAGAUAUAAUUGAAUAAUAGUUAUUUUUAUGCUUAAUACAAAGAGAGCCAAAAUAAAAACAAAAAACAAAAAACAAAACCCUCUAUUGCCUAACUACCAAAGUAUCCAAAGAGUUAGCUAGAACUAGAAGCAAAUCCUCCAUACUAGGGAGGGAAUUCUUGACAUGAAGGAAGUUUAAGUCUUGAAGCGCACCCGUUUUAGCCUAAAAAUCAGUAAAAAAAACUCCUUCUCACAGGACGUGUUCCACCCGAGUCACCCAAAAAAGCUUCAACUAUAAAAUUAAUAUUUUUUAACCAAUUACCAAAUAAAAUUACAUUAUCUUUAACAUUUUUUUAUACCAUAUCAAAUAAUAAUCUUUAUACCAAGCAUGCUCCAAUGUCAAACCCGGACACAACUAAAAACGACACAUGGUUCAUGUUCUCAAUAUCUGUUUGCGCAGCGCAUAAGAUAGAAGGAAGAAGAAGAAGAGCAUAUCAAUUCAACUUCAAAUUUUCGACCUUUCCCCAUUCGUGCCCAUCACCGAGAAAGUGUAAACUUCCAAUGUUCCCUUCAAUCCUAAAUUCUAAGCAACCUCAGGAACAGGUCAGUUUAUGUCUUUCUCCUCCUCCUCCUUUGUGUUUUUCUUCCAACAAGUUCCUUUUCUACUGUCAGUUCUGAACACCAAAACAUAUAUUAUUUGCUUUUGCACUUGUUUCUUCUAACUUAGCUAUCUCCCUUUUCACUAUUUCUGCUUAAUUGACUGUUAGGUAAAUUCAGUUUUGUUUAUUUUUUCCCGAUACAUAUUUCAUAUGCAAAGCACUUCCUUUAUUUCUCAAAUGGUUUCCUCAGCUUAUCUUAUUUUGUAAUCAUGUACCUCCCACAUAGAUGUUUCGUAUUUCAUAUUGAGUUAAUAUAAGAUGUUUAUCUGCACUUUGGCCCCAUUUGAAGAGCUUAUUUUAUAGCAGCAAGUGUUUGGGAGUGCUUAUGUAAGCUGUUUAUGACCUAUCUAUAAGCUGUUUUGAGCUUAUUUUCAUAAACUGUUUAGAUUAGUUUACCAAUAACAGCUUAUGCUUACAUAAAACUGGUUUUCAGCUUAUUUGAACAAGUUUCUCAAAUUAGAUUAUGAAUAAGCGCUUAUGCGACAAUCGUUUGUUGCUUAAUUAAGCUGUUUACCCAAACACACACUUUGUUUACUCAAGUACUAAUACUAUUGGCGUGUGUAUGUGAAUGCAGCAGCAACGAAAGCAAAAGGGAGAAUGGUUAGCAGGAAGUUUCAAGCCAGAGAAUUUCAUUCCAGGUCUUAUCAUAGGUUUCAUUUUUGGGAUGUUUUUAGAUUUAUCAAAGCCCCAUAGAAAUCUCUUGUCCAAGAAAAUAUUCUCACCUAGCAAGGUUCAACAGCACCUCACACUCUCAGGCAAUGGCGAUAGGGAGUUUAAAAUGGUUAGUUCAUUUUAUCAUCACUUUUCAUGUUAUGGGCCUAUAACUUAAAUAAAUGGUUAUUCAGUGCCUGUUGUAUUUCAUUAUUUCUACUCUAUGUAAACAAGUCAUUUUUUAUUUUGUUGGUAGUAUAUACAUGUUUGACAUAGUGCCUUUGUUCUCAAUCUGUUAUUGGCUCAUUUAGAAGAAAGAUUUGCACAAUGAACUCAUUUGAUGAUUGCAUUUAAUACCAGAUAAAUGUCUACAGUUUUCUCUGCACUUUCUUUUUCUAAUUACUAAUCAAAAGAGCUGUUGAAGGGGGAAAACCAGAAAACGCUGUUUAUGCUUAACAAAGCACAGAAACAGCUUUUUUAAACUUCCGUUAUUCUUUUUAACCUUCUUUGAAAAAUAUAUCAUUCAAAGUACUCUAUAUGCAUAAACUCUGUAACUGAACAUGUUCUUAUUCAGUAUCUGGUUUAUUUAAACUCUACAGGGGUUAAACAAAUAGUGUAAAUAUGCAUUCCUUUUAAUUGUCAGGAUCAGGAACUUCUUCAUUGGUGUUGAGAAAUUUCUGAUUUCAAUGAUAAACUAUUUGUGUCAGGUUCUGGUUGUUAGGCAAGACCUAAAGAUGAAAUCUGGAAAGAUUGCAUCCCAAUGUGCUCGUAAGAUGUGAAACUACUGCUGAUUUUCUGGAUCUGUUCUUUAUCCUGAAUUUUUCAAAAAUCUCUUUCCAACCAUUACCUUCUUUAUUAGCUCUUUCUAUGAUUUUUUUUUAUUUGUUCAUGUCUUUACAUUCAUCUUUCUUUUGCAGAUGCUGCCACUGGCAUGUAUGCUGAAUUGAUGCAAAGGUACUUUUGUUCUGAUCAGUGUCCAUUUCAGAGAAUUGAGAUACAUUCUAGUUCUGUAUUUGUAAUUUUGUAUCCCUACAUUUUAACAUGAAGUUUGAAGAUGAUAUUCAACCUGAGUCUGAGUGAUUUUGCAAAAUGAUCGUCAUAUCAUUAGAAGUGAAGUUCUUUCAUGCAAUAAUAAGCCAGUACUUUUGCAGUGACCGGUCUCUUUUGAGACAAUGGGAACAGUGCGGCCAGCCAAAAAUUGUUGUGACCUGUAGGAACCAACAAGAAAUGUAAGCAGAUGAUUUUUUCCUCCUGAGUACUGUAAAUUCACUUCUUGUUCAGGCUCCUGAGACCUUCUACAUCCAUUACUCUGAUUUUAAUCAGGAAUAAGCUGAAGGAAACUGCUGAGAGUAUCGGCCUUCCUACUUUUGUUGUUGCCGACGCUGGACGAACAGAGGUAAUACUUGAGAUGUGGCUAAAAAUAGAGAAUGGUUCCACUUUUAAAAAUCUAGCACAGAGUUGGUAUUUAAAAAAAAAUCCAUUGAAAUUACUAAUGGUAACUUUGUAUUAUUGCUUAGACAUUUUUGUCUUCUUUUAGAAACAUGUGCCAAUUAGAAAAGCUUAAAUCAAUGGGCCAAGGAAUCAAGUGGGCUUCCCCCUUUUAGUUAGGCAUUGUUUUAGACUUUUAGUUAAUCAGCUAUAAGUAGAGGCAGAAAAUGGAAGGGAAUGGCAUUUAGUUGACUGGUUAGUUUUAGGUGGGGGAUAGAUCAGGCUCUUGAAUGGUGGAGAAGACAUCAAUUUAUCUCAUUCUUACUCUUCACUAAAACAUCCAUAUUUUCUUUAUGUUAAUAUCUAUUCUCUAAAUCAUCAUCUAUCAUCUUCAGGUUUCGGCAGGAUCAAAGACUGUUCUUGCUGUAGGACCUGGUCAGCUUCUAUAUAUGCUUUGUACUUACUUUCUAUCAUAGCUUGUAUUUCAUGUAUGGCCAAAAGCAUGUGUAAAAAUAUCAAAAUAGUUAUGCAUAACAGAACAGUUACAAUGUCCUUUUCUUGAAAGCUAUACUUGACAAAUAAUCUGCUGCUUUUUGAUUGAUUUUCUUUACAUAUUACUGCGUUUUGUAUCAGGGCCAAAAGCAUCUGUGGAUUCGGUGACUGGAAGAUUGGCCCUGCUUUGACUGCAUUCAAUAAACAAGUGCUAAUACCCCAAGUUUUGUGAUCGCUUCGUCUGUGUUCUGACAUGUUAUGCAGCGUUUACUUGCUGAUAUUGUAACUUAGUUAUGGCUCAGGUGUAAUUGUAGCUCGUACCAUUCAAUAGGAGUAGUUCCUAAUUGGAGGCCCAUUUUAUUUCCUACAUUAACAACUCACAAUUGGUUUCCUUUCUAUGCCUCAUUAUAAGAAUCUCAGCGCCUACCAGGGAUGAAUGAAACAAAUUUAUGGAUCUAUUGGCUGAAAAUCUGUUAGGAAACUAAUGUUCCACACUCAGGUGUUAUUGUAUUUGUAGCUCAUACCAUUCAAUAGGACUUUCAUCUCAAUCUAUCAUAAGAGUUUUAUUCAACUUUUAUUUAGUACUAACUUUCGUUUGCAUUGGUGCUAACACGAGCCAAACACUUCAAAAUGGAGGCAGAUCUAAAGCAAUAGCUACUUAGCAUAAAGGAAGCAGGAGUUAGGGCUUUCAAGGCCUCAGCAAACAGCAAUAGUUCUUACUUCUUACCAUGUUGGGAUAUAGAAUUGUUACUAUUUCAUUAGAUUUCAAAAAUGAAAAUUUUCAACCAUCAAAACUAAGGAUUAGCUAUUGAAGUGUUAUAAGUGAUAGCAAUUCCUUAAGUGUAUGGAUUGAUCGAAGUAAUAAAAAAGAUUGUCAAACCACAGUGAUAGUUGUUCAUCAAUUGCUUCUAAGAGUUUGUGUUUAAAAUGUGAAAAAGAAAGCAAUAUAAGUUUGAGGGUUUGUUGUGUUUAACACACUUGUGAUGAAUAGCAAGAAUUGUAAUUCAGAUAAAGAAGUACAAUGGGUAAAGUUUCACUCAAUCCAACUAUGUUUCUUACAACCAAAUCCUUAUAUGAACUUUAGAACCCCUUCUAUGGUGAUGUAGCCUUUACCUUCACUUGUUAAUACCUUAAUCAAGCAAAUCAUUCAAUCUCAGGUUGCUAAGCCUAAUACCUUAGUACCUAGUCAAUUCAAUUGAAGAAUUAUUGUUCUAUGUUCAGGCCAACACAAUAAGUUCCCACCCUUAUACCUAAGUGGUAGCAAACAAAUCAAUCUAAUCACAAGUCCCUUAAUCCUUACCAACUACCGUUGUGCAAGAAGAAAGCCAAACACUUGCAUGCAUUCAAGAAAAUAUUGAAAUAGAGAAAAUAUACAUAGAAAGGAAACUUUAUUCAUAUAAGAAACUCAGAAGUUCAAAACUUAAUCAAAGCUAAGGUUCACUUCACCCAAAGUGCAAAGAAAACUAGUCAAGCAUGACUAGGAAAUUCAUCAUGCAAGUUAAAAGCAUAAAAACCUGAAAUAAGAGUGCCAAGAAGCCUCCCACAAGCUCCAAAGAACUAAAACUCUAAGUUUUGUUCAAAAAUUACAAGAUACCUAAAAGAAAUAACAAAAUCUCUAUUUAUAGAGUUUCCGGCGGUCAUGGCCACGCACAUGCGUGGGCAAAAACACUCAAAACGCAAAAUUUGCAGCAUCAGGUUUUGCCUCCACGCAUGUGCGUGGAUCAGGUGACGCACAUGCGUGGGCAUCAAGUUUUUUCAACAGUAGCUCCACGCAUGUGGGUGGGAUACAUGGCGCACAAGCGUGGCUCAUCUGAUUUUUCUUCUAUUUUGUAACUCCUUCUUCAUUUAUCAUCAUGGCUCAUUACUUAGCUUUCAAUCAUCAUUAUUUUCCAUCAAAAACACCUGAAACCUUCAAAGAAUCUCAACAAACCAUCAUUCCACCAAUGUAACUCAUGGAAACACUCAUUUAAUCACAAUAAUUCAACAACAAUCCAUUCAAUUCAUCAAAUAAAACUCCUAAUAUGCAACCAAUUCUCAUAUAUUCAAAGGACUUCAGCUCAAAACUGACCUUAGGAAUUACCCUCUAACUAAAACUAAUAAAAAGACCAAAUGAAUAGACUAAGAACAAAUAAACUAAUGCAAAUGCAAUUAUGAACUAAAAAGAGACUCAACUUGACUUAAAACUCAAUAAAGGACUCAGAAAGGAAAAGAAAGAAACAAGAAGGACUCAAUAAACCAAAAAAACCUCACGAAAAGAAAAACCCUUCCCUUCUCCUUAGCUGAAAAAGAAAAACCCUAAUACAAACACUGGAAAUUUCUCGGUGGCGCUGAAAUCUGCAAUGGCUUCUCGUUACAGAUCAUUCUCGCAACCAGCAAUGUCCCUCAUCAAAUCCACCAUCACCAAACCCACCACCAAUCCCAAGCCUUCACCAUUCCUCUUCAAAACCCGUUCUUCUUCUUCUUCUACGAGGCAAGUCCAUUUUCCCCCAAUUUUUGUCUUCUUUUGUAGAUUCAAUUCAUUGUAAUCAUGCUGUGAAUUCACCGUUUCAGGUCGGUUGCUGAGCUCGGUUGCGUGCAGUCGCUGCUUCCCCUGCACUCUGCGGUGUCGUCAGCUCGCCUCACCUCUUGUCUCGGCAUUGAUUCGAGGACCUCGAGGUCGUUGUCUCAGGGUAUGCUCUGCAGUGCCAACCCCGGAGUUUGAUUUCUCCAAUUCUUAAUUUUCACUCCCUUUCUUAUCUGUAAGCAAUGCCACUUUCACUCUUUUGCCCCAUCUAAUCAUGCAACCAAAACUUCAAUCUGAAUAACAUCCCUUUAGUUAUUACCCUCUGAAUUUAUUACCAAUUGUAUUCCUGCACUCAUGGAGCUGUAUUGUCUAGGAUUUACUAAAAUGAUUCCUUAGACUUUAGGCUUAUCGCCAUGUUUCGUUGCUAGAUUUACUAACCGUGUGGAUGCCAACCAAUGAGCACUUAUUGGAGCUCAUUUAGUGCAUUUUCUAGUAGAUAAGCUCUAAUAAGCUUGGAUAGGCUCGUAUAGUUGUAUCCGAAUGUGCUCUUAUAAGCUAUAGCUUUGAGUUUGGUGGAAGGUUAAGGCUUCCUUUUUUUUUUGAUGACUUUCCUACAAUUUUACAUGUCAAAAGGAUAAAUGGAGAGUUGCACUGGGUAUUCUGUUAUUAUAAUCUACUAUUUCGAAUUUCAGCUGAAGAGAAAUCAAUAUAUCUAUCCAUGUUUAGGGUAGAAGUGGUGUAGAACACCCACCCAGGAGCAGACCUAGGGAGUGUUAAAAUGGGGUGGUCACCCCCUCCCCCCCCCCCCCCAAGAGAGAUUUUUUGCUUCAUAGAAUAAUAUUCAAAAGUUAUUUUUUGCCCCCCACAAAAUUUUAUACUGCAUCUUUCAACUAGAGUGUUAAUUUUACUUUAAUGUGUUAAAUUUUCGCCUCCCUUACCCAACUUUUCUGGUUCUGCCCUUGCAACCAGCAGUACUUCUCUUGGGCAGGGUAUUGGUUAUGAGGAUAUAUAUCAAAAUCCUAAAUAAUAUACAUCCAAUCCGUAACUUGAAAACCACAGAAAUAAUCCUAAUCCAUGUUCCGUAAGAGUUUCAAAUGUUGUUUUAUAAAUCUUCCUGAUUAGGCAGAAUGUUUUGUUGAACAAGGAAGUAGCUACCAGCCUACCAGGAUAUAGGAUUACUUUUUAGCUCAGGGGGUGGCCUAUGAACUAUUAUAAUCCUUUACUUAGUCAUGUAGGCAUUGUGAACAAAUGUUAGUAUGUUACUUAAAAGAGAAAAAGAUUUAAUUCCAUUGUGCAUGUAAAAUUCUAGCAUCUAAGUAAUUAUUUUAAGAAGACAAUUUAUCUGGCUUAGAAAUUUUUAUGCUUUAUUCCCUUUGUGAUCAAUAGGUCUUUAAUUCUGUAUUUUUUGUGGGGUUAGUGAUCUGAAAUGUCUAAUAAUAUGAAUGCAAUAUAAUUCUAAUAUGUUAAAGUUCUAAAUUAUUUGUGUUUGCUUGUAAUGCUGAGUGCCUGUCACUUUUGAAGGUCAUCCAUAGGAAAUAGGGAAGCUUUGAUGAUAAAAUGAAUUAUCCAUUGUUUUUUGUGUUGCACAUAUGCUCACUGGUUUGCCCUUCCGAACCAACCUUGUCUCUCCUGGGUUUUACGAAUAACCGAAUAGGUUGCAUACGCAUGAUCUGUACCUAAAUAGACACAUGGUAUUAAAAGAGGCACAAUAGACCGCAUUUGGUGCAGUAAGAAAUUAUUAAUUACACCAACUUUCCAACAUCUGAGCUUUAAUUAAUAUUGUUGCAUUUUCCAAUCUAAAAUCAUUGUGUCUAAUAAACUUAAUGCAGAGGCACAUUGUAUCAAUUGACCUUCUGUUAUUGCAACUUGUAAUGACCAGGUCAAUUCAUUGCCACUGAUUGUUGCAAGCUUUUCUGCACUUCAUAUCCUCGGAGACACGUUUCAGUCUUUUAAUACCUUCAGUCCUUUUACAUAUUCAUAGGAGUUUUCAUUAUGUGUAGGUUAUUUUAACUAUUGUGAAUGCCUCUGUAGUUUUCCUGAGCUAAUAGUUGCAUGUUAACUGUUAACUGCAUCACUUGCUUUGCUUAGUCAUUUUCUUGUAGAAUCAACUUCCCUGGUGAAAGCCAGUGCUUAUGUAAUGUUUAUCUGUUUCAAAUUUCCUCAGAAAUGGGUCUCAGCACACCGCGAUAAGAGAUUUCGAAGGCCAGUCAUUGAUAGAUUGGAGUCCUCAUUUAAUUUUUGCUGGGGUGCCUUAGUUGUUUUUAAGCUUUCCUUUCAUUUCAGUAUAGCUUUUAUACAGUUGGAAGAAUGUUUCCAUCUUCUUUUUACUGUUUGCAAUGGUUCCUUUAAUUAAACGUUUGAUCAUCCCAGUCUUAAUUGUUUAAUAAUCUAACUAUGCCCACAUUACUUGGUGAAUAAGGAACAAAAAGAUAUUGCUGAUUCACCUCAUAGCCCCAUAUGCUCAUGCAUGUCCUGAAUAUGAUAGCUUAUGUCAUCUAUAAGUGCACUUCAGGAUUUUGAUAUUUUCUUAGUUAAGACUUGCACACACGAGAGAAGCAACUUAAUUAGAGGGAAUGUGAUAUGUCCAAAGGGUCAGGAGCUUCUGGAUCGUGUUCAACCCAAUGGUCCAUGUCCAAUAGGUAAAGCCUGACUUUGAUGCUAGGUGUUAUAUGUUAAGAACUGUGCCUAUACUAUUAGUUUAAGCUUUUGACAUGGCAAUCUUGUUCUUAACAUUUGGUAUCAAAACCAGUGCGUGUUUGAAUUCAAGGUACGGCAUGUUUCCAUAUAUCCGGUGAGCAUUCUUUAACCAAAACAUUGCGAUGGUGCAUGUGGGUUUAUGAAUUGGGUUCAACCCGUUUCAUGCCCAAUAGAGAAGGACAUGUGUUCGAUGCAGUGUGUUACAUGUCAAGAAUUGAACUUAUGUUUACUGCUUAAGUUUUUGGCAUGGUGAUAAGUGCUCUUGUUCAUAUCAUUUGGUAUCAGAGUAGGCACGAGUUUGAAUCCCAGGUUUUACACGUUUAGGGAGGAGAUGAUAUGCCCAAAGGGCGCAGGGUUGCAUGUUCUAUUUGUUGGUGUUCAACCUAGUGCCCCGUCUAAUAGGGAAGGGAUGUAGGAUGUUAUAUGUUAACAUCUUAGCUUAAAGCUUUAGGUACAGUGGUGAUUGUUUUUGUUCAUAUCAAAAAGCAUUUGGCCACCUUGUGAAAUGCUUGGUAUUUAUCAAAUUAUAUCGAAUAUACAGGCAACAUGAUGUAUGUUUUGAUCAACAUUAUCAGAAUUUGUUGUGAAUAUAACUAGUUUUGGUAAAAUUGAUUAUGGUAAGUAUAAGUGAAGUGAUUUGUUUUUUGAUACAUUUAUGAGAAGUGAUUUAUGUAGGGUAAUAUAAAAUUCAGUGAUUUGUUUUUUGAUACAUUUAUGAGAAGUGAUUUAUGUAGGUUAAAAUUCAGUUUUGAAAACCACAAUUGAUUAUGUCAAUUGUAAUCAAUUGUAUUAGUUAGGAUUUGUAAUUUCAUCCUAUAUAUAUAGACUUUUGGAACUAUAAUCUGUUGUGAAAGAAAAUAUUCAAAUACCAAAAAAUUGAUUAUGAUAGACAAUCAUUUCUCAACACUUUCAAAUGUUGAACCAAAUAUGGUUUGUGUUUUGUUUUUGCGUUGAAAUUCCCAAAGCCAUUGUUUUGGCAAAAACUGCAAAGUGUUCUCUGCCUAAACAUGAUUGUGGAGAUUACAAUAGAACCACAUGCAUAUGUCUUCAUGGAUUAUGUUUCCUUUGCUAAUGGCUAUUCAAGGGAGUUCGUAGGAGUAGUAUGACUUCAACAAAUUGUGUGGGGAUUUCUUCAGUAGGAGGUCUUGCUUUUGUGAAAGUGAUUACAAACUUUUCAUGAAAAUGGUAAACAUGUACACCUGAAUGCCCUAUGCCCCUGAACUUUAACAUUUUAUGCAAAGGUCACUGACGUGGACCCCUCUACAACAUUUGAAUGCCCUUGUGAGAUGGAGCCAUAAUCUUAAUAUUAUAUUUAUAUGCACAUUAUACAUUAAACAAUGCUGUUGAUUUCCUGCUGAUGCGUUGUCAAAAGAAUCUUAUCUGACCUUGCUAUUAUCAUAUGUCAAUUGCAUGUAGUGUUAAUCCCAAUUUUUCAGAUUUAUUCUCAUCUCAAAGGUGGAAGUAGCCAACCCUUUAUAUUGAAAAUACUUCAUAUCAAUCCAAGUGAAUUCAUAGCAAUAUAGAACAAUGGUUUUAAAUUGCGGCCCUCGGCCACUUUUGUGCCCACAACGUAACGGAUUUUGAUCAAGUUAUCAUAUCGGCAUUAAAAUUGCAAUUGAAUUGUGACCGCAGCAACCUAUAUUUGUUUGUAAUUUCACGACUCAUUGGCAACCGCAAUUGCGACUGCAACCGCUAUUUAAAACCCCAACUUGGAAGUAAGAUUACACUUACUGUGAUCAGAGUGGGGUGUGUGAGCAAUUACUAACUACUAGUGGGCGGUGAUAAUAUAUAAGCAUUCAUUUAUAAUCCCACCACACUGACUAGUGACUAAUGCAUGAGGCCAUGGAAGAAUGUCAUGUGACCACCGCAAUCCUAGCUUCCUCUCACUCUAAUAAUGCAUCAUUUUUAAAUUUAAAUAUCUUGUGCAAUCGACUAUUUAUACAUAAGACUUUGGGUAAGUAAAAUAAAUUAAACUAUACUCCCCCUUUGGCUGCUUAUAUUCAAAUGAUUAAUUCACAUUUGGCUUCUUAUAUUUAAAUGGUCAAUUUUAUAUUGAUGUAAUGUACACAUAACUUGGGAAGGCGUUGAAUUUAUUAAAUAGUGACAUGAUAUUUCUCUGGAUUUGUGUUGCCUGAUAUCGUACAUACACUCUCCCAAUAUUAUAAGAUAAAAUUGUAUCCAAUGAAAUUCCUUCUCUCUUUUCGUCGCUUUGCGCCUUGAGGUACUCAUUCAAUCACCUAGUUAGAAUUAGAUCGAAGUACUACAAUCACGUGGGGCUGGUAGGGGCUGAGGAAUGGUUCUGAAGUUUCCUCAUUUCUUUAUCUCCUCUCUCACAUCACAUGCAUGCAUUGUUAACUUUGAUUAUUUAUUGGGGGAAGUAAGAACAAAUUCUUUAAUUUCAUGUGAAUGAAUGAUCAUGCUAUUCAACUUCAAGAACAGAGAAGAAAAAGAGGAAGUCUAACUUAUAAACCAUUGACCAAAAAAAAAACUUAUAAACCAAAUACGCUUACACACAUCUAGUACCAAUAGUUUGUGUACGAAUCCACUUUUUGCUUCCUGUAACAUUCUUUCUGAGCUAAUCAGUAAUAACAAUCUUUUUCACUGAAAUCCGUGUACAUUUUUCUUUUAAUUUAAUCCAUUACUACUAUCUUGAAGAUUAAAAAAGUAUCAUAUCAAGUUCUUUAUUUUAUUUUACUUGGUGAAAAUAUAAGAGGAAAACAAUAAAAUCUGAAAAACAAUUGAUGUUUUUAAUCUAUAAUUUAAGUAAAAGAUAAACAAAUUUUUAUUUUUCACUAAGGCACUGACACUUUAAAAUGAAUAGAAUAUAUUAUCACUGUCAAUAUGGUGUCAGUUAUUUAUUGAAUAUUGGUUCAGUAAUAAAAAUCCAUUUUUAGUAAAUGUAACUAGAGUAAUCAAUAAGAUACUUAAGAACUCACCUUAAAUAUUUAUACUUGAAAAAGAAAAAGGCACGAAAGGGAUUCCCAACAAAGAGAAACUAAGAAAAUUCGAACAAGACAAGGAGAAAACUAAAGAUAAGAUCAUGAGAGAUAGGAAGUAGGAACAUUUACCAAGAUCUGAAAAAUUAACAUACUCUCAGGAACAUCACUAAUGAGUCGAGAACACGAAUAGUUCUCUUCUAUCUCAUUCUAAUGCUUAUCUUGGCCACAUGAAAUACCAUACACAAUUUUAUUUUUUUAGCUUUUUGUUUCUUGGCUUCCAAAUCGCACCUUGGUAGCUCAAGUCUUUAAUUGCUUGAAUAUCGUUACAUCAACAACGUACGUAGUUAUUUUGCUGGAAAAACGGAAUAGGACUUUGCAAAAACUUGAUGUGGUCCAUGCAAAAGCACUGUCUAUUAAAUAAGCACUCCAAUUUUUUUCUUCUUUUGAAAAAUAUUUUCCACCAUAAUAUAAGAUACGAGGAAACUAAAUUAUUUUAUUCUUAUUUUUAUAAAACAGCCAUGCAAAAAUUUUAUGCAUUACAAAAUCUCCAUAGUCAAAUCGGUACCCAACUACUUUAAUUGAUAUAUAUAACUUAAUAACUACUAGUUGGUAAGAAAAAAGAACUGCAUUAAGAAAAUUUUGAGUUGUGACCUUUCAAGUCUGUUAAAUAAUGACUUGAAGAAACAUUAAUUAGAGCAGUGUAUAGCUACGAAUAACAUAAAACUCAAAAAAAAUUAGAGUCAUGUAGAAGAAAAUAAACCCCUAGCAAAAUUAGGUGGGAAAAAAGUGAUGGAGCUCUGUAGCUACAAAAUACCCGAAGCUCCACCGUAUUAGAUUAGGUGCGAGAAAUCAGGGCCCGCCACGUGUUGAUGGAUCAGGUAAUCGUCACCGUUGGAUGACGCAUCAAACAUCAUGCUCUGGUGAUGUUGCAUUUGGAGCAAUUGUUGCUGCUGAGCCUUCAUCAUCUCCUUCUGGCGCCGCAGCUCGAGCACCUUGCGGUGCGAGUUGGAGUGCUUCGUCAGCAUAAAAGUCGGGCUCGCUGCGGGCCUGUAUUCAGGCACGAGGCGGCCUGACUUGUACCUGACGCCGCAAGCAUUACACAGCGUCUUCGGGCCCAUGGGCCCAGUUCGCCACUGUGGGGUCUUGUCUGUAGCGCAAUGCAGACACCUACGGCCAUCGCCUACGUCAGCAUCCCUCUUUCUCAGUGCGGAGGGCUUUUUCACCGCCGUCGGCACGAGGGCGGGGGCGGCAGUGGUGUCAGAGUCAGAGGCGGAGGAGGAUGUUGGAGUGGUGGAUGGAGAAAGGACAAGUAAGCGUGAAGUCCAGUUGCAGGGUGGGCCACGAGACCGCUUGCUGCGGGCUUUUGCAGGAACCGACACGGGCGGGCUGAAGAGUGGGCCGGUGGGCUCAUCAUGGGUCUGCGAUGCUGCAUCAUUUGGCACUUUCAUUCCAGAUAUCAGUUGCAUCUUCUGCAAGUCCUCACUUGAAAAUGAUUCCUCGGCAAAUUUGGAUAGCCAUUCCAGCUCCGCAAGUUCAUCAUACUGUGAUCAAAAUGACCAAAAUUAUAAACCACAAACAUAUACAUUGUUAUUUAUUUAUAAAAUUAACUAGUGUAUAUUACAAAAAUUAAUUAGCAUGUAUUAUAUAUGCACUAAUUGUGUAAAAAUAGAAUAAUUCAAUUAGAAUUCAUCAUGUUAUAAUUAGAUUUGAAUUUCACAAUAUUUAUAAAUAAAUAAAAGUGAUUGAAUCCAUGUGUAACACUACCGGUACACAUAGAUUAAAUCCUAUAUUGGUGAUUUUUUUAGUCAUUUAGUAGCUCUUUUUUUUUGAACCAUUUAGUAGCUCAUUCCUACUUCCUAGCUGUUAUUGACCUUUUUAUAUAUUAGCCAAAAUAUUUUUUGGUUACAAGAGGAAGAGAACCAAAAUAUAUAGAAUUACAAUUCUUUCUUAAUUACCUCCACUUUUUUUUCAAAAAAUUCUAUUUAUUCAUAACUUAAUAUAUGUACUAAAUAUUAAUAUUGUUUACUUUUACUUUUACUUUUUAUCACUUUAGUAAUUAAAAUAAAAUUAUGAAGAUGAUGAAGCUAUAUAUUAUGUGUGAGCUACUCUUAACUUAAAGCUUUCAUGUUCAUCAAUUGCUUAGGUAGCUCAUUUAAUUUCAUGAAAUUCAGAAAAUGAAAAAUUGCUGUAUCUAUAUAUUCUCAUGCUCUGCAAAACAAAACAAAUAUAAAAACGAAAGGGAAUUCUGGCAAGAAAUUGAAUCAUGGCCUAAAUUUGUUUCCCUGAAAUUCAUGGAAACAAGACAAAGGUGUGUGGGGAUGAAAAAGACAAGUCCAAUUGUUUUAUGUGUUGGAAGUGCCUGAGCAAUGGAAAUUAAAUUAAAUGAAAAAAUGCUGCAUAAGAAUCAUGUUUGUUAUACAUAAGCUAAGUAGCUAACACGUAUAUAAAUAUGGAGACACGUGUGUGUAAAAGGACGUACCGGGACGGAGAGGUCGCCGGAGAAAUUGCCGUCGGCGGAAUUCCGGGGGGAAAUGUCGUGGAGGAAAUUGGAAUUGGUGGUGGUGGUGGUGGUGGUGGUGGUGGAGUCAAGAGGGGGAGGAGAACCCUCGGUGGAGUUGGCAGGGAGAGAGUCAUCGAAGGUGGCAUCAUCAUUGGAGAAGUCGAAGAGGUCCUCCACGAUGAAUUGGUCGGCGGCAGCAGCGGUGGCGUUGUUAAUGUUGGUGGUGGUGGUGGUGUCGGAGGGGAAUUGUGGAGAGAAAAACUCUUCGUGUGCCUCCAUGGAAGCAAUUGGGUUGUGUAAUGGUGUUGUGGGUUGGGUUUAAUUUGCUUGUUGAAGCAAAAAAAUAUAAUGUUGAGGUGAAGUGAGAAAGUAUAGGGAGCUGAAGAAACAAAGUGUGACAAAGUUGUGGUUUUGAGUGGUGAGAGAGAAAAGCAGAAGAGGAUUUAUUUGCGUUUGAAGGGGACAAGCAUACACCUAUUUUGAAAUUCAACAUCUCUUUUUUCUUUUAUUUUUUUUAGUAAAAUAAUAUUUCUUUCACUUUUUUAUUGAGAAUGAGGCUUUGAUUGAGUUAAAAGGAAGAAAAAAUAAUUUGUGACUCAAGUUACGUUGGAGCCCUUUUUCUUUUUUUCUCUCAAUUAAUUUUGUACUUGGUCAAGUUUUCUUUGAUUUCGUAAAGUACGGUUUUCUUUCCCCUGUCUCCUAAUGUUACUCUAGCAUAAUAGAAAAAAAAGGAGCAUGAAUGCUUCAAACACAGACGGCUUUAAACAUGGAUAAAUGUAGGAAGACUCGUUAAAUAAACUGCUUGCAGUCUAGUCCUUAAACUGUUGGAAUAUUAAACAAAUUAAAAAGUAUGGUUCAAUCAUAAAAGCCAAAAUUACAUGCUAUAUACCAUGUUGUGAUAACCGCUUAAAUUAAAUAUACAAACUAAUGAUCAAUCCCUUAUAUUAACAUAACUGCAAGAAAGGGCCUUAGUAUUUUGUGGGUGGUGAUCCUUUUGGUAGUGCUAACACUACAUUGGUUAUGGUUGACGUUAAGUUUAUCGGUGAAUGUUGCAAUAUUGGCGAAAAUCGACACUAUUCACUAAUGGACGAGCGCUACGUUGGUCAGUGAUUUUAAGAUCCGCUUGAGCUGAUGCAAAUUGACGAAAAGUCGACGUUGAGUUUCAAUUUUAUUUAAUGAUGGUAACGAGCCAAAUUUUGCGUUGACAACCUGACGCUAAAUUUGGACCCUAAAAUCACCCUUUCUUGUGGUGAGGGGACACAUUGCAGAUCCGAACUAUUACUAUAAUCGAAAAUUAUUAUUAGCCUUUGUCCUACCAGCUGCUCUUAGUAUUGUCAUGAAAGUCUGAUUGCAAUGUUCAGGACUAUCUUCUAACUACAUUUCAUCAUUAUUUUUGUCCAUCUUUAACUUUAUGACAAAGAUUUAGACAUUCUCAGUUUACAAGUUAUAUCAGUUAACAUUUGACUAACUCCACAAUUUCUACACAUGUAUUAUACAUAUGUAAUACCUACUACUAGCUUCUCAUUGCUUAUUUUUCUUUAAAUAGAUUCAUUGUUCUAAGGCAAACAAUCAUUUUCCUUUACAUAUUAUUCCAAGACUUUCAUACAAUUAAAUUAAAACAAUCCACCAGCAGCCCCAUAAUAUAAUCAUUUGAACCACCACUAAUGGAUGUCGGGUGGACGCUAAGUUGACUGGAUGUUUUAGCGUCCGUCGUAGCCGACUCUAAUGAUAGACUAGUUGAUGCUUAGUAACGUCGUCUGCGCUAGCGUUACCUUUAAGAGAAAUUAUUUUUCCUUUGACACUUUCGUCAGUUUGGCUUACGUUAAAGCGCAAAAAUUAAUAUCAACAUUCCGACGUUAAAUUUUUACGCUAAAAUGAACAUUUCUUGUAAUGAGGGUAAAAAAAUAUUAAAAAUUGAAAUAAAAAACUAUGCAAAUUAACUUUGCAGCCGUGUAGGUAACAUUUUAAACCAGUGCAGGUAAAACCUAAACACAUGACAAAACAACAACCCUCAUAAAAUAAACCUUUACACAAGAGACAACGGGAAAAAAUUAUAAAGAAAAAGCAUAUGAUAUGAUUCUUCUUGACAAGCUUUAGUAAAUAAACAAAUCAAGUCUCAAUUUACUAACACAGAGGUUAGCAAAGCCAGUAAAGAGGCCAUAAACAACAUUUUAAUCAUCUGACUGUUUCUAAAUAGAAAAGUAUGGAGCAAGUAAGGGCAUGGUUAAUUCAUCAUAAUUAAAAUACUAAACGUAAUCAUUUCGUUGAUGCUCCCCUUUCCAAUUGUAAAACAGUUCACUUAAUUAAAAACUAGAUCAAUUUUAUAUAUUCUCAAUAUAUACGCAUUAACUAUAUAAUUUUACCCGAUUAUAUGAAGAAGAAGAAAUAUCUAUAUAUGAUACAAAGAAGAUACAUGAACUCAUCAAAAAAGAAAGAAGAAGAUACAUGUGAUGUGGGUGUGGGCGGGUGCAUUGAUCAAUUGAAGUGCGCUCCGUCACGUGGCAUGCACCGACAUGUAGGAGAGGAUUAGAAAUUAAAGCCAACAACAUCUAAAUAAAUUGUGUCUAUGAGAGCGAGGGUUCGAAUAUUAUCUUGGUAUAUUUAUUUAUAUCCUCGUGGAAAUGUAGAAUGGAUAAGAUGUGUUAAUUACUUCAUUGCUUCCAUUUUAAGAAAAGGUCGUUUAAAAAAGUUUAAGGAAAGGUUGUUAUUAUCAAAAAAGGAGUACUUGUUGCGUUCUCUCUCUGUUCUUAUAUAACUAUUAUUAUUUUAAUUUCAAGAGAGUAUUAAUUAUACUUCACCAAUUAUACAAUUUAAUUAUUGAUGGUUGGAGAAUUGAAAAGGCAAAAUUAAUGAGAGAGAUAAGGGGUAUGUUUAGGAAGUUAUAGACUCCCUCCGUUCCUAUAUAACUGACACUAUUUUGACCCUUUUUUUGUUCCUAUUAUUUGACACUUUUAUAAUUCUAAGAGAUCAUUAAUUAUACUUUACUAAUUGUACCCUUCAUUUAUUGGCAGUAGAAAAAUUGAAAAGUUAAAAUUAAUAAAAGAGAUAAUUAAAGGGUAUAAAAGGAAGUUAGAUAGUAAUUUUAAUAAAACAAGAACAUUAAUUGUUAUUUAUUAUUUUGCAACAACUUUAAAAUUUCAAUUAUAUAGGAACAAAAGGAAUAAUAAUUUUAACAAAAAUAGAACAUUAAAUGAUAUUCCUUAAUAUUAAGGAACAAAAUGAGUAUCAAUUUGAUCAUGCGCGCUCUACGACGCUACAUCUAAAAUUUACUUAUUCCGUUCUAAAAUGUUGUUGUUUGAAUUUUUAACAUAUUUUUUAAAAUGGUUGUUGUUUUAUAUGACUUCAAGACUUUUUCCCUUUGGGUUUUCCCUAGUAAGGUUUUAACGAGGCACAUUGUCUAGCUCCAUGGGCCUUUCAAGGGAUGGUUUAUUUAUUGGUUUUCCCCUUUGUCAUGAGAUGGUUAUUCUCAUGCGUCUAUGCAUUUUAUCAAUAAUAUCUUUUGUUUUAGAAAAAAAAUAUGAUUUCAAGACUAUUCAUUCCAUAUUUAACGAGGCACAUUGUCUAGCUCCAUGGGCCUUUCAAGGGAUGGUUUAUUUAUUGGUUUUCCCCUUUGUCAUGAGAUGGUUAUUCUCAUGCGUCUAUGCAUUUUAUCAAUAAUAUCUUUUGUUUUAGAAAAAAAAUAUGAUUUCAAGACUAUUCAUUCCAUAUUCUUCCAUAUAUACUCUUAUUUAAUAUUAUAUUUCUCACUUACAACUUUUAGUUCUCACUAAUCAAUCAUCACAAUUCUCACAAAUCGCUUAAUCAAUAAUCAUCAUUAUUUCUCUUUAAUUAAACUCAACUUUAAAUAUGUCUGUUUUAGUCAAAUUUUAUAUUAAUUAAUGAGCUCUUGAAUUAUGUGCAUUUUCUUAAACAAUAGUAAAAAAAUUUAGAAUGGAGGAAGUACUUCUUAACCAAAUGCAUCCUACACUCUUUAGUUCUCACUUCUCACUAGUACUAUUAAUUUUUUUUGGCUUAAUAGCUUUUUUGGUCCCUGAUCACUUACCACGAUUUUGCACUUUUGAUCCCAAUAAAAAAAUUAGCACUUUGAUCCUCCACAUUACUUAAUUUUUUGCAAAAAUGAUCCCUAUUUGUGACUAAAACGACAAAAGUGUGUAAAUGUGAGGGACUAAUUGUGCUAGAUUUUUUAGGGAUAAGUGAAUGACCAAAAGAGCUAUUAAACCUAAUUUUUUUCAUGAUUAAAAGGAGCACGAAACUUAUUUUAACUCAAUCAUAAAAUAAUUAUAUCUCAUACAAUAUUAAUAGAGUUUAAUAGCUGCUCACUGUCAUUGUAAAACAUUUUACGUAAACGUCCAGUAACAGUAACCGAAUGUUAUGUAUUCAAAGACAUUUAUAUAUAUAUAUAUAUAUAUAUAUAUUCUACAUUAUUUUAUUUAAAAUAUUAUUNNNNNNNNNNNNNNNNNNNNNNNNNNNNNNNNNNNNNNNNNNNNNNNNNNNNNNNNNNNNNNNNNNNNNNNNNNNNNNNNAAUGGGUAGCAGUGGCCAUGGCUACUGUGUCAGCAAUCAUGUGAGUGCUCUCCGCUCGUGUCAAAAGCCAAAACUGACGGUGGUCAACGACACGUGUCACGAACCUAUGCGCUAUUUUUCUACGACGAUUAAACAUAUGCUGAUGCUACACUACUAGGCUACCAUAACUUAACGUGAGACCACGUGCCUAACUGUCACGUGAGCUGUGGAUGCUCUUUCUUGCUUUUUCUUUUUCGUAAUGGCACUAGUUCAUGUACAUUAUACACAAAUUAUCACAUGACUAAUGUGUCUUGGAUAUUUAGAUAAUAAUUAAUUAACUUUUUAAAUCAUAUCAAAAUAUUUUUAACACAAAUGAGAUAAUUGUUAACAAUUUUCUAAUGAGCUCAGGGUAUCAUCCACCAACAACACACAAUUUCUCGCACGAAACUAUAAAUAACUAACCACAAUAUGUGCUGCACUGAUGCUCUAAAUAUAAAACGUUCAUCACUCAAAAGAAAUUCUUAAUUGCUGAUACAUAUAUACGUACUAGUAUUUUAUCAUUGUGAUCAUCUUCAUAAGUCUAAAAUGAAUUAUAUGAUCAUCUUCCAUAUAUGUCUUUCUUUUUCGAUAGGAAAACAAAUAUCUUUAUAAGUCUAAAGUGAAUUAUAUGAUCAUCUUUCAAGUGUAAAGAAAAAAUACAUUGUAUGACAAGGCAUUUCCAAAUUAAUUCAAAUAUUUUUUUCUUCACCAAGUUAUUUCCACAAUUGAUAGUUGUGAGACUAUUAUCGCCCUGUAGUAAGUAUACUAACACUACAACAUUUAUUGUUUUUUAGAACAGUUUAAAAGUGUAGCGCGCCAUAAACACAAAAGGUAACAACGUUACCUAUUUCUUUUGGGGACAAUUUUGUGUGUUCUCUAGUAACACUGUGAGAAAAUGUAAUCUAUUGUAGAAAAAAUGCAACAAUUAUCACGUAAUAAUUGUUCCUUAUUAUUAUAUAGAGAACACUUUUUAAUGUUGUUAUAAAAUGUGUUGCCUAAAAUGAACCAUUUAUGACAAUGCACAAACUAAUUCCUGAGACACUUUUAGCAACACUUUUUGCUAGUUGCAUAUACCCUUGUUGCUAAAAGCAAAAAAUGGUGUAGUGCAAGUAGUAGAGAGCUGACCAAUAGUUUUUUCAUUUCACAAGAGUUGAGAUUCAACCCCAACAACUUGGUUAUGAGACGGAAUGUUGAACUAUUAGUUCAACAAAAAUAAUUCAUUAUUUUUUUUUCAUUUUUAUAUAUAAAAUUACUCAUUACAUUAUUAUAAUGAAUUUUAUUUUGUAUUUUUUCAUUGAAUAAUAAAAUCAGUUCAUUUAAUCUUUAUUAUUAUUCACACAAAAAUCUUUAUUAUUGAAAUACUUUUUGUAGUUUAUAAAUAUUUUAGUAGAAAGCAAGUGCUUUAUUUGCUUUAGGCUGGGCCGGCCUUAUCAUCCUAAUCAAACUCUACUCGUUUCAUAAUAGUGAGAAGCAUCUCAGAGAAAAAAAAAAUGCUCUGGAGUUAUUUUUUUCUUUUUCGAAAGCAUGAUGAUGAUGGAGUUGAAUCUGUUAGAGAUAGAGAGAUAGAGAGAAUACACUUUCUGUUUUGGAUUGCAACCAACAACAACUAACUUCAUUCAUUCAAUACUUCAUGUACUUAUACAGAGUUCUCUACACCUAACUCAUUAUACAUACAGACUCUUACAAUUGGGCUUUUACCCAUACAACAAACCAUAUUGGGCUAAGGCCCAAACCCUAUACAACUAACACCCUCCCUUAAACUGAACUUGCUAACUUCAAGUCAGUUUAUUCACUCACUUUACACAUACCAAGUUCUCCUCUCAGUCUCACAAAGCUAUCACCCUUUAAAGGUUUGGUCAUGAUAUCUGAGACUUAUUCAUCUGUGCUGCAGUGAACAAGUUCUAUUCUUCCAUCCUUGACUAAGUCUCUCAGAAAAUGAUAUCGAACUUCUAUAUGUUUACUCCUACCAUGAAGCACAGGAUUCUUGGACAGUUUGAUAGCUGAGCUGCUAUCACAAUAGAUCAUGGAAGACUUGCUCUGAGAAAAACCAAGAGCUGAUAGGAUUCUUCUCAGCCAAAUACACUGACAGGCACAAAGAGCAGCAGAAAUAAACUCAGCUUCAGUGGUAGAAAGGCUUACCACUGGCUGCUUCUUUGAGCACCAAGCAACAGAACCGGUUCCAAGAAGGAACACAUAACCAGAUGUACUUCUUCUGUCAUCAAUAUUCCCUGCAUAGUCACUGUCAGUAAAAGCAACCAUAUUUCUUUUUCCCUCUCUGCUGUACUUAAUUCCAAAAUCUGCAGUACCAUUCACAUAUCGGAGGAUCCUUUUCACAACUUGCAAAUGUAACUCAGUGGGCCUCUCCAUGUACCUACUGACCAAACAAACAGAAUACAUGAUGUCAGGUCGAGUGGCUGUCAAAUACAUCAAGCUGCCAACCAUUUGCCUUGCUCCCUUCACCCUUUUUAUGAUAACCUUGUGGUUGCUCCACAUAAACAGUCUCACCUAAUUCUCCAUGAAGAAAAGCACUUUUAACAUCUAACUGAAACACCUCCCAACCUCUGAUGGCAGCAAGAGCCAAAACAGUUCUAAUGGUGUCCCAUCGAGCCACUGGUGCAAAAACUUCAACAAAGUCCACUCCAUACUCCUGAGCAUACCCUUUUGCUACUAACCUUGCCUUGUGCUUCUCAAUUUCUCCCUUCUCAUUGUACUUAGUUCUGAAUACCCACUUGACACCAAUAUUUUUUGCCUCAGGUGGAAGAAUGACCAAUUACCAAGUGUUAUUUUUCUCUAUAGAUUCCAUCUCCAAAUCCAUUGCCUUUCUCCACUUCUCACUUUUAGCCGCUUCUGAAAAUGAAAUGGGAUCAACUGAGGGAGUAAACACUGCAAGAUUAAAGUCAUCAUCAUCAAUCUCCUCCCCACUUACAAAAUCUCUCAUCCAGUUUGGUUGAGUAACAGUCCUCUUACUCCCUCCACUAAUUGCUGCUUCUGGUUGAUCUUUGGUAGCAGUGUCAGUUUGUGUAGUAGAGGUUUCUGGUUCUGGUUCUGCUGAACUACCUUGUGUUCCAGAAUCUGGAAGUCCAGAUGCACCACUUGUGCUUGAGGAACCUUCUUCUGAGUCUGCACUAUUUCUGGUCUCAUCACUGAGAUCUAAUAGAUCAAGUCCAUUUUCCUUUUCUUUUCCCCAAUCCCAUUUUGCAUACUCAUCACAUAUCACAUCUCUACUAAUUAUGAUUUUAUGAGUAAUGGGAUUAUACAAUCUGUAAGCUUUGGAUUCUUCACUGACUCCCAACAGCACACACUUAAUACUCCUAUCAUCAAGCUUUUUCCUCUGUUUCUCAGGCUUCAAUCCACUCCACCCUUCUUCUGGUNNNNNNNNNNNNNNNNNNNNNNNNNNNNNNNNNNNNNNNNNNNNNNNNNNNNNNNNNNNNNNNNNNNNNNNNNNNNNNNNNNNNNNNNNNNNNNNNNNNNNNNNNNNNNNNNNUUUGCUGGGGAGUAUAAGGUGCAGUAAGUUGCCUUUUAAUACCAUGCUGAGCACAAAACUGAUCAAAUUCUUUUGAGGUGAAUUCACCACCUCUGUCAGUUCUUAAGCAGCAUAAAACCUCUCCACUUUCCUUUUCAGAAGCUACCUUAAAUUUCUUGAAAAACUCCAAAGCUGAGGAUUUUUCAGAUAAGAAAUGAACCCAAGUUUUUCUACAGAAAUCAUCAAUAAAGGUAAAACUCCAAAGCUGAGGAUUUUUCAGAUAAGAAAUGAACCCAAGUUUUUCUACAUAAAUCAUCAAUAAAGGUAAUAAAAUACCUUUUGUGGCUAUUGGAUUCUGGCUUAAUAGGCCCACAGAUAUCAGCAUGAACAAGUUGAAGUCUUUGUGAUGCUCUCCAUGAGUUCUGUUGUGGCAAUGAGUCUAUAUGUUGUUUUCCCUUUGAGCUGGUAGCCCUCUGACCAUAUUCUUCUGAGCUAACACCUUUAGCCCACUUAUCCCCAAGUGACCAUAUCUUCUGUGCCAUAAACUAGUAGCACUUUCAGCAGUUACUUUAUGACAUCUAGGAGUUUGAACAUAAGCUAUUAUGGGAAACAUCCUAUUUGAUGUCAUCUUAGAUUCAAUAAUGAGCCCUUUCUCAGGAUGAUAAACCUUGCACCAUCCACCCUGAAAUAUGACAGCCAAACCUUUCUCCUGAAGCUGUCCUACACUCAAUAGAUUGUUCUUCAAUUCUAGUGAAAAAUACACACCAGUUACCACUUGAGUGAGACUAGCAAUAUCCAGUUUCACAAUUCCCUUUCCAUUUACCAGCAUUUUUGAAUCAUCGCCAAGUUUCACAGUUGUGUUAAAUGAUUCAUCUAUAUCAUGAAACCACUCUUUUACUCCACACAAGUGAUUACUACAACCAGAGUCAAGAUACCAUACCUUCCCUCCUGAAGGUUGAUCAUUCCCAUCUGAUCGUGCCAUCAACAACAGCUCCUCUGUUUCAUCUUGCAAUUCUGCAUAGUUGGCACCAUCUUCCCAACUUGGGCAUUCAUACUGAAAAUGUCCAAGUUUGUGACACUUGUAGCACUCAACGCUUUCUUUGUUAAGAAAGUUUCUUCCUCUGCCACGACCUCCUCUGAAUCCUCGACCCCUUCCUCGUCCUCCAGUUCUGCCAGAAUUGGAGUUAGUAGCCUUCAAGGCCUGAUCUUCCUCUUUGUAUCCCUUCAUUCGUUGUUCAUGGACAAGAAGACUGCUUUGAAGUUCAUCAAUGGUGAGAGUACUUACAUUGUUUGAUUCCUCAAUGGAGCAGACAACAUAAUUGAACUUUUCGGUCAUGGAUCUCAAAAUUUUCUCCACAAUCACAGUUUCUGACUGAGCUUCACCUUGAAUUUUCAUCUUAUUAGCAAUGACUAGGGUUCUUGCAAAAUAAUCAUUGACUGAUUCACCUUCUUGCAUCCCAAGAACUUCGAAUUCGCGACGAAGAGCUUGCAGCUGGGCUCUGCGCACCUUGUUCGAGCCAUGAUACUUGGAUUUAAUCGAAUCUCAUAUUCCCUUUGAUGUAUCUUUGUUCAAGAUUGUCUCAAUGAUGCUCCUCUCAACGGAUUGAAACAGAUAAUUCUUGGCUUUGAGAUCUUUCAGCUUUGCAUCUUCAUGUGCCUUGAUCUGCUCUGGAGUGGGAUUCUGUGGCCGUACAGGGAUUCCAUCUGCAACAAGACUCCAAUACUCCUUCGAUCGAAGAAGAUUCUCCAUAAGCAUGGCCCAAUGAUCGUAGAACCCAUCAAAUUUGGGAACUGCAGGUUGUGCAUAGUUUGAAUUGUCUCUUGAAUUGUCUCCCAUGGCAAUCACUAUUCUUUGUUGUGAACACCCUUCUUCCCCCCUCAAUCGAACACGCUUCUCCUUCUCUUCCAAUCGAACACGCUUCUCCUUCUCUUUCAAUCGAACACGCUUUUCUCACAAAAACUGCACUUUUCUUGGUUCAGGCCCCUUACGGAGCUCUGAUACCAAAUGUUAGAGAUAGAGAGAUAGAGAUAAUACACUUUAAUGUUAGAGAUAGAGAGAUAGAGAGAAUACACUUUUUGUUUUGGAUUGCAACCAACAACUACUUUCAUUCAUUCAAUACUUCAAGUACUUAUACAGAGUUCUCUACACCUAACUCAUUCUACAUACAGACUCUUACAAUUGGGCUUUUACCCAUACAACAAACCAUAUUGGGCUAAGGCCCAAACCCUAUACAACUAACAAAGCCAAACACGUCUUCCUCUGAUUAGUGAAAAAAGCAUUUUGUUGUGCUGAAUAAAUAGGCAAAGUGCUUUCAUUCCGGGGAGACUUAUUACUGAUAACGCCUUAGUUGGUUUUGAGGCUUUCCACUAUAUGAAGAAAAAAAAGGAAAGGGAAAAAGGGAUAUAUGGCUCUCAAAUUAGAUAUGGCGAAAGCUUAUGAUCGGAUUGAGUGGGAUUUCUUACAUCAGGUUUUGAUAUCUAUGGGGUUCCCUAUUGGUUUUACACAACUUAUUCUCAGGUGUGUGUCUUCUGUAUCCUAUGCACCUCUGAUUAAUGGUGAACCGGCUCCUUUCUUCUCUCCUCAUAGAGGUCUCAGGCAAGGGGACCCUCUUUCCCCUUACCUAUUUAUCUUAUGUGCAGAAGUUCUUUCCAGUUUGUUGGCUGAUCAGGUGAGGGGAAAAAAUCUCCAUGGGGUGACAGUAGCAAGGGGGGCUCCUAUGAUUAGUCACCUAUUCUUUGUAGAUGAUAGUUUAAUUUUUGGAAGAGCAGCUGCAGAGGAGGCAGAUUGUAUUUUAAAGGUCAUCAAACUUUAUGAGCAAGCUUCAGGUCAAUUAGUUAACAUGGACAAGUCUGAGAUUUUAUUUAGCCGAAAUGUGAUAAGCACCGUUAAGGUUUUGAUCCAAGAAAGGAUGGGAGUAAAGGCUGUGGAAAUCCAUGACAAGUACCUUGGCUUGCCUACAGUUAUUGAUAGAUCUAAGAAAGCAAUCUUUGCAAGGGUACAAGAACGUGUUUGGCGGAAAUUACAGGAUUGGAAGGGGAAAACAUUGUCUAAGGCAGGUAAAGAAGUUCUUCUCAAAUCAGUAGCCCAAUCAAUUCCUACUUAUGUCAUGAGUUGUUUUAAAAUUCCGGAGGGAGUUUGCCACAAGAUUGAGGGUUCCAUGUCCAACUUUUGGUGGGGACAGCAGCGAGAUGAACGUAAAAUUCAUUGGAUCAGUUGGAGGCAAUUAUGUAAACCAAAGCAUAGAGGUGGGAUGGGCUUCAGAGAUCUGGUUGAUUUCAAUCAUGCAUUAUUAGCCAAGCAAGCAUGGAGGCUAUUACUGACUGGGAAUUCACUGCUGUAUAGAGUAUUGAAAGCAAGGUAUUUCCCCCGAACUUCUAUACUGAAUGCUCAACUUGGUUUCCAACCAAGUUAUUCUUGGAGGAGUAUAUGGGAGACACUUGGGACUGUGCAGGAAGGAUUGAAAUGGAGGGUAGGAGAUGGUAAAGAUAUUAGGAUAUGGCAUGAUGCAUGGCUCCCUGGAUGUGGAGAUGAUGUAAUUCAUUCUCAUCAGACCAUUCUACCACAAGAUGCUCGGGUUUCUUCACUUAUUUUGCAGGAAAGCAGGAGAUGGAAUGGAUCACUAAUAGAUCAGAUAUUCAAUCAUCCAGAAGCUCAAAAAAUAAAACUUAUACCUUUGAGUUGGGCAGAAGGAAGAGAUAGAGCUUUCUGGAGAUGGAGCAGGUUUGGAGAUUUUACAGUAAGAUCAACAUAUAUCCAACUGCAAAAUAAAAAGAUGAGCAAUGAAGCAAGUUCCUCAGUUGGGACACAAUUCCCUUGGAAAGCAAUCUGGUCAGCAAAGAUUCCAAACAAAUUUAAACAAUUUGCUUAUAAGGCUGCAACAAACACCUUGGCAUGUAGAGCUAACUUGGCAAAGAGAGGAAUGCAAGUCCAACAAGAGUGUUUACUAUGCCAGCAACAAGUAGAGGAAAAUUUAAAUCAUCUUUUUCUGCACUGUAAUUGGGCACGAGCUGCAUGGUUCGCUCAUCCUCUAGGCCUGCAUUCUGAUUAUGUCUCACUUGGUUUUAGUGAAUUGCUUGAGCAAGGAUUUCGCCAGCAAGAUGAAGAUUGGGUUAUGGCUGUUAUACAAGUGCUUCAUGUUAUUUGGAGGGCAAGGAAUAAUGCUUAUUUCAAUCAGGUAGUGGCUGAUCCAGGAAUGAUGAUACAACUAUCUAUAAAUAACCAUUUGGAGUGGAUAGAGGCUCAAGAACGAUGUGAAUCAAGGGUUGAUGAGCAAGCAAGGAAUAUUAGAUGGGAAGCACCACCACAAGGAGUCAUUAAAUUAAAUGUAGAUGCUGGUUGGUCAGGUCAUAACUCCACUGGAUUUGGACUGGUUGCUAGAUCAGAUAGGGGUGAACUUAUGAUGGCAGCAACGAAGGUGGAGCAAUAUCGCCUGGAUUCCUUAUUAGCUGAAGCCUAUGCUGUUCGUUGGUGUCUUCAAAUGGCAUCUGAAAUGGAUUUGGAAAAUGUGAUUGUGGAGUCUGAUUCAUUAGCUGUAAUACAUGCCUUACGUACUGGUUCAUGUCCGCCAGAUAUAGAAGCAGUGAUACAAGAUUGUAAAGUAUUAUUUUCUUUGUUCCCUGUAAUAUGUUUCAGUCAUGCUAGAAGACAGGCUAACAGUGUGGCCCAUGAACUGGCAGCUCUAGCCCGAACCUUUACUCAAAAAAAAAAAUCGAAGUUAGUUUGUGUUAUUUAAUGAUGGUUUUUAUUGUUGUGAAGAAAUGAAUUAGUCUAUGUGAAUAACGUAAGGUUGGGGCCGGGUGCAAUGUUCGUUUUUUCUUCUUCAUAUUACAGUAAGGAUCAAAUUUUUUUUUUUGAACGUAAGGAUCAAUUUAACAAGAAGCAAAAAUGCUAAGACUUUGAAAUUGUCUCAGUCAUCAUUGACAAUUUGUCAUGAAAUUAAUGUCAUUCUUACUUUUUACACAAAAAAAAAGGUCAUUCUAAUUUUAAAGACAAGAUAAAAUUAAUGUCAUUCUAAAAAAAAAUGAUAGAUCUAUGAUUCAGAAAUGGUAAUGACAUUUAUGAGUCAUAACACAAAAUAGAAUUUUUUUUUUUGAACUCCACAAAAUAGAAACUUGAGGAAGCAACUACUGACAUGAUUAAAUAGAUGUAAUUUUUCAAUAAGAAAAGGUUAAAAUUCAUAUAUUUUUACAAUAAUCUGUCUGUAAAAAAUAAUAAAGUAUUUAUUAUUAAAAUUUUUUCCUACUUUUUAAUGCAAAUCUUCCUAAAUUCUUAGGCUUUCAAAAACUCUUGCUUGAAAAAUAUGUAGACGUGUCAUGGUUUCAGUGGCUGUCUCACUCACCACUAACGCCAAAAGUACGGUAGGGACUUUUCGGUAAUUCCACGAAGAUUGCCUUGAGCAAUUGCGAGCGCGAGUGAACGAGGAGAAUCUUUUCCCCAACGUCCAUUGCACAACCUUCCCUCACUCACUCACUCACUCUGCAAUUCCCGUUUUGUUGCACACACACGCAUAACAAAUUUUCUCUCAUUUUCUCGGGAAACAAACACUGCAAUAUGGGUUAGUCAAGUCCAGAUUCAGCAAAGAAAUGAAAUUAAACACUCGUUCUGAACGUACGGUAUUAAUAGUGCUCCAAAUCGAUCUCAAUUUGCUGUUUCCUUCUUCUUCAAUCGUCGUAGUAAAAACCAACACUGUUCAUUCAUCGAUCUUCUUCGCUGAUUUUAGUUAAUUUCCAUCGUCACAUUGUUGUUGCAGGGACGAGUUCGUUCACUUCAGCUCUCAAGCUUAGUUGCCGUUUUCACUGUUCUCCGUGAGAGGAAGAUCGACGACCAUUGAGCGAGUGAGUACCAAGGUUCACUUCUGUGAUUUCAAUCGAUUUCGUUUCGACUUUCGAUUUCAUUUUGUUUCAUUCCGUUUCCGAUUGGUUUAAGUUUCUUCUCCUCCGAUAUGAUGCAUUUAAUGCUUCUGGUGCUGCGUUUCUGAGAAUCGCCGCCUGUGUUUCUUCGAGUACAAAUUUGUCACGUUCAGUGUUUGUUGAUGAUUCUGAUUUCAUGCCUGCGUUUCUUGCGAAAUCUUCUUUUUUCAUAUCUUUACUGUGUGAAGAACGUCAAGUUGAUUGUUUAACUACGAGUUCUUAAUCGCUUGUUCUCUUGAAUCGAAGUUAGUUAUUGAUGAUUUUAUUUAGUCAUUGUUGUGGAGAAAUGAAUUUGUCUGCGUUAAUGACGUUGAUGGCGCAAUUGUGCAGAUAGUGGUGUGGAAGAAUGUCACUGUGAUUUCAUUGCAAAUUGCUGCCUGCUGAUGAAGAUACUGUGGUCUCUUUCUCUCUCUCUCACACACACACACAAUUUUUCACACACGCGCCUUCCUUUCUGUUUGUAAAUACUCACUUCAAACACGUCCUCUUGAUAUGUUAAUUAGUACUACUAUUUCCUAUUAAAGUAUAUGUUAAUUAUUGAUUUUUUUUUAUGUGAAUUGUUGUGCAGAGGAAUUUCUGUGAGAUUUGAUUGCCGGUGCACACAAGAUAUGGUAUUUUUCUACUCUAUCUUUAGUUCUUUACCGAUUUAAUGCCUCUUUUGGGAAAUAAGGAUUAAACUAUCCAAUGACUAGAUCUUUAUAGUUUAUUGAUAUUUUAAAAUGAGUCUUUAUAUUUUAAUUGAUUGAAAACUAGUUAAGGAUUUAUUUGGAAAGUUCGAAAAAUUUGAGAAUCAAGUUAAAUUUUUCAGUAGAUUCAUAAAGAUCUAUUCAUACUUCAAUUCAAACUAUAUUACUGAGAGAUAAAGAAAUAAAAGAAAGAGAAUUAAGAGAUAUUAAAUAGUGAUAUAAUAUAAAAGAAGGAGAUAGAAAGAAAAGUGAGUAAAAAAAUAAAACUACAAUGAAGAGAAUGAAAAAUGUAAAUGUAUACUCUAGAUUUACAUCCUUUUAUAUUAGAGAACUUGGUAAGUUCAUACCCACGUGGCUCCACCCCUACUCCAAUUUGAUUCAUCAAACUUCAGCCCCUAUAAAAAUUAUACUCUAAGUUAAAGGAUUGAAUUCCCUGUAUGCACAUGUUGAAUGGUAACCUGGGUGCAUCAAUUUCUCUCUUUCAUUAAGUUUCUUCUUUGCUAAAGAAAAUUGAGCCAAACACUUUGCCUAAGUAACCUAAAUACUGACACAUACGAGAUUCGAACCCAGUAUCUCAAAAAGAGAGGAAUGAUGACUUUCUACCAAGUCACCACGAAGUUUGUGUGACAGUAUACAAAUUACAGUAUAUAUAAUAUGAGUGAAACAUUUUUUUUUUAUCAUGGGCAUUAUGUAAGAGUUUUCUAAGAAUUUUGAAGGAGCCAUGGCUCCCUUAUGUCCUCUUCAAGUUCCGCCCUGGGUGUAUAUGAAGUUUGGACCCUUUACUUUUUAGGAACUCAUCACAUAGUUCACUAGAAAUCCUAAUAUUAGGUAGGCUUCUAAAAUUAAGGUUGAUUUAGCAUUGUUGACUUCAAGCAUGUUGACCCCCAUUUCCAAUUCCUAUUUUAAAAUUCUUGUUGUUUGAAAGUGGUUCCUUCAAUAUCAAUUCCUUCCUUUGACACAUUUUCUUUGAUCUUCAUAUAACCUCUCUCUCUCUCUCUCAAGGGGUGGCCCAAAUUGAGUAGGUUGUUCUUCACCUUAGGGACAUUAGACACAUUGGAAACUCAUGCACAAACACAACCGAGAUAGAGAGGAGAGAAUUGAGAGAAGUAAGUCAAGUAACAUUAGGCAUGACUCCUCUCUCUCAACGUCUCUGUAUCGCCCUUCUCUCUCAUUUGCGCCGCCGAGCCCAGCUUUCACGGCGGUGGAGCGCUCAAUCCUCCGCAACGGUUCUUGCUUGGCACGUCCUGGGCUGCAGAAGACGACGUCAUGGCCGGUCACUGCAGGAUGCAGCGGUCUCCGGCGCGGCGCUGGGAGAACAGAGAGCAGCGGCGAUCGAGGUUCUCCUCCGUUGGGGUUUCGCAAUGGUAGAUCGGAGGGGAAGGUCGCGACUAGAAGAGCGGCGGCGGCUCUGGUAUGAUGGUGCACGAGGGGAGAAAGACUAGGAUUAUGUUUAGUGGCGGGGGGGGGGGGUUCCGCGGGACGGGGGGGGGCCCCCGGGGGGGGUGUUUUGUUUUGUGGGGGGGGGGGGGGGUGGGGGGUGGUGGNNNNNNNNNNNNNNNNNNNNNNNNNNNNNNNNNNNNNNNNNNNNNNNNNNNNNNNNNNNNNNNNNNNNNNNNNNNNNNNNNNNNNNNNNNNGAACUGGGUAUUUUCAUGGUGAUUUGAAGAGAGAUGAUUAUUUGCUAUGGUGUGUAGGAGGAAAGGGAAUGAAGUAUUGAAGAAAGGGGGGGGGGGGGGGGUGGGGGAGGGGUGCGGUGGGAUGGUGUUGCUGCUCUUAGGAGAUGAAACGAAGUUGAAUGGAGGUUUUGUGUGUGUUCUUGAUGGAGAUGAAGGGCUAGGGCAAUGUAGAAGAGUCCUCCUUUGGAAGAAGCAGUAAUGGAGUUUAAGUGGUGUGAUCAAAAGUGAAGUCAUGUGUUCUGGUUGCGUGUUAUCUUGCUUGAGAGGCAGAGGACAAAAUUUAUUUCCUUAUUUUUGUAUGCACUUGGUUCCCUUUUAAUUUUCAGCAACUUGUCCCAAUCAAAGAUGAAGAAAGCAUUGUGCAAUCCCUUUCUUGUUUAAAAAAAAACAUUAGGCAUGACAUGGCCUUUUCUAAUUACAAACUAACAUACCUGCUUAACUGCCUUAACUAUCAACUACCCUUAACUAACAAACUAAUUACUAUUUGUUCAGAGAAUCCUUUCAUAUAGUGAUGUUUUGCCCCAUCAGCGAGCUCUCAUCAACGGAAACAACCUUCCAUUCUGGAUAAUUCCGCCGUACAAUAGAGCUUACUGGUAAUAAUUCUUUUUUAUACCUUGCAUACUAUAAUUUCCUUCUUUCUUCUCUCAUGCUAUUUUUGUUGUUAUUGCAGUAUUCUGCAGACACUAUUGAAGAUUGUAAUUCUAUACCCAGCUUUGGUGUGGCCCUUUCAAUUCGCUUUUAUGGAUGAAAACUCCCCCAUGUCCAUCAUCGACAUCAUGAUCGAAGUCUGGAUCAUCAUUGAUUUCAUUAUAAAUAUCAUUUUGGUUGCAUAUUUUGAUGCAAGAACUAACCUUAUGGUUACUGAUCACAUGAGCAUCGCUAGAAGGUAAAUAUCUACCAAAUCAACAUUUUAUUCUAUCUAACUUUAUUUUUCUAAGCUUAUUGAAUUAAACUUGCAGGUAUGUAUGCAACAAUUGGUUUGGAUUAAUUUGCGAUGCUUUAGCGUUCAUGUACCGCUUCCACUUCUGGGGUCAUCGAAGCAUCUGGGGCUUCAUCUUUAAGAUGAUUCGAUUGUGGCGUCUUUUCCUGCUCCAUUCAUAUUUCACAAGGUCCUAUAUUUAUUUAUUAUUAUGACUAUGAUUCUAGAUUUAUCCAAUAAUAUAGUACUUAUUGGCUGAAUUUUCUUCAGACUGGAAAAGGAUGUGAAGAACAAUUACUUUUUGAUUAGGAUCUUCAAAAUUAUUUGUGUAAGUCCUUGAAACCUUAUCUAAUUUUAUUUACUUCAAACGCCUCUUCUCAGUCAGAUUGCACGGAGCAUAUCCAUUAGUGAUUACACACCCUUUCUCUUCCCACUCCCCUUUUAGUGUAAUGUAGUCUUGACCCAGUACACAGUCUACAGGCUUAAACACAUAAUAAUUGUAGUCUAAGCCCUUUGUUUUUCUUCCCAUUUUAGACUCUAAAAACCAACAAAUAUUUUUUAUAAGUAAAUUAAAUAAUAAUUGUGACUUUCUCCUUGCAGAUUACCUUAUUAGCUCUUCAUUGUGGAGGCUGCAUUAGCUAUGCUAUUGCUGAUAGGCAUCCAGAUCCAAAAGAGAAUUGGAUUGGAUCAAAACAAGCUGACUUCAAGAAAUCAACACUCUUGGUGAAGUAUGUCACCUCACUGUAUUGGUCUACAGUGACAUUCAAUACAACGGGUUUUGGGGAUUUUUCAGCAAAAACCUUCUCAGAGAUGGUUUUUAUCAUCGUGUAUCUCCUCUUCGCAAGUGGACUUUCUCUUUACAUUGGAGCUUGCAUCAUUGAACUAAUAGUCCGCAACACAAUUGCGACAAUGAACUUCGUAAGUUUUUUCUUCUAUUGCUUAAUUUAUCAUUUGCUCGUCGUAAGCAAGUCUAAGAUUUUUCAAAUGUUAGAAUAAAAACAAUGGUUUUCACCAACUAAUGAGGAUGUAUUUUCGUAAACUUAUUCAUUUAUUUAAAGCACGUGUUAAAUAAUAUAUUUUCAUAUAAUACAUAAUCUAACUGUUGACUUAUCCAUGAUUGUAGAGAGACAAAGUUACUGAAGUCUCAGAUUUUGCAUUGAGAAAUCACCUGCCUCAAGAUCUUCAAGAUCUCAUGUGGUCACAUCUCAGUGUGGAGUUUGAGUCUCAAAAUAAGAAGCAUCAACUUGUGAUGAGUAGCCUGCCUAGAGGAAUUCGGACGAAAAUUGCAGUGCAUUUGUAUUUAGAAGUUGUGAAGAAAUCCAUCCUCUUCCAGAAUGUCCCACAAGUCGAAGACUUUCUUUCGUCACUGGUACAGAUAACAUCCUUGUGUCUUUAUAUAUCAGUUGAUUAUUAGAGGAUCUAAAACUCUUUAAUAACAGGUGCCAGAAAUGGAACCAGAGUACUUUGACCGUGACGAAGAGGUUAUAUCAGUUAAGGAGUGUAAUUCACACAUCUAUAUACUUGUUUCUGGGGAUGUGGUAAGUAUGACGGCUAAAGCAACUUUAUAAUGAAUUUUAAAGAAUCCUCAAUUAAUAAUUACGAAAUUGAGUUUCUAAUUUAUAAAUAUUAACUGUUGCAGAAACUCACGUGGGAUGUGGCUAUUGCUCAGGUAUAUCACAACAUUGCAACAUUGCAUUUCAUUUCUGUUAAACCUUUAAUAAAUUUUAAAUAGUUCUUAAUUAUUAGAGAAUUGCUUUUUUAAUGAUGAAUAUUAACGGCUGCAGGAUCCCUUUGAUAAUGAUGGAGCUGAUGUUGUUGAGAUUCUAAUUCCUCGGCAGCUGGUAUAUCAUAACAUUUAAAUAUUGCAUUUUAUUUUUGUUUAGGAAAAUGUUAGGUAGACACUGAUAGGGUCAAGAGGAUGCAAAAGCCUCUUAUCCGUAAAGUCUAUGUCAGACGCAAUAAGGGGGAUUAGCUGAGUGCUUAAUAAUUAGAUUAGUGCUUAAUAAACCUUGUGGUUAGAGAGACUAUAAAUAGGAACCCAUGGUUCAUAGUUAGUUAGUUUUUCAUAUUGUUGGGUUGUUGUAACUGAAUCAGGUAGUUAGAGAGCUUCAACUGAAUCCCAAUUCAGUUGAGCUUCUCAGUUUCUGUUAUCUUCUUCUUCCUCAGGAUUCUUCUUCAAUCAAGCUUUCAUAUUCAGAAAUUGUUCCAGUUCUACAUUUUCUACUGUGAAUUCUGCUAUCUUGUUAGUUUUUGAUUUGCCAGUGCUAUCAGACACCAAGAAGAGAGAACUAAUGAUGUGAUAAGAAGUGAGAAAAAAAAGAAAUUCAAGAGAUAUAGACUUUGUUAAUUAUCUAUGAACAAUUACAUGGAUAUAUAGUUUAAUUUCUUAACUAGAGAUAAAAGAGAAAAAUGAGAUGAAUGUGGGGUGUUUCUACUGUUUCAUCUAUAAGUAGCAUAACUGUUUUGUUUCAAUUUAAACUAUACUGUAUGACCUGAAUAUAACUUCCAAACUUGACACCAACAAUUUUGUUUUGUUUUGUUUUGGAAGCCGUCCACUGGUCAAGGAUUUACGUUUGGAGAAGUUGGAGCUAUGUUUAAGAGGGGGCUAAUCAUUGCUCGAACCUUGGAGAUUUCUCACUUUAUAAAACUGAGCAGGAAAGCACUCGUGAAUGCCAUAGAAGCGAAUCCAAGGGCCGGACCACCGAUCAUGCAAAAUCUCGUAGAUGUAAUAAGGAUAUCAGAAGUUUAGUUUAUUUAAGUUCUAUUGUUUAUGACUUGUUUCUGAUAAUUUGUUUUAAUUGACAGAUGACAGACCGAUAUCGAUGGUUGCCUGAUCCAUUUCCAGAUCCGACAAGAACUCCUCAUCAUAUACUGCAUGGAUUAUGCACUGGAGGGUGUGAUUGCCCUGCAUGUACCAAGAUUCGUGAAGCAUUUCCUGUUGUGGAUGCACCGAAUCAAUAGGGAAACAUGUCAUAGCUUAGUUUCAUAGCACUAUCCCCAUUGUCCACCAUGUCUUCCUCGUUCACGACAUGUAUUAGCUCAAGGAGUUCAAAUGCUGGGUCUGGCACUCUGCAACCCUUUGGAGCAUUCUGAGCUUCUAGACCCGUAAGAAAGUAUGAAGGUACCUGAUGAGAGAAACGAAGCAUCUCUCCCCUUGAAAUAAUUCUAAUUUCUCGUGGAUCUAAGUGGUGUUGAAAGACUGUCUUCAACAAUGUUAUUUUGAGCACAGAUUUUUCUCCUUCCUCAAUAGAUUUCUGUAUGCAAUUUCCACUCUCUUUCACCACAAACUUAUCAACAUUAUUUGACUGAAUUUUCCUGAGUUUCUUACUAAUUUCUUUUAUAGCUUUCUUUUCAUGAGUUUCGUACUAAUUUCGUUCAACCAGGCAUCCCUAUUAUAUGAUGUGCAUAAGUUAGAUGCUCCUACUGCUCUACCCAUUUGAUUAACUGGUUCCUUGCUAUUUUCCUUGCCAUUGUUAAUCACACUUCAUCCUUCAUGCCUCCCCUUCCCUUAGCUGGAUUAAGGUAACAUUUUCAUGAAACAUUCUGCUUCCUUCUUAAGGCCUCUUCCAUUUUGGUAGCUGCUUGUGACUCCUCACGAUCUCGCUUCACCUUUCAUAAGCCUGCUGAACCACAUUUGCAGCAUCAGAAACACCAGCGGUUUUUGAAUUAUGUUAGCGUUCUAGGAAGUUUGUUUCCUCAUCUUCUAUCAGUCGAUGUGUAUAUAUAUCCAUGUAAUUGUUCAGCACAUAAUUAACAAAGUCUGUAUGAUAGAUGAUCCAGGUCUAAAAUCACUUGCAGGAGGUCGAUCAGUUUCUGUAGCCAAAAAUGCCUCAUGACAGUUGGGACACAAGAGUUUAAGGUUAAGAUAAACUCUGAGAUACUGCAUUUUGCAUCAAUAAGUAGUCCAAAAUGUAGUUUUGACUUACUGGUAGAAGAUGAGGUGUUUUCUUUAGCAGUAUUCUUCUCGUCCUUGCAUUUGAAGGUGUAGUCUUAGUACAAUUUUUACUUCCAAUCCAUUAGCUCCUUUUUUAAAAUUACUAUAGGUGCAUCAAUCAUAUUGCAACAUGUGUUUUUAUAUUAUCGACCUCACUUAAUUAAUAUCUUUUAUUUUACAUUUUCGUAAUAUUUAAUUUAUUAAAUAAUUCAAUUGUAAAAUAAAACUAUAAUUUUAAUAGCAUAUAACUCCUUUCUAAAAAAACCCAAAUCCCUAAUUCUCAUUUUCUUCCAAGCUCGUCUUACGAUUCUCUCAAAUGCAAAACCAGAUGCAUAGAGUGUCCCUCUGCAUAGAGGACAAGUUGAGUUAGAUAGUAACCGUGUGUUUAUGCAGUCGAUGUGAAAUUUAUGGUUGCAGAUUGGAGCAAUCCCAACUUGUCAUGUUGCAAGAACUCACGGUGGCAAACUGCUCAAUCAAAUGGCUCUUUCAAGCCUAUUAUCUCUUUAUAAUAGAAGACUGGGUGGGCAUCUAUAAAAGCCUGAUCCAGACCUGAAUUAUGAAUAUGGAAGAGGCUCAGCAACUAUCUCUGGUAUGCAUCAGAUUCAGAGAAGAAAGCCUGAAAGAAAAUGGGAUAUCCCACUUUCUUCGAUUAGGUGUCUCGUGGCAGGGGCUGUGCACAAUCAAAGAGGGGCGGCAACUUAUGCUAUUAUUUAAACCCUAACCCUAAAAGAAAAUGGGGAUUGGAGAUUUUUUAUAAAAAGGAUUCUUAUGCUAUUAUUUAAAUUUAUAGGUUCAUUUUGCAAUUGAAUUAUUUAAUAAAUUAAUAUUAUGAAAAAUGUAAAAUAGAAGAGAUUUAUUAAGUGAGAUGGAUAAUAUAAAAACACAUGUUGCAAUAUGAUUGGUACACCUAUGCAAUGAAUGAUUUAACCCAAUUUUCCUCAUGAGUUAUUUAGAUAACCCUCUAAUAUCUAUAAUCUAUCUACCAACCUAUAUAUAAUAUAUUUAGAAUGAAUGGAUGACAUUUGGUAUAAACAAAAUAUUAUUGGAAUUUAUCUUUAAUUUAAUUUCGAAUUAUGUAAAAUAAAGGAGACAAAAUAAAAAUUUGUUCAAAUAAGAUAAAAAGGGAUACAAUUUGUUCAAAUAAAAUUUCUUUUAGUUGAGGGGUAAAAUUAGCAUUAUUAUUAUUAUUAUUAUUAUUUUCUUUUGAUACAUCGGAAAAUAUUAUUAUUAUUAUAACUAAACAAAACAAUAAAAAAUGAUUGGGCUUGCUGGCCCAGAAACGAAAAAUGGCAGCAGCAAAAAAACGAAAAAAAAGAAGUAAAAAUCUUAAUCAGUAAGGGAAUAAAAGUCAAAAAAGAAAAGAAAGUGAGCCCCUUGCAGUGGCGGUGGUGAAGCAGGGUAUGGGGAGAUGAUGUGCUAAUUUUACAUAGCAGAAGAACAGAGGAUAAAAUUUGCAGACCUAAAAAACUUUGACAAUAACUUUAUGGAUCAUCAUGAAUACUAAUACUAUACAACUUGCAAUUUUCAUGGCAUUGAAACACUAUAAAUAGGAGUGAAAUCACACGGUUGAAGAGGCAGAAAUCAUUUGUUCCAUUUGGGAAUUGGCAAAAGAGAGAACCCACUUCUCCCAAAAAAUCAUACUCUGUUCGGUGAAUUCUACCAUACCCUCAUUGUAUGGUACAUGGCUGACGCGAUUUGAUGUGUACCAAUAAGAAACCGACAUCUGACAGUGUAUUUGAUGAAAAAUGUAAAAUAGAAGAGAUUUAUUAAGUGAGAUGGAUAAUAUAAAAACACAUGUUGCAAUAUGNNNNNNNNNNNNNNNNNNNNNNNNNNNNNNNNNNNNNNNNNNNNNNNNNNNNNNNNNNNNNNNNNNNNNNNNNNNNNNNNNNNNNNNNNNNNNNNNNNNNNNNNNNNNNNNNNNNNNNNNNNNNNNNNNNNNNNNNNNNNNNNNNNNNNNNNNNNNNNNNNNNNNNNNNNNNNNNNNNNNNNNNNNNNNNNNNNNNNNNNNNNNNNNNNNNNNNNNNNNNNNNNNNNNNNNNNNNNNNNNNNNNNNNNNNNNNNNNNNNNNNNNNNNNNNNNNNNNNNNNNNNNNNNNNNNNNNNNNNNNNNNNNNNNNNNNNNNNNNNNNNNNNNNNNNNNNNNNNNNNNNNNNNNNNNNNNNNNNNNNNNNNNNNNNNNNNNNNNNNNNNNNNNNNNNNNNNNNNNNNNNNNNNNNNNNNNNNNNNNNNNNNNNNNNNNNNNNNNNNNNNNNNNNNNNNNNNNNNNNNNNNNNNNNNNNNNNNNNNNNNNNNNNNNNNNNNNNNNNNNNNNNNNNNNNNNNNNNNNNNNNNNNNNNNNNNNNNNNNNNNNNNNNNNNNNNNNNNNNNNNNNNNNNNNNNNNNNNNNNNNNNNNNNNNNNNNNNNNNNNNNNNNNNNNNNNNNNNNNNNNNNNNNNNNNNNNNNNNNNNNNNNNNNNNNNNNNNNNNNNNNNNNNNNNNNNNNNNNNNNNNNNNNNNNNNNNNNNNNNNNNNNNNNNNNNNNNNNNNNNNNNNNNNNNNNNNNNNNNNNNNNNNNNNNNNNNNNNNNNNNNNNNNNNNNNNNNNNNNNNNNNNNNNNNNNNNNNNNNNNNNNNNNNNNNNNNNNNNNNNNNNNNNNNNNNNNNNNNNNNNNNNNNNNNNNNNNNNNNNNNNNNNNNNNNNNNNNNNNNNNNNNNNNNNNNNNNNNNNNNNNNNNNNNNNNNNNNNNNNNNNNNNNNNNNNNNNNNNNNNNNNNNNNNNNNNNNNNNNNNNNNNNNNNNNNNNNNNNNNNNNNNNNNNNNNNNNNNNNNNCCCUCCCGAUGCUGAUCCUCCGCCUGAACCAGCACCAGUUACCCUGCGUCGAUCCACUCGCCUGCAUCGAACACCUGAUAGGUAUGGAUGGGAGCCUACUUCUCUUACUGCUACUUUAUCUAGUAUACCUAUUCCCACAUGUUAUUCGCAGGCUGUUAAGGACAUGCGUUGGGUAAAGGCCAUGCAAGAUGAGCUACAAGCACUUCAGGAGAAUUUCACUUGGGACAUAGUCCCUUGCCCUCUUGGUGUUAAACCCAUUGGUUGCAAAUGGGUGUACUCUGUGAAGUUAAAUUCUGAUGGUUCUCUCAAUCGUUAUAAGGCCCGGUUGGUUGCUUUGGGUAACAAACAAGAAUACGGGGUGGAUUAUGAUGAGACCUUUGCACCUGUGGCAAAGAUGACCACUGUCCGCACAAUCCUUUCUAUUGCUGCCUCUAAAGGUUGGUCCCUAUAUCAAAUGGAUGUGAAUAAUGCAUUUCUUCAUGGUGAUUUAGCGGAAGAUAUUUUUAUGAAACCCCCUCCAGGCUUUUUUUCUUCCUCUGAAGGCGUGUGCAAACUCAAGCGUUCUUUAUAUGGCUUGCGGCAGGGUCCCCCGGCGUGGGUUUUGAAAAUUUGGGUUACCCCUCUUUGGUUUUCUUUUUUUCUCAGAGCCAAUAUGAUUCCUCCUUAUUCAUUCAUCACACGUCCGCUGGUAUUGUUCUUCUUCUCAUUUAUGUUGAUGACAUGAUCAUUACUGGCUCUGAUCAAGCGUCCAUACAACUACUUAAACAGCAGCUUCAAGCUUCCUUUCACAUGAAGGAUCUUGGGUAUCUUCACUAUUUCUUGGGGCUUGAGGUUCAUUCUGACUCCAAAGGUAUUUUUCUCAAUCAGCACAAGUAUGGUGUAAUCCUUUAUUGUAUCGUCAAUUGGUGGGAAGUCUUAACUAUUUGACUAUUACACGUCCAGAUAUUUCCUUUGCAGUACAACAAGUUAGUCAAUUCAUGCACACUCCUCGUCAUCUUCACUUGGCUGCUGUUCGCCGCAUCAUUCGCUAUUUGAAAGGAACUACUCAUCGGGGAUUAUUUUUUUCCGGCCAAUGUAUCUCUUACUUUGCUUGCCUAUAGUGAUGCUGAUUGGGCAGGUUGUGCUGAUACACGAAGGUCGGUGUCCGGUUGGUGCAUGUUCCUUGGUCCGGCCUUAAUUUCUUGGAAGAGCAAAAAGCAAGCCCGCGUUUCCAAGUCAUCCACUGAGUCUGAAUAUCGAGCUAUGUCCACUGCUUGCUCUGAAAUAACUUGGCUUCGUGGUUUAUUGGCUGAACUCGGAUUCCCUCAAAUCAAUGCUACGCCUCUCCAUGCUGACAACACAAGCGCUAUUCAGAUUGCUACUAAUCCAGUUUUUCAUGAGCGCACUAAGCAUAUUGAAGUGGAUUGUCACUCCAUUCGUGAGGCUCUUGAUGAUCAUCUUAUCUCUCUUCCUCAUGUCUCCUCGCAACUUCAGCUUGCAGAUAUCUUCACUAAAGCGGUUCCUCGUGCCCGUCACCAGUUUCUUCUUAGCAAAUUGAUGCUUCUUGACAAACCGCAUCAAUUUGAGGGGGAUGUCAAUGAGGAUAUCUGCAAUUAAUGAUUGUUUCCUAUUUUAUGUUUGAGAAAUUAGGAAAUAGAAUUAAGAAUAUUCCUAUUUGAAUGUAUAGAAUUAGACUUCCUAAUUUAGGUUGUGCAAAUUAUGAAUUAGGAUUAAUUAGUCAUUAUUGCUUGUAAAUGUAAUUGUAUUAUAUAUAGAAGAGAAUAAAAUCAGAGAAGGCAUCAAGCCAAUUAUUCUUGACAGUGAUGACUAUAUGAUUUUGUAUUAAGAUGUAUUCCAAGUUCUAACUACAAGAUCAAAGGAUGUUUUGGAGUAUACCAGAACAGCUGGUAUAUAGUUCCAUUUGCUUAUAUCAAAUAAGGCAUGGUUGAGCUGCUAUACCAACACCAAUGACUUCUGAUUUCAAAUUGAAAUAAAUACGGCUCAAUUUGGCAAGGUUUUCCAGCUAGUUUAAAGCUUAUCUUGGAAUACAAGAGGAUGUUGUUGCCUUGGCCUAUCUGUACUACAAAGUUGUUUUUCCCCUGACUUCUAUUGUAGAUUUAUAGUACUAUUUUUUGUUGUAUAUUAUUUGUUAUUAUUCUCUGUUUUAGUCAUGUAGAUUAACAUCAAUUAAUUAAAUAGAAUAUAAAUUUUAGUCAUUAAUAUUUAUUAUGUGAAUAUUUUUUAAAUCAAAUACUCAUUAAAACAUAUACUAGAAAAACAGCCAUCAGCAUCCAAAGCUUGUGGUUGGACGGAUCGAAAUUAUUGGCCUAUAUGAUGUAUGAUAUAUCAGGAUUUUAUUAUAAUUGGCCUAUGAUCAGAAAAGAGAGCAUUAUCUUAUGCACAAACCUAAGCAUACUAGGUGGUCUAUCAUUAGAAUUUCCAGUUUUAAUUCUCUAUAGGGGAUUCCAUUUCAAGAAAACUUUGAAUGGUCGUGGAUUAAAAACACAAGCACUUCUUUGCAUGUCCCCAUUUGAUAUGGCCUCUUAACUUUAUAUAUCUACAUCCUACGCAAAAACGUUUUUACACUCAACUUAGAUUUGACACCUGAUAAUUGCCUCAGAAUUGCCCUUAUUAUGCAAACGAUCGACUAAAGAAUUUUCAGUGUUUGCCCGGGGUCCUCAUCAAGCUAGCAUUAUGAAAGAGUUGAGAGUGAUAUAUAUGUCUCAUAUAUUCAUUGAUUCCAUCUCCUACCUUUCACCAAUUAUUUUCCCUUUACUUGACUCUAUGAUUGUGGCCACACUAUAAACCACUUUCACUAUUUGAGUGUAUAUUUUGACAAUAUUUUGCAUGAGCCAAGACUUUUUUCCCAUGUGUAUGUAGAUUUACUACUAAUUCUAUCAAAACCCUAUGUAUGUUGGUUCACAGUAGUUAAAAGCGAUUGCUUGAAUUCAUAAGUUGAAAGUUUAAUCUUAAGAGUGGUAAACCUUUGACAUUCUCCGAUCCAUACAUAGGUGAGAAUUGUGAAACAACUGAAUAUCCACAAAAGGCAUACUCUUUUUUACCCCCUUUUGUGUGAUCAAACAACCAGAAACUCAAUUUGUGCUAUAUAUGAUAUUGAUUAAGUUAUAUAUAUAUAUUGCAUUUUCCAUUGCUCAGGCAUAUACAUGAAAAAACUAAAGCCUAAUUGGACUCUAGCACAGGUUAUAUAUUGCACAUUCAGGGAUAACUGGACAUGACAACAUGGCAUUAUAAUUUGUCAUUACUUGGUUUGCUAUUAUAUCAAUUGAAAGGGAAAUCGACCCCAUGCAUGUGUCUUUCUUUUCUUUUUCUUUUUGGAAGUGGUAAGUGUUUGAUGUGAUCUUUGACCCAGCACGUUGACGAAUGAGAGACAAAACAAAGCCUUAUGGAAUAAAGUUUCUAUCACAGACAAAAGUAAAGCCUCUUUUAGAUUCAUCAUCGUCGUAUGACCACAACCACACACACACUUUCAAUUGACCAGAUCUAAACUCAGCAAAACAUGUGUAACCAUUCCAUUUGUUUCAUCGGAUUAAGCGAAAGUCACAAUAAUUAGCGUAUCAAUACGCACUAUCAGCUAAACAAGAGUGUUGCUACAUGCACAAAGUCAAUUCCCAAAUCUUUCAAUUUUCAUUAACCACCAACUCACGAGUUUUCUAGCUUACCAUUUGUGACAGUAAUAUUACGCAUGGUUAGCAUCAGUUUUAAUUUCUAAGCAGCUUUCUAGAUAUUUGAUAUUUUUAAUCAUCAAAGAGACAAUCAUAUUUUUGCCGAAAAUGUACACAUUAUGGUAAGAUUAACUCUCACAAUAAUGUUUUUUUCAAUAUGCACAUGGGUUAAAUACAAUAUCCUGCUUCAGUGGAAUUUGAUAUGUAAGUAUCACUUGAACCAAUUGCCAAUUAUUUUUCUAGAUACUUGAUUCUAAUUUGAUGUUUAAUGCUUGUUUAGCUACCUCAUGCAAUAUCUUCUUUUUAUAUUUUUAUCAAGGAAAUGUUACAUAGACAUACAAUUUGAGUCUACAUUCAAUAGAAAUAUACAUUAGCUGUGAUUUUUAACAGCUUCAAACAUUGGCGGAGGCUAAAAAUUGUCACUAAUGCAUAUGUCUAUUGAAUGUCACUCAAGACUGCAUAUUAGGUAUAAUACUCUUUAUAAGAACCUUCUACAGUGUUUAUCCCUUUUCCUUUUGCAUAUGUACAAAGCCUGGUUUCACGCUCAGUAAUGGCAAUAGCUUUCAUACUGGAACUUUUCUAAUGCAUCGGUCCAUAGCACUAGUUAUUCCCUUUACCCCACUCUGAACUCCAUAAAUUGAAUCAAGAUUCAACAAUGUGGGAGCUGGGUGCAAUAUCCGAUGUGUGCUUGCUUGCACGUGGAUCCAAAUCAUCCAAUAUUAUCAUCAUCAAGUACAAAAGUAACAUCAAAUUUGUUUUUCUUGUGAUCUACAAAGUAAACAAAAGGGAGAGAAAACAAUAUGAAUAUGAAGUGCAUGUUUAGAUACUAGUUGAGUUAACAGAACAUUCAUUGAAGUUAUAAGAAGAAUUUCAUUCUUUUUUUGCCUCGAAGUAGUACUAACGCUCGUUAAUACCGGCGGCAAUGAUUUUUCAAAUAUACUAAGACAUAUUAACAAUUCAAACACUUGCUACUUGCUAGCUACCACCAAAGAAGAAGACUUUGCAAAAAUAAAACAGAGGAAAUUAAAGGGGCUUUUUUGACUUGCCAAAGAGCCUUUUGCAUGGUCUCCAAGAGCGUUAUAAUUGAAAUCCUUGUUGGGGGGGCUUUUGAGAAGAACAAUUAAACUUUGCAGCAGAUUGAUCAUAUCACAUCCAUGCCAGCCAGACUGAGCUGGUUUGCUAGCUCCUCAUAAUGUCAGCUACUUCAUGUCUUUAUGCUUAGACUCAUCUUUACUGGUGGAAUCUUCUAACUGUGGAAACCCCUCCAAGAGUUCAGAUUGAACAAAAGAGAAAAAAGGAUUCUUGCACAGCCAUCAUUGCUCAGAGUACACAACAAGGGGAAAACGUUGUUUAGCAUAAAAGGAGGAAAAAAGAAGAAGGAAAGUAAAUAUUAAAAGAAGAACUAUGGACACUAUCAUCAUAACAUGGAAGGAAAGUGGGUCAUCACAAGAAAGUUUGUGGUCUGGCCUGGUUGUGAAGAUCCCCAAUGUACUACAAUUCUACUACUUUUACUUAAUUAGUGGACUGCAUAUAGUGCUUAUCACCAAACAUGUGGUUGGUUUUCAAACAUGUAUGAGAAAAAUAUUGAGAGCUAAUCAAACUAAGAUAUGAAUGUUCCUAACUCAAACAUGAUUUCACUGUGUUAAACACUAACCAAUAUUAAGUUAUGUUAUGCUUUGCGCUCAAAUAGUGCAUUUAGUAAUUUAUUACGUCACUAGUGUUGAAACUUAAAACAGCCCCACAUGAGUGGGAUGAGGAAGAAGAUACUACUUUAUGCACAAGAAUGUUAGAAGUCCAAUCGCCUUAAGGUUUUUAGAUUAGAUCACACAUACAAUUAAAAUUUGAACACUCGUCAAGACCUUUAGCAUCAUUUUAGGUUUGCAUGCCUCCAAUACAACAAGUGAUAUCACAACACAUUUAGCCCAACUGCCUAUGCUCUUUGAGAAAGAUCCUGAAAAAAAUAGCAAAAAGAAAUAUGAAAAAUGGGUUUAAUGAAGAAAAAAAUUAUCAACUAAAUCAAAAAGUUGAGUCUUGACUUGAGAUUCAAGUUUACAUAACAAAACCUUUAAGGUUCUACUUGAGACGAGACUUGUUGAACUUGAUGGGGAAUGUUCAAACUAAAAAGAAGUCUCACAUGAAUGGAAUGAGGAAGAAAACAAGUAGUGAGAAUGUUGAAAGUCGAAUAACCUAAAGGAUUUUAGACUAAACCACAUUCACAACUAAGCUCAAACGACCUUCAACACCAUUUUGGAUCUACAUGCUUCCUGCCCACAAUGAGAAAAAAAAAAUAUCAAGAAGAAACCUGUUUAGCACAUGUUAUGUUUCUAAUUAACUAAGCAAAAUCACUGACAAAAAAAAAACUAAGCAAAAUCACAAAAAGUUAAAUUCAUUAGUGCAUGAAAGGACACCAAACACCCAUCAUCAGUGAUUGGGAUUAGUUAUGGCAAUGUCUAAUGAAACAUUAAUUAAUACAUAUGAAAAAAAGGGAUAGAUCCAAAACCUUACUUAAAAAAACUUGAGAGAUCCAAAUCCUAGUGAUUGUCUAUGUGUGGCCAUAUAUCAUAGAGAUUCAAACUUCCAUCAUGAACAGAAAAAAUAAAAUGAAAAAGUAACAAGUAAAUGGAAAACAGAGGAGUCUAGCUCCCAGAAAGAAGAAAUCUAAUCAGUGCCUUUAAUCAGUCCUAAAAUCAUAGCUUGCUAAAGGUCUCAUUUACAGUUUGCAUUCAAACCAAAAAAGAAAAAGAUGCGUCGCCUUAUUACACUGCAGAUUAUAAUAAAAGUGUCUUUUAAAUGUUUGUCUGCGGGGUUAGAUUUUGUGAUUGUAUUAUUACGACAAUCGUAACGUUUGAAUGUGAUUGCAUCAUUGCAUGAUUAGGUCGCAGCAACACCAAAUAUAUAUAACAAACAUUUUUCAUAAUUAAUAGAAUUAAAACACUAGAGGAAGAAGACAAAUUCCCAACCAUUCAUAGAAACACAUAACAAUAGCUCGUAUAAUCCUUAAAUUUUCCAAUUAUUUAUAAUAUAGACACGGUAAAAGUUUCCAAAAUCCAGAGGGAAUUGAAACAAAAUGAAGAUAUUGCCUAUGGUUCAUGAUAAAACCCUAAAAUAAAGGUGAGUAGGUCAAACACAGAGCCAUGCUUUAGGAUUCUUCAUUCAAAUGAAUAUGUCAAUAUAAAGUAUAUGUGAGGACUCUUUUACAUGGUUAGUACUUCUUGAAUGCUGAUUAAUGUGGGAGAGGAUCGUGCAAUUACAUUUAUGUGAAGUAAACGGUUACACAAUUACAAUUAUUUAGGGGAAGAGAGUCAAGGAAAUCGAAGCGGAUGACUGACUCAGAUCCGCAUGUGCUUUGUUAGCAGGCUAGUACUAUAGCAAAAUUUUGCAGCUUGGUCGGUCAAAUGAUCUCUAACGGUCCCUAACUCUCUAAAUUAGCCACAAAAGCCUUUGAAAUUUGGGUUUUUGAUGUGAUGUGUGGUCACUUACUAUUGAGUGAAUUGAAGUCAUGUUAAGCUAACGUCCGUUUGUUUGCACUGAUAAUAACAAAUACUCACACAGAGUCCAAAUCUAACAAGUUUUCAAACAUUCAUCAAGUGUUCCUUGACAUCAAUAACAAGUUUCUGCAUGCAGCUUUCAGCUUCGUGAUGAUAUGCUUACAGUACACCAUUCUGAAAUUCUUUGGCUUAUUUUGCCUUUUUUCUUUUUGGCUGUUUUGUGGCGAACUUUUGCAAAGAGUGUUCAAGAAUGGGACAAAAAACAUCAUCAAACUCGCAGAGAAUAAAUAAAUGUGGCCCUCCACAAUAAUUAAUUAAGAUCAAGCAACAUUCACUUCAGAAUUUCCGUGAUCAUGUUUCAGCACUCCCAUUUGGCAUGUAGCAGGGUACAUGUUUUUGUUAAUUUAAGACCAAAUAAACUCCUUCAUUUAAAGUACAUCAUGAUAUAAGGUUUAGGAAGUAUGUGUAGUGCUACUAAAUUUGGAUUAGCUACACCGCUUUUUCUUGAAACCUCACGAGAAUUGACUAAACAAUUUCACAUGCGCAAUAGAAGAAAAGUCUAGAGACAGCUAGUGACAAAAUGACAAAGAAGAGCAUGGUUUUAAUUAUCCUACCAAUUGGCACGCAAAACACAUAAUUAACAGCUUAGGGAAGUGUAAACAUGAUCAUCAUCUUAUUAUAAUGACAUUCAAUUUAUUUACAUUUACUUUUACACUCAGCAGUAUGUCAAACAUGACCCAUAUAUAAAACAUCAAGCAAACAUUACCCUAGCAAUCUCUUCAUCAACAACUUAAUUACUUAUGCUAGUUAAACUAAAUAAAAACUUUAAACAAAAUCAAAGGAUAAAAAAGUGAAAACUCAAGUGGAAAAAACCAAGAAAAAAGAAACUGUAACAAAAGUCAGAGAAUAGUGCAUAUGGAAAAUCAAAGAGUUGAGAAGGUUGUGAGCACGGAAAGAAACUCAGCAAAAACUUCUUGGUGUGUUGCUGUUGUGAAUAGUCUCUAGGGUUUUGAGCACUUCUCUCGCGCAUGGCCUUGCGGUGGGAUCAGUGGCGGUGCAGUGCAGAGCCAAGUUCAUGAUCUCAACAACGUCGUUCUGAUAGGUCGAUGUAUCUCCAUCCUUCAUCAUUGGGUCAAUCCACAUGUCAAGAUGACAGUCGGAGUAGCAGUAUCGAGCCCACUCCACGAUGCUGUUGCGCACGCCAUUCCCUGCUUCUAUGUCCACAGGGCUUCUUCCUGUCAACAAUUCGAUCAGCAUGACUCCGAAGCCAUAUAUCUCACUCUUCUUAGUCACAUCUUUUGUCGUUAUUGCCUCUGUAAUUUAACAUGAAAUUAUCAUUAUAUGGAACAAUAUAUUAACCUAUCCUCACGAGUCGCUAAGAUUCAAUCCUAGUCGCUCGCUUUCAUUCGUAAAGCGAAAAACUUAUGACCUUUUUUAAAAGAGAUUGUAUGCAUCAUAUAAUUCAUGAAUAAGAUAGAUUAUUUAUCUUUGCUUAUAUAAUACUUGCAUAUGAAGGUUACUCAUGAUGAAUGCACAAGAACAAAAAAUACAGGGGCAAAAUAGACAUUUAAUAAAGUACCUGGAGCAACGUAGGGUGAAGAGAUGAAACCCUUGACAUCCACGCUUGCUAUUCUGGGAGGUCUCACCUUCAGGCGAGCGACGCCCUUGUUAUCCACCGUAACUACCUCCGGCGACACCUCUCCGGCGAAAAAACAGUUACAAUGCAAGAACUUCAGCGCUUUCGCCACCGCCACCGCGAUUUUCCGCCGCCGUUGCCAGCUCAACCCGUUCACAAUCUGGCUCAAGCUCUUCCCCUCCUCGUGCUCGUAUACCAAGUAACCUCUCUUCCCCGACCUGCACAUUCCGAUCAGGUUAACCACGUUCGGGUGCCGGAGCUUCCCGAACUUCACCACCUCCUCCCAGAAACUCACCGGAAGUGAGUUCGAGUCGCCGAUUUCAAUCACCGUGAAUUGCAUGUCACUCUCCGUGCACUUCCCUUCGUAUGAAACCCAGUUCCUUCCCUUCGAAAUCACUUUCCCUUCUUUCACCGACGACAACACAUCGUCGAUUGCAAUCAAUUUCGAUGCAUUGGAAUCGAAAAACUGCAUUUCCCAGGUUCCAUCUUCGUUCUCCACUCUUCUGAGCUGUGAAUUCUUCUUCCUGGAACGCACGAAGUAGAUGAGAGAAGCUGUUGCGGCGAAUGAAAUCAACCCGAGCAGAAAACACAGCACGACGAACGGCCAUGUUUGGUUCUGAUGAUUGUCUUUGCACGGCGGCAAACCGUUGGAAGCAUCGCUGUUGCGGUAACAGAGGUGGUUUCCGGCGACAGCGCUUGCGUUGAUGGCAAGGAAAGCUCCGGUGGAGGGUAAACUCCCCUGAAAAUGGUUGUGUGAUAUGUUUACCUGAACAAGAGAUUCAAUGCUUCCUAAAUUAUGUGGAAUUUCACCGGAGAGUUCGUUUUCCGAUAAGUCGAGGAGGCUGAGAACCGGCAUCGCGGCGAGUUUUGUUGGGAUUUGACCGGAGAGUUGGUUGUGGCUGAGGUCCAGAGAAAUGAGUUUGCUGCAUUCAGAGAGUUCUUCUGGGAUGUUACCAGAGAGGUUGUUGUUGCUAAGCUUCAAUUGCAUGAGUUCUGUUAAUGCACUGAAACUGUUUGAUAAAUGGCCUGAGAGAGUGUUCCCUGAUAAAUCCAGGUCCUGAAGGUUCUGAGUUCCAAAAGAGUUUGGUAACUCUCCUGAGAAUUUGUUGUUUGCCAAACUCAGCAUUUGAAGGGAAGGCAUGUUCCAUUCCCUGUCAUCAACCCUUCCAGAAAGCUCAUUGCCAGAGAUAUCCAAGAAGUAUAUCUGAGGCAGUUUUGUCAUUU